CUUAAUUAAUAGGCAAUGGUGCUCACAUUAUAGUGAGAAAGGGUCCUCGUUUGAAAUCUUUAACUAAUUCAUUAUAUUAACUCAAUUUUUGAGAUACGUUUUAUAUCCUUAAAUUUGUGCUUCAACUGUUAGCCUGCCUCCUCUGAAUUAUUAUUUCCAGCUGUGCCUUUUUUUGAUGUUGUGUUAGCAGUGUUUGUUGUUUUCAAUUGUCCUUUUGAUGUUGUUGUCGCUGUUUUUUUUAUUGUCUUUUUGUAGUUGUUGGUGUAUGUGAUGGCCGUGUCGAUGGCAGAAGUGAUUAACCAUUAGGUUCUCUUCCGAAACAUUUUUACAAGAGUAUAGCUUCCUAGUGUGUGUUUGAUGCUCUCGUAUUGAGGCACUUGUAGUGCAUUUUUCUUGUGGUAUUUUUCCUUUUUAUUUUUUUUAUUAACAUGAUAAUUUGUGUUGCAUUACCGAGUACUAUAGAGGAUUCUUUUCUAAUUUAAAUAAGGUCUUCACCUACAGUAGUUGAUGUGGGUAAAAAACGUCAAGAUCAGAUGAGACUCAAAAAAUACCUUUUGUAUAUCAUUAGAUAGAUCCCAGUGGCGAGGUCAUUUUCUUUUAAUAAACAGAGUUUGGGAUGGGCAUGGGUUGGGUUAGAGUGAGUUAGUGAAAAUCCAACCCAACUUACUAUUGAUUGGGUUGAGAAAAAAAUCAAAUCAACCCAACCCAACAAAUAUAUUCAAUCCCAAUUGUUGAUGCCGAAAAACGACCUCAACAGCUAAAUGUUUUCUUUAGGGAAUAACAGUACGAAUCAAAGCUCAAACGUCAGUCUGAUCGCAACUUUCUGUACUUGCCAACCAGCAAACAUGGUUAUGAUACGACGGUGGGGUUCCGGCGUUUACCCUCCGAUGCUUAAGUCAGAAAUUAUAUAUAAGGAAAGAAAAAAGGGAAGGAAGAAUUUUGAAUAAGUUAAAAUCAGGGAAUUUUUCCGGUAGAGGUGUUGAAAUUCUUGUAGGCAAUAAAAAAGCUUUUAGAUAGGUGACUUGUAGAAAUUUUGGUUGAUUUUGCUAACCCCUCCUUUGUUGCCCUCUUCAGCUUAAAUAGGCCCUUGGUCGUGGGCAGUUACCACCUUAACUUUAGCCCACUUUCUUCAGUAGUUGUAAGUGCUUAUUAAUUGGAGGUGGUUUAAGAAAUCGUGGCAUACAACUUCCUUAAAAAUUAGGCCACGUUAUCUCGACUAGUAAUUUUCCAUGUCAAGUAGUUCUUAGGUCGGACAAAUGAAUUUCGAGAUCGGACUAUCUUACCUACUUCCAGAUUGGAUUUGCGAAUUUUAGGGUCGCUCGACGCUCACAUAGGCUUAAAGUUAUAUUCUUAAAUUAGGUCAUUUGCAUAAGCCUCAGGUUGUACUUGAAAACAUGUCACCAACAUAGGCUCCAGGUUGUACUUAUGAGGUCUGCUCAAUGAUAAUAAAUUUUGAGUAGAUUAAUGCUGACUCUAUUUCUAGACGCUAUCAGAAAAAAUCCAACUCGAACAUCAGUCCCCUAGUUUUCAACAUCGAAAAGCCAUUAUUGGUGUUGGAAACUAAUUAAUGAAAAAUAGAAAAAAAUUUACAAACCGAACACCAGUCCUCUAUUUUUUAAUACUGAGAAGAUAUGAACGAUAUUGAAAACUGAAACAACAAAUAAGGCGCAAUAUGGUCUCUAGCAGAACAGAGGCAAUGUGAAGCAGAACAUAGAUAAUGCUGAGUUGAAUAAGCUUAAAAGUAAGAAUUUGGCAAGAAUAAAAUAAAAUAAAAUAAAAAGAAAGAGAACUGAGAAAGAACAAAUAAAAAUGUGAGAACAAAUAAAAAUGUGAGGCUAUAGAGAAAAGCAUAAGCACGUGACUUGAAGGUAAAUUGGAAACAUACAUUUUGUCUUUUUCCUAAUGCCUUUUGGCUCUUGUUUCGUGUUUCGUCUCCGUCCUCCACACUUUUUCACAAUAAAAGUGAAAUAUUAAGAUGCCACCAUCCUGUGAUUUUUGUGCAAAUUGAACAACUAUUAGGCUGAGCCAUAACCAAGCCUGUUCGUGAGUACCUCGCAUGCCAUCUUCUCUCUUGUGUUUUUUUUUUAAUAUCGGAUCUAUAUAUAUGUGUAUUGAAACCAAACGCCUCGUUUUUUUUUUUUUAAAACGGAACCCUCCUCUCUUUUUGUUUUUUUCAAAACCCGAACUUCUUCUUCUCUUGGCUGCGUUUUUUUUUUUUUUGUGAAUGUCGGGCUCAUGGUAGUUUGUAUUGUUGAUGUAGUGAAUAUCGUGUUGUCUGCUUUUGUCGUUCCUGCAUAUUAUAGAAUCCAUUCAGGUUUGCAAACAACUUUGGUGAGUCGCCUCAUCUCAAGCAUUAUCUACUUGUUGCAUUCUUGUAUUUAUGAAUGUGAAUUUUGCUGGGCAUUGGAAUUGUUGUGCUAUGUACUGUGUUGCAUGUAAACUUUGAUGAAUAAAGCAAAGUGGUGUUGGUAGUAGAGAGUUGUUAUCAUUUUGUUGGGCUGACAAUGAAGAUAUUGAUGUAUUGUGUAUUGGCAUUGAAUAAGGAGUUAGGUUUUUAAGCUUAUACAUUAGGUAAUAAUGGAAUUUAGGGGUGAUAAGAUUCCCUUUGUAGUAUUCAAUCGAGCAUGGGUGGUAAUGGGGAAAACAUAGGAGAUAGUAAAGCAGAAUUAAAUGAUAGUGCGGUAGAGAAUGAUUUUGAGAGAGCAAGAAGUGAAAUACAUGGGCAAGCUAGUGGCGAAUCUAAUACACAACUUAGUGAUGACGGAGAUGAACAUGAAGAAUAUGGUGUAAAUAAACUGAAUUUUGAUACAACAGAAAAAGAUAUUGAAGAGUUAAGAAAGGAAUGUCACAUUCCCGACGAUAUUUUGCUUAGGUUACUGGGGGAAGAUGAGGUGGCCAGUAAAUUGAGUUACGGAGAAACCGUGAUUUAUAUAGAGAUGUUUAGACUUGGUUUUAGGUUGCCAAUUCAACCAUAUUUUGCCUGGAUAUUAGUGAGAUUGGGUCUGAGUCCUGGUCAUCUUGAUCCAAAUGGUUAGAGGAUUUUAGGCGGUAUGUAUAUUGUGUGGGCCGAACAGAACAAGAUUGAACCAUGUUUUAAGGAAUUCGCGCACUUGUAUUUGUGUAAUGAACAUAGGGUAGGUCACAAAAGAUAGUACUAUUAUAUGUCGAAAUCAAAAAAUAAAAGAAUAAUACUUGACUUUCCCAGCUCAUGUAAGAGUUGGAAAAAUAAGUACUUUGCGGUUGGUGGAAAUUAAGGUAAGAACAUAGACCUGACAAAGGGUUGGUUUAAAGUGCCCAUUCAAUUUAGUAGACCAGGUAAUGAAAGUCUUAUUCAGGUUGAGGUUGGAACUUUGAUUGCGAAUUAAUACUUGCCUUGUUGCAGUGACUUGGAAGAGGAAUGUUAUCAUAAGCGAGAGACUAAGGAUUAGAGUUGAGAGAGGUUUGUUGCACACAGAGGAUUGGAAGUUAUUUCUUGACACCUGAGAGAUUAUUUAGCACCAACCUCAUUUCCAGCUUUCCACAAAACAAAAAGAAAACAAGAACAAAAAGUAAAAUUUUUCUAAGUGAAUAUCCUUGUGUAAUGCAUAAGAUUUACUAACUUGAGCUUUUCAUUUACCAUUGUUAUAAGGAACAUGACUUCUGCCAGGCGCACCCCAGCAGAGAUUGCGAAGGCCUUGGUCGAAGAGAUUCAGACAAGGAGUGCAAACCGCAUAGCAAGAAACCGCAACGAACGAUGCAUAAGAACAAGGCUGAUGAGAAAAAAAAUAAACAACCCGCAACUUUAGCUCGUAAUGUGCCACCUCAAAACAAAGAUGACCGAGCUGCUAACUCACGUCCUCUGCGCAUUUUACCUUCUACCACUUCAUUGAUAUGUUCGACAUAAAACUUACUUGAAAGGGAGGAUAUCAUGGAAUCGAAGCGAGGAAAAGUGGAAAGCUUACUACCCAUGCUCAAUUUGGCUGCUCGGUCUGUGAACUAAAAUGCCCUCAAUGACUUUUCUCACUUGACUGCCACUCAUGCUCUUGAAUUGCUCGCUCGAAAUCAAGUUGAGGUAGGCAUUAGUUUCUAGUUUUUAGUUGUUCUUUGAUGUUAUUAUGCGGCUAACAUGCUUCACUUUCCAACAAUCUUUACUAAUGGCAAUGCAUAUCGAGACCUUUAUAAAGUCACUAAAAGGCUAAGCAAAGAUAGAAGAGCUUGAGUGUGCCUUGUCCAAAGCCAAGCUCAACAAUAAGAAGAUGGCAAGAUAGCGAGAUUGGCUUAAGCAUGACCUUAAUGCUCGGAAUGAGGAAAACGCCCAACUAGCGGAAGACUUGGUAGCCGAGAAAUGAUCCAAUGCUAGCAAAGCGUCACAGACCGCAAUCGUGACACCCAAGAUAGCGCUUGUAUGCUAGUAUCGACAAUGGUUGUGCUAAUUAUAGGAGACGUGCUUCAGGGGUGUGCAUGUGGGGAAUACAAUGGUCAUAGACUCUUUAGAGUUCAAGCAGGCCGACCCAGUUGAGUUUGGAAAGUUUGUCGCCAGUCAAGGACUUAACGUUGAAAAGGGGUCUAGACGAAGCCUUACACACACUGGUUGGGAACUGGAGCUGUUCUCCUGGUGAGCCCAAGGCAGGGCGAAACCAGUCGAUAUUGUGCCACUUCCAUUAGGCUUACUCUUAUAGUAUGGGAUGCGGGAGUAUCGCAUGGGUUUGAAACCUCUCGACCCGUGACAAAAGACUCUAAGAUUGCCGAACUUAGCCAUGAGUUGGAGAAAGUCAAGUCUGAUGUAGAUCAAUGCAUCCGGUUGGAGAAGAAGCAGUUAAAAGCCAACGUUAUUCAGACGUGCAUUAAGUUAUUUUAAGAAAAGCAUCCUGACAUGGACUUCCAGUUGAUAUUGACAGCUUAUGUAAGCAAAGAGAGAGCUUAGAAGAAAUCUUUAGGUACGAGCCAAGUAGAGAACUAUAAUCAAGUGUUUCAAGAUGGUGAGGUCGGGAUCAAGGGUGAGGCUUCCCUAACCAACAGGGUUGUUGAAGGCUAAGAGGAAAUUUCCCAAGUGAAUUCACUUUCCUUACUAUAGUGUUCGCUAUGUAUGGGCCAUGAACUUGUGCAAGCUUUUGUUGGAACUUUUAAUUGGCUUUUGUAUUCAGAUAAUCAUCGUUUAACCCAUACUUCUUACUCUUUUUGUUUGCUCAGGCCUAUCAAUGUUUGGAUUCUAUGGAUUGCAAACCAAUUUAAACUUUGGCAAUUGAACAAAUUUAUCUCAACCCACAAGAUAAGUGUCAAGGCUAUGGCCGACCUCAACAAGGUCAUAGCCGACCUCAACAAGAUAAUGUCAAGGCUAUCAUCGACCUCACUGAAGCAAUAGCCGACCUUAACAAAAUUGAAAAUUAAUAAAAUUAUUACAGCUAUGAUCGACCUCAACAAGAAUGGCCAACCUCAGCAAAUUGAAAAUUGUAGAACUUGAAUGUUAAGGCUAUGGCUGACUUCAACAAGAUUGAAAUUUGUAGAAUUUAAAUGUUAAGGCUAUGGUCGAAUUCAACAAAUGAAAAUUGUAGAACUUAAAUAUUAAGGCUAUGGCUGACCUCAAUAAGGCAAUGGCAGACCUCAACAAGAUUGAAAUUAUAGAACUUAAAUGUUAAGGUUAUGACCGACCUCAACAAGAUUGAAAAUUGUAGAACUUAAAUGCUAUGACUAUGACUGGCCUCAAAAAGUGAAUGGUCGACCUCAACAAGUCAAUAGCCGACCUCAACAACGUCAAGGCCGACCUCAUAAGAUAAUGGCCGACUUCAACUAAAUUGAAAAUUGAAAAAUGUUAAGGCAAUGGCCAACCUCAAUAAAUUUUUACAUUGGACCUCAACAAGGCCAAGAGCUGAUCUCCAUCUCAACAAGAUUGGACAAAAUUUUUACGUUGGACCUCAACAAGGCCAAUGGCUGAUCUCAAUCUCAAUAAGAUUGAAUAAAGUUUUUAUGUUGGACCUCAAUAAGGCCAAAAUGACAACAUCGAUCUCAACAAGACCGGAUUGCAAUUCAUGUAGGACCUCAAUAAGACCCAAAUAUAAAUCUUACCUGAAAUAAGAUCAGAUAAAGUUAUUCACGUAAAACCUCAAUAAGGCCUAAAAUUCGAUCCUGACAAAUUAGACCGAUCACAAGUAUAUAAGUUGAGAAAUAUAAUUGCACUUUUAAAUAACCUCAUUGAUAUUAAUAUGACAGAAAUUACAGAAUUGAACACAAACAUAUUGAAAUAACAAAGAAACAAACUUUCCUAGCAUAUUUAAAGAAACUAAACAAACAAGAAAAUCAUUAAUAAGAUUAGCCUACUGAUAGUAUUUUCGCAAGUGUUAUGCAUUCCACGCCUUGCCGACGACCAUGCUAAUCGGAUAACCUAACUUAUAUGUGCCAUUACCAAAUGAGUGUAGUAUUUUGUAUGGUCCUUCCUAGCUCAGCCUUAGAACUCCAUUAGAUGGCUUUUUCGUUGACUAGUUGACUUUGCGGAGCACCAGGUCCCCCUCUUGAAAUUAUUAUAGCCGAGUAGAACUUAGCCACUUUUUGCUGGUAAAUUAGUGCUCAACCUCUUGCCACCUCUCUCUUCUCAUCAAGCAAAUCUAAAUCCAAUAGUAUAUGUUCUCUGUUCACUGUCUAAUCAUAAUAUUUUGUGUAGUGUGUCUCCAUGCCAACCUCAGCUAGAUUACCGCCUCAUGUCCGAAAGCAAACGAGAAUGGAGUCUCCCAUGUUGAAGUCUUCAUGGUCGUUCUAUAGGCCGCCCACAACACUUCCCAAGCGCCCUUCUUCUCACCAAACUUUUUCUUCAACAACUACUUUAUGGUUUUGUUCGUCGCUUCCACUUGUCCAUUUACUUUCGGAUAAGCAGGUGAGCUGAACCGAAGCUCGAUACCGAACUGAGCACAAAACUUCUUGAAGUUCUCAUUAUUGAAAUGGGUCCCAUUAUCGGUGAUAAUAGCUUAUGGUAGGCCAUAUCUACAAAUCACAUUCCUCAAUAUGAAAUAUAUUGUUCGCUUCUCAUUUAUCUUUUGAAGUGGUUCAACUUCAAUCCUCUUGGUAAAAUAGUCAAUGGCUACCACCGUGUAUUUCAUUUGGCCUAUUCUGGUCAGCAUAAGUCUGAUAAGAUCCAUCCCUAUUGUGUAAAUGGCCAAGUGUUCACCAUUGUUGUCAUGUUUUCUAGUGGCUCUCAUGCAAUUACAGUGAACUUCUGGUAUUCAUCACAUCUGCGGACUAAUUCUCGUGCAUUGUCAUGCAUGGUCGGCCACAAAUAGCCCUGCCUUUUUAUUUUAUGGGCUAAUUGUCACGGGACAAGAGGUUUUGAGCCCGUGCAACACUCCCGCAUCCUAUAUUAUAAGAGUAAGCCUAGUGAAAGUAACACAAUAUCAACUGGUUUCGCCUUGCCUUGGGCUCAUCAUAAGAACGACUCUAGUUCUUAACCAUUAUGUGUAGGGCUUUGCCUAGACCCCUUUUCAACGUUAAGUCUUUGACUAGCAACAAGAUCCCUCAACUCAACCGGGUCGCCCUGCUUGUACUCCAAAGAAUCUAGGAUUAUUGUAUUCCCCACAUGCACGCCCUUGAAGCACAUCUCUUAUAAUCAGCACAACCAUUAUCGAUACUAGCGUACAAGUGCAUAUAUUGUGUGUCACAAUUGUGGUCCGUGACAUUUUCCUACCGCUAUGACCAUGUACGUCCUCGUGCAUGAAGAGUACGCCUCGUAAAUGUGCAUUUCUGCGCGAAAACGUGAAGGUCGCCUUGUCAAUCUUACCCAUGAACUCCCUGCUUACUCGUCAUCGAUCCAGGGAGAGGACCCGCGUGUAGACACUACCGACCUUAGUGCGAAUGCUUGGGGGUGUAAGAACCCGCCUAUUCAUCCCGUUUGUCGACUAUUGCGCUCAAAAGGGUGAAAACCUGCGUGGUGCAACAUUAGAGCGCUUGGCAAGCUCGCAACGAGGGCUUCGAGAGAUGACAAGUGUGGCUCGGAUACCAUUUUUCAUGGGAUGAGAGGUUUUGAGCCCGUGCGGCACUCCCGCAUCCCAUAAUACAAGAGUAAGUUUAGUGGAAGUAGCACAUUAUUGACUGAUUUUGCCCUGCCUUAGGCUUAUCAGGAGAACGACUCCAGUUCCCAACAAGUGUAUAUAGGGCUUCGCUAAGGCUCCUUUUAAAUGUUAAGUCCUCGACCAGCGACAAGCUCCCCAAACUCAACCGGGUCAGCCUACCUGAACUCCAAAGAAUUUAGAACCAUUGUAUUCCCCACACGCACGCCCUUGAAGCACGUCUCCUACAAUCAACACAAAAAUUGUCAAUACUAGCGUACAAGCGCAUAUCUUGGAUGUCACAAUUGCGGUCCGUGACAUGAUGCCCUACUUCCACCGUGAUCUCCACAAAUUCCCUCGUGUGCCUCUUUCAUUAUAUAGUUGGCAUAAAGUGAGCCCAAAUAUCGUAGAUAAGGUAAAGUAUAACCUCUUCUAUGAAGUACGCCUUCAAUAAUAGAGUAACAUGUUGCCUGGCAUCAAAACCUUCUUGCCUCUACUUUAUCUUGAGGUUGUUCCCCAAAUUCAAUAUACCUUAUGGUAGGCACCAUCUAGCUCUUCUCAUCUUAUACCAUACAAACUUUCAUCUCGGGAUCAGCUAUACAUGGCUUUGAAACUGAUUCUAAUGGGAUUCCUCAUGGGAACUUUGGGCAUUCUGUAGCUGUUAGUCUUGCUAUAUAAUUUGCUCGGUAAUUCUCUCAUCUCGAAACUUGCUCCAUUAUAUAUUGAUCAAAACUACCCCGUAGCUGCAGUGCUUUGCUCAAAUACUUGGACGUGUUCUCACUUUUGGCUUGAAAUGUCUCAUUCAGAUAGUUCACUACCAGUUGUGAGUCACUCUUCACCUUCAAAUGUCGAACCUCUAAUGCCCUUACUAAUUUUAGACCCGCAAUGAGAGCUUUAUAUUCUGCUUUAUUGUUUGUAUGUUGGAAUUAAUACUUGAGAGCGUAGCAUACUUCUUCUUGGUCGGGCAAAACCAGAACAAUUCCCCCACCUGACCCUUCUAGGUUUACAGCUCCAUCUACAUUAAGCUCCCAUACAUCAUUCUUCUUUUCUGCCUCUUUAAUCUCCUGUUCGGCAUCCAUCUCUUCACUCCCUUCACUACAAUCAUUAAUAAAGUCGACCAGAGCUUGUGCUUUAAUUGCAAACCUUGGUCGAUAACUGAUGUCAAAUUCACUUAGUUCUACUGACCACUUAGCUAGCCUUCCCGAAAUGUCCGGUUUGUGCAAAAUUUGUCUCAAAUGGUGAUUGAUGACAACCACGAUCUCAUAAGCUUGAAAAUAUGGCCUCAACUUUCUUGUGGCUACAACUAAAGCCAUCGCCCACUUUUCUGCAAUAGGGAUAUCUUACUUCCGCCCCUAUAAGAGAUCUGCUCGUGUAGUAUACCAGACGUCGGACUCCACCUUCUUUUUUACCAGGACCAAGCUAGUUGAAUAAUUUGAGACCGCCAAGUAGUGUAAGAGAACAUCACCCACUGAGGGCUUACUCGGAGUUGGUACGUUGGCUAAAUAUUCUUUUAGUUGUUGAAAUGUUAUGUCACAUUUUUCUGACUACUUCAAUCUUUUACCUUUCUUCAUCAAUACAAAAAAACAGAUGGCAUUUAUCUGAUGCUUUAAAAAAAAACAUGCCCAGCGCGGCAACUUUCCUAGCUAGGCUCUAAAUAUCUUUACGAUCCUUUGAUGACCUUAUCUUGAGAAUAACCUCUACUUUUUCUGUAUUAGCUUUUACCCCCUUUGACUAACCAAGAAGCCCAAAAGUUUUUUCAACUCCACUCCAAAAAGACACUUUUUCAGAUUCAACUUCAUUUGAUUCUUUCGUAACACUUCAAACGUCUAACACAAGUGCGCUAAAUGGUCGACCAGCUUAACAGACUUGGUUAUCAUGUCAUCCACAUAUACCUCCAUCGUUUUACCAAUCAAGGGCUUGAAGAGCUUGUUUACCAACCUCUGAUAAGUAGCUCUUGUAUUUUUUAAUCAAAAUGGCAUCACAAGGUAGCAAUACAAUUCUUAGUCGAUCACAAAAGCUGUCUUUUCUUUAUCUUCUGUGGACAAACAAAUCUAGUUGUAUCCCGAGAAUGCAUCCAUAAAACUCAUCAAGCCAUUCCCCGCGAUUGAAUCCACUAACUGAUCAAUCUUUGGGAGAGGGAAACUAUCUUUAGGACAAGUUUUGUUGAGGUCGGUAAAGUUUACAUACAUCCUCUAUUUUCCAUUUGCCUUCUUAACCAUUACCACAUUCGAAACCCAUUCUGGAUAAUUCACUUCCUUUAUAAACCCCGCUUUCAACAGUUUAUCUACCUCAUCAUAGAUGGUCUUGUACCUUUCUUGGUUGAAUACUCUUCUUUUUUGUUUCACGGGCUUAUGUCCUUUAUCUAUAGUCAACCGGUGACACAUAAUCCGUGGGUCUAUUCCCAGCAUAUCUUCAUGGCUCCAAGCAAAUAUGUCAUUGUACUCCACAAUAAAUUCUGAAGCUCAUUAGAAAUGUCAUUCAUCAUUUUUGUUCCCAUUCUUACCACUUUACUCGGAACAUCCUUAUUCACUGGCACUAGUUUCAUUUCUUCAUUAGGUCGUUGUUGGCAUAAUCUAUUCUCAGCUCAUGGAUCGAUACUCGUGAUCUACAUGGAUUCUCUCGCAGCUGUAGUAUAACAGCUUCGAGCUAUUUGUUGCUGGCCCCUCAUCACGCUAACCCCACUUUGAACUCUAAACUUCAGACAUUGCAUGUAUGUUGAUCUUACCGCUCAUGUUAUCCUGUUGAACGGUCUGUCCAAAAUAAUUUGAUAAGGGCUAGACUCCUCAACUACCACUCAUGUCACCAUCACUGUCUUUUGUAGUGGGCUCGACCCUAUUUUCAGUCGCAAGUCAAUCACCCCAAGAAGAAUCAGCUUAGUUUUGCCAAACCUUUGUAACGAUGUUCUGACAGGAUAAAGCUUGAGGUCUCUUAUUUGCAGAUCUUCCAGGGUUUGCUUAAACAAGAUGUUCACAAAGCUACCCUCAUCUACAAGAGCCCGAUUUAACUCCUGCCCUACCAAGGUAACCUUCACUACAAGCGUAUCUUCAUGCGGAUGUGCGACCGCUUCCUUGUCUUCGUCUGUGAACAUGAUUGGCACUCUUUGAAUCCGCUACUUUUUUUGUGCCGGAACAUUAAAAUUCACCUUAUAACUUUUUAGUGAAUAUCUACUAUAAUUUCUCCUCACGAUUUGAGUCUCUUGCUAGGGUCGGCUGAUGGUUGUCGAAGCCAGCAAAAAUAAAUACCUACUCUAAAUAAAUUGUGUUUAGUGAUUGAGCAGGGUCGUGUCCACAGAGAUCGGUAAUUAUUGAAAUCCUUUUAAAACGUAAAACAUAAAAUGGGGGUUUUGUUGACAAUAAUAAAAAUCAAAUUAAAAUAACAAGAAUGCAAAUUAAAGUCGUAAUUUAAAUUGGAGAAAGCUCUGAUUGAAGGAAUUAACUCAGCUUGAUUCGACUACUGAUCAUUGAUUCAAAUAUAAAUUAUUACUACUUAUGAAUAGACCGGUUAUAACUACUGAGACCCUCUAAUAGCUAAUCUCUCCUUAACUAGUCGAUAACCAAGGUACGACCGUUGGUUAUUUCCCUAAUCAAUAGACAACCCUAGAUACGAUCAUAGGAUUUAAUCAAUUGACAGCCUGAAAAACCAGAGAGACCCAAAUCCUAAUCAACAAACGCAUACGAUGGUUCAUUUAAAUUAAAUUGUUUAUUCUCACAACACAACUCUCUGCUAUGUUAUUUGUCACAAACAUUAAAAUCUUCAUACGAUGAAUCCUUUAAUUGACAAUAGAUUAAGUUGAUAAUUAAAUAGUGGCCAAUUACCUAAUUAACAAACAUAAUCAUGAAAAUAAUUCAGAGAAUAAACAAAUACCCAAAAAGCAAUAAAACAAUUAAAGCAUAAGAAAGAUCUCACAGUAGUGAUGAAUCAAAGCUUCCUUAACCUUCAACCAGAAUAAUAGGUUUAGUUCUUCAUAGAGAGAAGAUAAAAGUUUAGAUCUAGGGUUUCUUUCUUUUCUAAAAAGUCCCAUUUUUUACAAUAGAUUCCUCCCUUAAAUACUCUCUCUCUCUUCUCCUCCAGAGUUCUAUUUAAAAUAAAAUACUAAUAUCUGAAAUAUUAAAUUCGUAAUUAUAAAAAUAACCAAAAAUACAAAACACGUUAAACUAAAAACUGCAAGUUUGUAGUUGACAGAACGCGCCCACGCCUUAUCAACAAAGUUCUUCUGACGCUUAUAAUUUCUCCAAGAAAACAAUCAUCCUUAAACAUCAUCUUGUAACUCAAUUUUAUCACCAAUCAAUAGAAUUGCACCUACAAAGUAAAACACAAGUAAAUCACUAUUAUUAAGUGCAAAACAUCGAUAUUAAGGGAAGUAAAUAAUACAAAACUAGUGCAUAAAUUGCACUCUAACAAAUUCCCCCACACCAAGAUGAUGCUUGUCCUCAAGCAUAUAACUCAAAACUAAUCCCAAAUCUCCACUCAAUUCUCAUCUCAACUCAUCCAAAAACAAUCUUAAGCAAGCAUACCUCAAGAAUUUAAGUCGAUAAACAUUCGAGAGAUAAGGAUUUUAAACCAUAGAAUCUCAUAAGAUAGAAUAAGAGCAUUCAACCACCAAGAAGAUCCAUUCAAAAUUCAAGUGCAACAAGAUUUAAUAGCUCUCUCAUUGACUUCACUCCAUUCACUCAAGGUGUUUAGGGUGUCAUUUAUGCACUCAAAUCAAAUCAAAGAAUGCUAUUACCAUAAGCUUACUUAUAUAUCACAUCUCAAUCCACAAAACAUAAAUUAAAUGCAAAAAUCUAAGGGUCUUAAAAAGGUUGUAACGGGGUUAAAUGGGUUAAAUGAAAAAGAAAGGUCUAUGAAAGAAAAAGAGAUCAAAAUGAGAAGAAUUAACUCAUUGAAUGAACCUUAUAAUAUCGAAACGCUUAUUUAGUCACCAAGAAUAUAAACAUUUUUUUCUUUUUUUUUGAUUUUUUUCUUUUCUUUUCUUUUCUUUUUCUUUUUUUUCUUUUUUCUUUUCUUUUUCUUUUUUUUUAAUCAAACAAAAGAAACGAACUUUGCACAAUUUAAUUCAAGUAUAAUGCUUGUUGAUCUAAUUGAGAAACUUUAAUACAAGGUAGAAAAAGCAACAAAAUAUAUCCACACAAUGAGUCCAAAAAUCUCCUUAAAUUGAGGCUUAAAAAGAAGAAAAAUGGUUAAGUAGACGGAGAGAAUUAGAUGGGUAAUGGUUAAGGCUCAAACAAAGAUAGCAAAUAAAGGUCUUCGGGUAGAGAAAAAGAAAAAAGAAAAAUGCGAGAAUAGAAAAAUGAAAAAUGGCUUGCCCUUAUCAUUUUAAUGCAUAAAAUCCCGUAAUGCGGCUUCAACAUGCAUAACAAAGCAAGUUCUAGAAUAAACAAACUAAGAUUGAUAUUCACAUAACAAAAAUAAUUAGAGCAAAGUGGUUGCUCAUAGGCUCAAAUCCUUACAAAGUUGGUAAAUUUGCCAUCAAAUCAUGUACACUCUUCAAAUGAAUCAACCAUCAAUAGUGGUUUGGAAUGAGAAGAAGGUAUGAGUGAUAUAUAAAAGGAAAGGUAAAAAUGAUAAGAAGUGAGAAAGAUGGAUAUAGUAAUAUGAAAAGUGAAAGAUAAAAUGUGAGUGAUGAAAGAGUAUGAUAGAAUAAAAAUAUAUGUAAAUAAUUUGAGAUAGAUGGGAAAAGAGUAGUGAGAAAGAAAAGAAAAGAAAAGAAAAAUAAUAAUAUAUAAAACAUACUAACUCCAAAAUCAUUUAAGGAUGAGUAGAGUGAAAAUAGAUGAGUAGAGUGAAAAUAAUACUUCCAGACAUCAAUAAUGCAAAAAUCCCUCCCCCACACCAAGAACUUACAUUGUCCCCAAUGUAAGAUAAUCAAAGCUCACAUAAAAAUUAAAGUGUAAGGAUAAAAGAUUAAAGGCAAAAACUUCCCUGAAUUGUGAGCUUUGAUCCUCAUAACGUCUAUGGGCUUGGCGGAAAUGGUGGGAUAAAUCCCACACUCUCGAAGUAUGCGGCCAAAUUUUGCUCCAUCUUGUUCAGCUUGUGCUCCAUUUUCUCUAACUGAAUGCUCAAAGGUGGUGCGGAUGUAGAAGGAAUAGUUGGUGAGGCAGCAGUUUCGUCGUCAAACUCGUCAUCAAAGGUAGCACCACUCCUAGCAUAAAGCUUCUUUGGAAGUUGAGCGGGUCUUGGUUCAGUAAACUGAAAUCUCCCUUCCUUGAAUUCGACCACGCCUGUUCUUUCAAACACAGACAUAUCCAAAAAUUCCUUUUUGCAAGCAUGAUGCAAAUCAUUAUUGUCAGGAUCAAGCACACAUAAGUUUAUAGCUAAAGAUGCUUUAAAAAUAAAAACUUUUAAAAAUAAAUUGCGGAAAAUUAAAGUAUAGAAAUUUAAACAUACAUGUAAAGCUUUAAAUAAAAUUUACAAAUGCUUUAGAAUUAAAAUGAAAAUUGAUUGCUUACAUUGAUUGCUUUUCUUUGUAGUGAAGAAAGGGAAAUUAAUUGUGAAGGUAAGGAACUAUUCUGUAAUCAGAAAAAUUUCCUUGAACCCUUCGGAUUCCAGAUUCCCAGAGAGAGAGAGAAAGAAAGAGAAGAGAGAAAUGAAAACUUAGAGAGAUGGAGAAAAAGAAAAUCUGAGGAGUCUGAGUCCUAACCAUUCCCNNNNNNNNNNNNNNNNNNNNNNNNNNNNNNNNNNNNNNNNNNNNNNNNNNNNNNNNNNNNNNNNNNNNNNNNNNNNNNNNNNNNNNNNNNNNNNNNNNNNNNNNNNNNNNNNNNNNNNNNNNNNNNNNNNNNNNNNNNNNNNNNNNNNNNNNNNNNNNNNNNNNNNNNNNNNNNNNNNNNNNNNNNNNNNNNNNNNNNNNNNNNNNNNNNNNNNNNNNNNNNNNNNNNNNNNNNNNNNNNNNNNNNNNNNNNNNNNNNNNNNNNNNNNNNNNNNNNNNNNNNNNNNNNNNNNNNNNNNNNNNNNNNNNNNNNNNNNNNNNNNNNNNNNNNNNNNNNNNNNNNNNNNNNNNNNNNNNNNNNNNNNNNNNNNNNNNNNNNNNNNNNNNNNNNNNNNNNNNNNNNNNNNNNNNNNNNNNNNNNNNNNNNNNNNNNNNNNNNNNNNNNNNNNNNNNNNNNNNNNNNNNNNNNNNNNNNNNNNNNNNNNNNNNNNNNNNNNNNNNNNNNNNNNNNNNNNNNNNNNNNNNNNNNNNNNNNNNNNNNNNNNNNNNNNNNNNNNNNNNNNNNNNNNNNNNNNNNNNNNNNNNNNNNNNNNNNNNNNNNNNNNNNNNNNNNNNNNNNNNNNNNNNNNNNNNNNNNNNNNNNNNNNNNNNNNNNNNNNNNNNNNNNNNNNNNNNNNAUGUUUUAUUGGAGGAGAAAAAUGCUGAAGCUAGUCGUCUUCGUUUUCGUGUCCCAAGGACAUACAAGGUUCUUCAUCUCCGGAGGUACUCGAAGAAGAACUUGCAACAGAUGUCUCUGAUCUUGUGGCGAGAAGCUGCUGCAUAACAUUGAAGUACUCCUCUUCAGUUUUGGCACUAGCCAGGAGAGAUUGGGCUUUAGAUUUUUGGGUCAGAAAGGUUUGUUGGGCUUUGGAGCUUUUAAUGGUGGGUUGAAGAAAUCCUUUGGCAGAGAGCCAAUUUCGGACUAAGGUUUCAGUCAAUUUGGACUGUUCAUCAAAUUUUGACCACCAUUUUACUUUAAAUGUUCUUUGUAAAACAAGCUGGGUUUCUUGGGUGUGAUAUCUGAGAUUCCACAUCCAUACCCAUGGGAGGAAGAAAUUUGUACAAAAACAGAGAAAGGGGGGAAACCUUUUCUCGGAUUCAGAGGGAGUAUAAUGGGCUUUGAACAAAUUUAAACAGUGGAUGGCAUUUGGUGUUAGGAUAUCGGGGAUUGGGCCAAAAUGAUUCCACCAUUGUUUAAACCAAUUAGGAAGGCUUUGGACAAUUAUUUUUGAAUUAAAGAAAAAUAACCAUGAAUGGGUCUUUUUAGGGUUUUGUAAGAAAAAUGUGUUAUACCAGGCUUGUUGAUAAUCCCAGUAUGAGAAGAUCAAGCAAUGUGGUAAACGCAUUUGGAAAUUGGAGGGAAAUCUUUUUUGGUUAUGGAGUAGGUCACCCCAUUGUUUUGGGCUCAAGACUUUUAAUAUGGUGGCUGUUGAAUAGGCCGGCUCAGAAUGGGAGUCACUGAGAUAAAAAUAUUUGAAUUUAACCGAUUCAGUGGCUUCCAAAAUGCUUUGAUAAUAAGGCUGGGGUUUUGUUAAAUCCCAUGGUUUGAAAAACCAGCCUUUAGGGAAAAACUUUGCAAGAGUUUGAAAUGGAUCAAAAUGGUAAAACCCAUCUUCUAUGGUUAAAAUGUUUUGGAAAUGAGCUUUAUCAAACCAAACCGAAGUUUUCUUUGAAGGAGUUGGCUGGGAAAGUACAAUCUGAGAAGAUGAACUUUCACCAGAUAAAAUAAUAUUUUGACUUUGGGAAGGGGGUUUUGAAAUUUCUUUAGAGGUUGGUUUUUCUUCCUCGAGGAUUUGAGAAAGGGCUUUAGAUUUUGAAAUGCCUUGUAAGGCAAGCAUAAGCUCAGGGGAUUUUGUAAUGGAUUCCAUCCACUCUUUUACUUGUUGUUCAGAGGAGAUGGCUUUGUAUUGGGUUUCUUAUUCUUCUUCGACCAUUUCAAUCCAGGAUUUAAUGGGCAUGGCUGAAGAAAGUAGUUUUUCUUUAGAGGGAGUAGUUUGAGGUUCUUUGGGGGUCUUUGUAGGUUCGGUAUCUUUAAGAACAGCUUUACCUUUGUCUCUUUUCUUUGGCGACAUUAUCUGUUUUGCAAAAAUUCUUUGGUUAGAAAAUUAGGAAUAAAAUUUGUAUCACCUUUAAUAAACUCAAUAUCAAAGUCAAAAACACUUAAAAUGGCUUGCCAUCGUGCAAAAAUUUAUUUUGAUGUAAUGUUUUGAACAUCUUUUUUUAAAACAUGUUUUGCAGCUUUGCAAUCGAUUCUAAGUAAAAACUUUUGAUUUAAUAAAUCAUGUUGGAAUUUAGAAAUGCAUAAAACAAUGGAAAGAAUUUCUUUUUUGAUAGUUGAAUAAUUUUUCUGGCAUUCAUUCCAAUGUGCAGAAACAUAUUGAACUAUCUGUUCUUUAUCAUUUUCCUUUUGCUUUAAUAUGCCUCAAUAACCUAAAUCGGAUCCAUCAGUUUCAACAAUUUUAGGUAAUGCAGGAUUUACAAGAAAUAAACAUGGUAUGGAUCUUACAGAAUUCUUUAUGAGUCUAACUAUUUUAGUAUGUUCAUCAGUCCAAGAACCAGGAUUCUUUUUUAACCUAUCAUGUAGAGGUUUAGACAUCCUAUUAAUGUUAGGAUAGAAAUCAAGAACAUAAUUGAGACUACCUAGAAAUCUCUGUAAUUGAGUUUUGUCUAGGAUUUUGUCUAGGAAUUUGUCUGCAAAGACAAGAGAACACUCAAUAGGAGUAAUGGUUCCUUUAGAGAUAUAAUGACCAAGAAAUCUAAUCUUUGUUUGAAACAAAGAAACUUUAGAACUAGAAAUGGCUAAUCCAGCCUUUCUGGUGGCAAGGUAAAAAGUCUUUAAAUGUUUGAAAUGCUGGUCGAUGGUUUGAGAAAAAAUUAAAACAUCAUCAACAUAAACAAUGCAAAACUCAGAAUAAGGGUUAUAAAUAUCAUUCAUAAUUCUUUGGAAUUCUGAGGGUGCAUUUUUCAAACCAAAUGGCAUUACAUUCCACUCAUAUUGUCCGAAUGGAACAGUAAAGGCGGUUUUGUAACGGUCUUUAGGGUGGAUUUGAAUUUGCCAAAAACCUGAUUUCAUGUCAAAUUUUGAAAAAAAUGAAAGCAGAAUGCAGUUUUUGAAGCAAAUCCUUUUUGUUAGGUAUUGGGUACCUAAUCCAUUUUAACGCUUUAUUAAGGGGUUUAUAAUUGAUGACUAAUCUUGGCGUUCCUCUUUCAAUUUCAGAGUUUUUGUUUACAUAAAAAGCAGCACAAGACCACGGGGAUCUAGAUUUUACAAUGAGUCAUUUAGACUCCAAGUCUUUGAUUUCAUUUCUACAAUGUUGUUCCAAUUCCAUAUUCAUUUGGAUUGGACGAGCUUUAGUAGGUAUCUGUCUUUCAUCAAAAGAAUUUUCAUAAGGUAAAUCUACCAAGUGUUGUUUUCUAUUCCAAAAAGCAGAAGGUAGAUCAGCACAAAUGUCCUUUUCAAUAAGAGUUUUGAAAUCAGAAAUUUUUCUUUUUAUGAAAUCACUUUGUAAUUGGCUCUCAACUCUUUUUAGAUUUAAAUCCUUUUGUAAAAACAUUAAAUCAUUUUGUCUUGAUCUAAGAAGAUUAUUGAUUUGAUUCUGAUAAACAGAACAGGCUUUAACAAUAUUUAAAUUCCUUGUUUUUGGCUUUUCAAUAAAUGGGAAAACAAAUUUUGUGUUUUUUGCUUUGAAAGAUAUACUAUCGUAGUUGACAGUAUAAGGAGUGAUAAGAUUUAUAAAAGGAGUUCCUAAAAUGACAGCAUGGUGUAUGUCAUUUGUAAGAACAAAAGAAGUUCUAAAUUCAAAAUCAUUGUUUCUUUUGUUUUGAAUUAACUUUAAGUUUUGAAUUGUUGGCGGCAGAAAGUCUUUCUUUUGUUUUUUCAUGAAAUCUUUUGGGGACUAUAUCCUCUCUUAUGCAAUUUAAAUCGGCACCAGUGUCGAAAAGGGCAAUGGCAUCAAUUGCAAAAUCAUUAGAAAAAAUUAAGGUAAUUUUAAUUAGAUAUUUCCUCACAGUGAUUUGUUUUAAAACAAAUAGAAAAUCAUUGGGUAUAGAGUCAAUGUUUUCUAAAUUUUGAUCAUUUUUAUCAUCAUUAUCAGAAUUGGAUUCAUUAUCCGAACUUUCUUGUAAUUGCUUUUGUAAAAGAAGUUGGAUAGUUUGGGAAUCACUCUUUUGCUUUUCCUUUAACUCCCUUAUCUCUAAUUUAAUGUUUUUGAUUUCCUUUUGAAGAUCUUGGAUGCUGGGGGUAGUUUUCUUUGUUUUCUUUUUUCCCAAAAUCUCAGUAAGAUCAUAAGAAUUCUUUUUUACAAUUGGGACCUUAGACGUCUCAGCUUUGCUAAAAUCCAGAGUUUUUAAAAGUUUAUCAAGGUAUUUCUUUUGAAGAUUUGGAUCAGAAAUAUGCUUUACAAGUUCAAGAAAAGUUUCUUGGUCUUUAGUCAAAACAUUGAUUUUCUUUAAAUAAGAAUCUGAUUCAGAAUAACUACUGCUAGAUGCAGAGGUAUCUGAGUCAAUUAGCUCAUCGACCUGAAGAGGGUCACUAUCUCCCGACAUGGAAGACUCAGAGUCAGAAGACUCUACUAGAAGAGGGGCAACUUUAGAAAGGAUCUCUUCUUCAAGGCCAAGUUCCUGGAGCUUUCUGUUCAUUCUGCAAUAUUUUGCAGUAUGGCCUUUUAUACCGCACUUAUGGCAUAUGGCUUCUUUGUAGUUGAAAGGGGCUUUGUGUUUAGGUUUGAAUUCCUUUUUCUUAGAGAAGUUAGGUUUUUUAUAAGGCCUCGAGGGUUUCUUAUAAAAAGAUUAUCUAAAUUUCUGGAAUGGCUUCCUAUGGCUUUUGGAUUUGUAAUGUUUCUUGUGAGGUCUGGAAGAACACUCACCAUUACAAUCUUUAGAAGUAGAAGUUUUAAAGGGGUCAUAAUUGAAUUACUUGCAGAAACUGCCUAAUUCUUGCUUAGAUUUCCUAAGCUCCCAUUUCAGUCGUUUCUGAAGUUUCAAAUCUUGACAGAUCUUUAAACCUUCUUUAUUGACAAAACUAACUAGUUCACCAUAGGUGAGCUGAUCAUAAGGAAUGCGAUUGUCAUACAGGGCUUUAAUGGAAUUCCUAACCUUUUCUCCUAAAAGGGUAGGUAGACCUGCUAAGAAUUUCUCUUUCCAAGUUAUAUGAUUUGCAUCAUCUCUGAGAAAGAGCCUGGUAAAGAAAGUGGUUUUGUAGUCUUGGAAUUCACUAAGUUUCCUACAUACCAAAUUAUGUAGUAACUCAACAUUCUUAUCUCUAAGGUGAGAAGGGUCACCUAUGAAAUGGAGGGAAAUAGUCAGAAUCAGGGUAGCAACGGCAUCCUGAAUUGGACUAUUGAACUCAUCAAGAAUGGGGACUUCAUCUUGAUCUUUUUGUAUGGAAUUUAGGAUAUCUAGUUGUUGCUGUUGGGUGAGAAGAUGAUCCCACCAACUUUUAAGUUGACCUGUAAACCCUGCAAUAAGGAUUUCUACAAUGGCUUUGUCAGAAGUUCCAGAUUGGGUUUUAUAGGCAUUAGCUACCAUGGUCAUUUGUUGUAAUAAACCUAGAAUGUUGUACUCAGACAUUCCAUCUAUAUUCCACUCAUAAACAGAGGAUGCAUUACAUCGAGAUUGAUUUAAUACACUAGGCCUGUUGUCUAUGGUCAAAUCAGGUGGAGACUUGACAGUGGGAAGGGCUAGAUCCCAAUGGAUUUUGUUGGCUUUAGGAAUGGGUUCUUCUUUGAAGGCUUCUAUAUCAGAAGAGGCUAUAGACAUCUGGUCUUGUUCUAAUACUCCAAUCUUGCUAGAUUGGGGAGUAUCAGGAGCAAUUUGAACUUUGCUAGAUGAGGAAGAAGCAGCUUCUAUCCUAUCUAGUUGUUCCCUAAUAGCUUUAGCAAAAUCAGACUUUGACUCUUGAACAAGCUUUUGGCUAGUUUUCGAAACCUAAAAAGGUUUGAAAAUAGUUUCCUUAAGCUUUUUGUCAGAAUCCGAUUUUAAUGAAACAGGAGUAGAUGAAACAGUUAUGGUUGACUUCUGAAAGUGGUUCUCUAUCCUGGUCAACUGCUUUUCGAUUGUAUUUAAGUUAGUAUUACAGAAAUUAUUCUGUUGGAUAAUACUACUUAAAUUCGCAUCAGAAUCAUUUGGUUUUGGGAUUUUGUAAGGUGAAGCUCUAAUCUCAACAGGAGGUUCACCAUGAUUUAUGGCUAUACUCCUAAGAGGUGGAUGCUCAGAUUCAAUAGUUCUAUUACUAUCAGAAAGAUUCCAUUCAGAGAUUUUCUUCCUAAUAGUAAUAGGGUUUGACUCUUUGAAAGGAUAAUCAAUGUUGUUAUCAGAAGAAUAUAUCUCGAACCAAUCAAAAAACAAUAUAUGAACUUGAUGUAAAUUCACAAACUCAUAGUAAAUUUGUUGAAUUUCUUUUCUUUGGUUCAAAAAAUGCUUGAAAAACCAAGUUCUUUUUUCUUUAUUUAUUUCAGAAUAAAAAUCAUUAUGAAGAAGAUUUUUGUCUAAUUCAAAAUCCUUUUUAAUGACAUUAAUAACAUUUUUGGUGACAACAGAAAAUGUUGGAGAAGUUGGAGGAGAAGGUUCCUUCUCGUCUUGUCUUUGUUCAUGUUGACUACUAGUAUAGAUUGGGUGUGGAACAUUAGUGGUAUAGUCAACAGAACGUAUAGAAGAACUAGGUAUAUCCGAAGUGGAAAACCUAGGUUGACUCUUUACUGGCUGGUAAGGAAGAUUUAUAACAGAAGGGAUUUUUGUAAAUUUCCUUUCUAAUGAAGGAAUACUUGAGCACGACUCUUUAUCAGAAAAUCUGGUUGAAUUAGAUCUCCUGAAAGAUAGUUUAACUCUUCCAUCAGAAUACUGAGUCACAUUUUGUAACUCUGUAUUUGGCUCAAGUUGUUUUGGAAUCGCUGGUGGAGCGGCUCCUUCAAGAAUCCAUUCUUCUGGAAGAUUGACAUCUUUCCAUUGGAUUGGUUUUGGAAUAACAGUAUUGGCUUUAGACAGCUCAGUCUGUAACAGAAGAGUCUCAUCUCUUUUUGACUGGAAUUUAUGUUGUGUGCUAAAUGCAGAAAUCAUUGCUUUAUAAGAGAUUUUGAAUAUUAAUGCAACUGGGACAGAUCCCUCAAUCAUAUAUAAUUGUGGGUUUUGAUUUGUAAAAUCAUGCUUUUUAAAAUAUUUUUGUCUUUAAGGGAAAUUGUUAUGUUUGGAUAACAAUCAAAAGAAAUUGGACCUUUACAAAGACUGGAUUCGAUGCUACUUAGCAAAGAAUCAUCAAAAGAGAUGAAUCGACCAUCUCUAAGAACAGCGAAGAUAGAAGUAUCAAAGCCUUCUUUGGUUAAGGGUUUUAUGCCAACCUGGAUUAGUCCUAUAUGAACAUAAUUAAAAUUCUUUUCUUUUAAUUUCUUUAGUGAAUGCUCAGAAAACAAUUGAAUUGUUUCAAAUGGCUUUGAAAGAGUUAUAUCACGUUCUUCAGUCUUUAUUACAUAAUCAUUCUUUAAAAAAUCAAGCUUUUUUGUUUUGUAAAUCUUUUCUUUGAAAAUUUUUGGAAGUUCCCAACAAUCAAUUGCUUUGUCAAAGUUCUCAAUAAUGAAUUCUUUUGAACUCACAACAUGCUUUGAAUCACUAGUCUUCCCGGAAGAAGAGCUAGAAAAGGACGAUGCUCUACAGAGCAGAGGGUCCAUGGAUAAAAGCCUAUGUUCUAUUCUUGGUCCUGUCUGUAUGGCUACAGGUAUGGUUUUACAGCCUUAAGCGGAAAUCCUUAUCCUAAAACGGGACUUACUACUAGUAAAAAUUUACCACACAAAGUAAAAAAUUCACAGCUUUAUUUCCUUCUGGUAUCAGAGCCAAGGGGAGGAUAGUGUUGUACAGUUCAGAGUUUUGUGUUUAAAUACUUGACUCUUGAACAAGCUUUAACACACAACCUCAGCCUUAUAUAUAUAUAUAUAUAAAAGAAAGAAAAGAAAGGAAAAGAAAAAAACCUUUUUUCUUUUUUUUUUAAAUAAAGAAAUUUUUUUUUCAAGUUUUUUUUAGUGAUGAAUCACUUUGAGACACUAAAAAAAAUUUCAGAAGUACUUUUCUAAUAAGCACGUGGGCACACCUUAAAACCAUUUUACUUUAAAAAUCACAGAAGUACUUAUUCGUUAAGACGUGGGCACGCCUUAAAACCAUUUUACUUUAAAAAUCACAUAAUUACUUAUUAGUUAAGACGUGGGCACGCCUUAUCAAAAAUUUUCUUCUGACCAAAAUAAGCAAACACAUUAUUUUUUUAAAAAAAUCUGAAUCAAAAUUCAAAAAAGAUAUAACAAAAACCAAAAUAAAUAAAUUAUUUGGGUUGCCUCCCAAAAAGCGCAUUUGUUUUAUGUCUUUGGCUAGACACAUUUAUGCAUCAAUCUCCAUAAUUGGGACUCUCGAGAGCCACAUCCUCCACAAUAUUCACUGAAAAACCUUCAUAAAAAGUUUUUAAGCAAUGACCAUUAACCUUAAAAACUUUGUCAGAGGUCGGACUCCGAAUCUCAACUGCACCAUGAGGAAAAACAUUAGUAACAAUAAAAGGUCCAACCCAGCAAGAACGUAAUUUACCCGGAAAAAGUUUAAGCUUAGAAUGAAAAAGAAGAACUUUUUGACCAACAGAGAACUCCUUUCUCAAAAUCAUUCUAUCAUGAAACGUCUUCAUCUUUUUCUUGUAAAACACUUCCUGUACUAUAGGGUUAAUAAUAUCCACAGAAAAUACCGAAUGUUCUUCACUAGGAUAUUUCAUGGCAUCAUUCAUAUUGAAUUCUAUAACCUCUCCAUCAAACUCCAUAGUGAGAGCCCCUUUAUAUACAUCCAUUUUAGUCCUAGUAGUCGUAAGAAAAGGUCUUCCUAGCAAAAUUGGAACAAAAUUAGAGGAGUUAUCCUCUUCCAUAUCAAGUACAUAAAAAUCAGCAGGAAAAACCAACUCAUUAACUUAUACUAAGAUAUCUUCUAAUACCCCAUCAGGAUAUGCAUUAGACCUAUCAGCUAGUUGAAUUAUCACGCCGGUUUCUUUUAAUGGACCAACAUUCAAAGAUGAAUAAAUGGAACGAGGCAUGACAUUAAUAGAAGCUCCUAGAUCUAACAAAGCCUUUUCAAUUCUAACACUACCAAUUUUACAAGGGAUAGUAAACAUACCUGGAUCCUUGCACUUAGGAAGUAGUUUCUUUUGAAGAAUUGCUGAAACAUUCUCCCCCAUGUGAACUUUUUCAUCUCCUCUUAAUUUUCUCUUAGAGGUGCACAAUUUCUUAAGGACUUUAGCAUAUCGAGGUAUUUGUUUUAUAGCAUCUAAUAAAGGAAUAUUUACGUAAACCUUGCGAAAUGUCUCAAGGAUGUCUUUCUCUUGUUCCUCUUUCUUGGAUUUUGCAAACCGGCUUGGAAAAGGAGGAGGUAUCACAAUAGGUAGGGGUUUCGCUCUGGUGGGUUGCGCAUCUUGAGAUUUAGGCAUCAAUUCAUUCUUCUCAAGCUCAUCUUCUACAUGCUUUGUCACUUUCUUACUAGGCUCUUGCAACUCCUUCCCACUUCUAAGGAUGACAGCACUAACGUUUUGCUUUGGAUUCACUUCAGAUUGUGAAGGAAAUCUCCCUAAUAGUUGAGACUCCAGACGGCUCACUGUAGUCGCCAAUUGACUCAUUUGGUUCUCCAAGUUCUGAAUGCUUGUUGUAGUUGCCUGCUGAAGUUGUUGAGUGUUAGUCACAAGUGAUUUAACAAUUUCUUCAAGAGAUAUACCUGACUUGGAGUUUGACUGUGGAGGUGCUGGUUGUCUUGGUGGAUACUGAUGUGGGAAUCCUGACGGCCUAACUCUAUAGUUGAAGUUGGGAUGAUCCUUCCAUCCUGGAUUGUAUGUUUGUGCAUAAGGAUCAUACCUCCUCUGAGGCAUGCCUGGAAAUCCUCCAACUGCAUUGGCUUGUUCAACGGGUUCUUCUUGAAGUGUAGGACACAUAUCAAUUGAAUGACCCAUAUUGUAACAAAUGCCACAAGUCUUCACCUGUUGCACAUUACCUACAACAAACUUUUCCACAAGAGAAGUAAGUUUAUCUAAACAUUGUUCAACAGAAGAAAUAUUUACCUCAUUCACCUUCCUUGAAGUAGGAUCUUGCCUGCUGCCAAAUUGUUGUGCAUUGGCAACCAUAUUUGAGAUCAACUCCCUUGCUUGAGUAGGGGUCUUGUUCACCAACAUACCUCCACUAGCAGCAUCUAUCAUACUCCUAUCCAUUAAUGACAGUCUUUCGUAAAAAUAUUGAAUAAGAAGUUGAUCAGAAAUCUGAUGCUGAGAAUAGCUGGCACACAAUUGUUUGAAUCACUCCCAAUACUCAUACAAAGUCUCCCCAGGAAGUUGUCUGAUCCCACAAAUGUCUUUUCUGAUGUUGGCAGCUCUUGAAGCAGGAAAGUACUUCUCAAGGAACUGCUUCUUCAAACCAUUCCACGUUGUAAUCGAUCCAGGAGGCAAGUAGUACAACCAGUCUUUAGCUAGCCCAUCUACAGAGAAUGGAAAAGCACGCAGCUUAAUCUGCUCUUCAGUCACGCCUUGUGGCCUCAUACUUGAACACACAACAUGAAACUCCUUGAGAUGUUUAUGAGGAUCUUCACCUGCAAAACUAUGAAACUUGGAUAAUAAAUAAAUAAGACCAGACUUUAAUUCAAAAUUUACCUCCAAGUCUACAUAUUGAAUGCAGAGUGGUUGCUGAUUCAAGUCUGGUUCAGCUAACCCUCUAAGAGUUCUUUCUACAGGUGCAGCUCUAUCCAUCACUUGUUCUUCUGAAUCGCUAGAUGAUUCAACCAAAUUAGGCACCGUAUCUAUUUCAGAAAGCAAAGGCGACGAGGAUCGUUGCUUAGCUCGCUUCGUCUGUUGUCUCAGCUGGCGAGCUGUCUUCUCAAUUUCAUGAUCAAACGAAAGUGUACCUGUACGAGAAGAACGAACCAUACACCAAGUAAAACGUAAAAAAGAUUAAAUAAAUGACACCAAUCCCCGGCAACAGCGCCAAAAUUUGAUGGUUGUCGAAGCCAGUAAAAAUAAAUACAUACUCUAAAUAAAUUGUGUAUAGUAAUUGAGCAAGGUCGUGUCCACAGAGAUCGGUAAUUAUUGAAAUCCUUUUAAAACGUAAAACAUAAAAUGAGGGUUUUGUUGACAAUAAUAAAAAUCAAAUUAAAAUAACAAGAAUGCAAAUUAAAGUCGUAAUUUAAAUUGGAGAAAGCUCUGAUUGAAGGAAUUAACUCAGCUUGAUUCGACUACUGAUCAUUGAUUCAAAUAUAAAUUAUUACUACUUAUGAAUAGACCGGUUAUAGCUACUGAGACCCUCUAAUAGCCAAUCUCUCCUUAACUAGUCGAUAACCAAGGUACGACCGUUGGUUAUUUCCCUAAUUAAUAGACAACCCUAGAUACGAUCAUAGGAUUUAAUCAAUUGACAGCCUGAAAAAUCAGAGAGACCCAAAUCAUAAUCAACAAACGCAUACGAUGGUUUAUUUAAAUUAGAUUGUUUAUUCUCACAACACAACUCUCUGCUAUGUUAUUUGUCACAAACAUUAAAAUCUUCAUACGAUGAAUCCUUUAAUUGACAAUAGAUUAAGUUGAUAAUUAAAUAGUGGCCAAUUACCUAAUUAACAAACAUAAUCAUGAAAAUAAUUCAGAGAAUAAACAAAUACCCAAAAAGCAAUAAAACAAUUAAAGCAUAAGAAAGAUCUCAUAGUAGUGAUGAAUCAAAGCUUCCUUAACCUUCAACCAGAAUAAUAGGUUUAGUUCUUCAUAGAGAGAAGAGAAAAGUUUAGAUCUAGGGUUUCUUUCUUUUCUAAAAAGUCCCAUUUUUCACAAUAGAUUCCACCCUUAAAUACUAUCUCUCUCUUCUCCUCUAGAGUUCUAUUUAAAAUAAAAUACUAAUAUCUGAAAUAUUAAAUUCGUAAUUACAAAAAUAACAAAAAAUACAAAACACGUUAAACUAAAAAUUACAAGUCCGUAGUUGACAGCACGUGCCCACGCCUUAUCAACAAAGUUCUUCUGACGCUCAUAAUUUCUCCAAAAAAAACAAUCAUCCUUAAACAUCAUCUUGUAACUCAAUUUUAUCACCAAUCAAUAGAAUUGCACCUAUAAAAGUAAAACACAAGUAAAUCACUAUUAUUAAGUGCAAAACAUCGAUAUUAAGGGAAGUAAACAAUACAAAACUAGUGCAUAAAUUGCACUCUAACAUCGGCCCUCCCAUAAUCAUCAUUGCCAUAUUGUCUCUUAUGUCCCCUCUUCUCCCAUCUUUUCCUUGAUCAUCUACAUACUCCUUUAGGUAUUGAUUAUGCACUAAACACUCAAUCUACUCUUUCAAGUCUAUGCAAUCUACGAUUCCAUGCUCAGACACCUUGUGAAACUCACAAUACUUAUGGUGAGCACUUCCGCCCAAGCCCUCUAUAAUCGGCUUUGGCGGGGUUAGUAAUCCCUUAUCUUUUAUUGCAACAUAUAUUUCUACUUUGCUAGUAUUCAGAGGAGUGUAUCUCUCACCCUGCUCUACUAAGUUCACCCUAAGGUUAGAUUUCGAUACUCUCCAGUCUAUAGGCAGCGACAAUCUGUUGUACUCUCUUACUCGAUUCUUAUGUUGGUUCCUCUUAUAGUUAUUUCAUUUCUUUCGGCCCCCUACCAACUAAUGAGAUUUCUCUUCUUUCAUGAUUUAUUUCUCAAUCUCGAGCCGGCCUCUCUGGUCAUCUGUAAUUGAACAUUCCUCCGUCAUAAUGAUGCCUAUCAUCCAUGUUCCUCAUCAAGCUAUACCCAAGGUUAUCUUCUCUCCUUCUUAGCUCGCCCAUUCUCACUGGACCUUCUCUCUGCUCUUCUAGUUUCCUCUUUUCUUCCUCUACAUCUUCAGUUUUCAUAUCCAAUUUUGCUUGGUCGUUUGCCUCAGUGUACGUUGUUAUCCUUUUACUAUAUAAGUUAUUCCACAAUUGAUUUAUUCUCAACCCUUCCUUUCUUUAAUCCUUUUAGGGCAUUCGGAUGAUCAAAGGCCCCUAAAUCGAUGACUUCUUUAUGAUACCUAGUCUCGAAGCUCCUCAAACUUUCAAAUUCUCUUUGGACCAAUUUUUUCAACCUGUUUGUAUCCUGUUCUGGUAUGCACGAACCUCUAAAAUGCACAAUGAAAAGCUCACAUAACUCUUUGAAAUUUCCUAUGCUUCCCUUCUUUAAUCUUUGUUACGACUCUCGUGCCUGUCUUUCUAGAGUUAAGGGAAAAAGACGACACCUUUGAAAAUCAUUCAAACCUUGAAUCCCGAUCAUCUCAUUAAACCUCUCCACAUGAUGAUUCGAGUCAAUGUUUCCUUCAUACACCACGGUUGGAACCACAUACUUGGGUGGCAAAGUUGCCGCCAUCACCUUAGUUAUCAAGGGGUACUCGUCAUCAAGUAACAAUCUUCCUACCACUUUCUUACCCUCCGUUUUCGCCUCUAAUGCCUCUAGGAUUUUUUGAAAUUGCAACAUUCUCUGCUCAAGCUCAUUUGCCCGUUGGGGGUUUCUCAGCUCUUCUCUCUUUCUUUCAUGAUUCAGGUCAUUGAUUCUCCUCCUCAACUCAUUCACUUGUUCUCCUGCACUUCUGUUAUCCUAUUGUACCCCAACUUGUGGUACUCCUAUUCUGCUCUGCUGUUGACCACCAAGCUCUUCCCUCUCUCACACUCCACUACUCUCUGGAUCACUAAUUCGAACUUGACGCCCUCUGACUUGGGCAUCAACCAACCCCUUGAUCAUCUCUUCAAAUCUUGCCAUUUGCCUCUCGAUCUAUUCUCUUCAUCACUUAUCUGCCGUGGCAUUCAUUUCCUCCGCCAAUUGGCACAAGGUCUGCAUUUCUCCGUCAUUAUCAUCCAUCACUGUUUCCUAAUCUAAUAGUCUUCUCCCUCUAAAUAUUCAAAUGUAUGACUUUUUCGUAUGGUUCCUCACAAACAGCGCCACGAUGUUGAUGCCAAAAAACGACAUCAACAGAUGAAUGUUUUCUUUGGGGAAUAACAACAUGAAUUCAAGCUCAAACGUCAGUCUGAUCACAACUUUCUAUACCUGCCAACCAGAAAACACGGUUAGGAUACGUUGGUGGGGUUCCAGCGUAGACCAUCCGAUGCUUAAGUCAGAAAUUGUAUAUAAGGAAAGAAAAACGGGAAGGAAGAAUUGAGAAUAAGUUAAAAUCAAGGAAUUUUUCCAACAGAGGUGUUGAAAGUCUUGUAGGAAAUAAAGAGGCUUUUAGAUAAGUGACUUGUAGAAUUUUUGGUUGAUUUUCCUAACCCCCUCCUUUGUUGCCCUCUUCAGCUUAAAUAGGCCCUUUGUCAUGGGCGGUUACCACCUUAAUUUUAGCCCACUUUCUUCAGCAGUUGCAAGUGCUCAUUAAUUGGAGGUGGUUUAACAAAUCGUGGCAUACAACUUUCCUAAAAAUUAGGCCACGUUAUCUCGAUUAGUAAUUUUCCAUCUCAAGUAGUUCUCAGGUCAGACAAAUGAAUUUCCAGGUCAGACUAUCUUACUUCCAGAUCAGAUUGGUGAAUUUUCGAGUCGCUCAUAUAGGCUUAAAGUUGUAUUCUUAAAUUAGGUCGUUUGCAUAAACCUCGGGUUGUACUUGUAAAUCAGGUCGCCAACAUAGGCUCCAAGUUGUACUUAUGAGGUUUGCUCAACGGUAAUAAAUUCUGAGUAAAUUAAUGCUGACUCUAUUCUAGAUGCUAUCAGAAAAAUCCAACCCAAACACCAAUUAAUCCAACCCUUAAAUCAUUGGAUUGAUUAAAAUUAAAAAAUUAAAAAAACUAUUUGUUACUUAAAAUCAAAUUCGUAGAUGAAAAAUAUAUAUUAAUUUUCCAUCAUAACAUUAAAUGUUAUCCAUUGUAUCUAACAUUUAUUAAUAAAUAACAUGGCACAAUAUUUGAAUAUUUAUCAACUUACUUUCAGUGAAAAUGGUAAGUUUAGUUAUUUAUAGUUUAAUAGCGAAUAGUUGACAUUAGUUUUUUUUUAUGAUUUUUAGAAAUUUUGGGUUGGGCUAAACUAUAUAAGAAUAAUUGAUCAAUUGAGCUGAAAAUUUUGAAAAAAAAAAUUGAUCCAAUUAACUCAUUAUAACAUAAUCAAUCUAUGUCAAUUUAAUUGGAUUGAGUUGAAUUGGAUUAGGUCCAUCAAGUUAAAGUUGGGUUUACUCACUCUAAAGGCAGUUUGUUCUGAAAGUCAAGUGUUACGGUGUGUUUGGGAUUGAUAUUAGGCAAUUGUACUUUAAAAGUUACAGCACUAAAGUAUUUAGUAAAACUAGCUGCUGUAGCUUGUAAGCUAUAUUGAUAUAAUUUUUUACUUGUAUAAUGAAAAAUAUAUUGUAUCUUUAAUAAUUUUGUCUAAUUAUUAUUUAAAAUUUAUAUUUACAAUAUAUUAUUAAUUUUUAUUUGAUAGUUUCAACUUUUUUUCCACAGCAGCUCAAUUCCGAACGGGACCUUAAUCUAUAGCAUAUUAGUCUAGCUUUAUAAAUUUAUUAGAUUACUUAUUUUGACUCCCUUAUUUGGAGCUAUCCUAUUGUAGGCAUGAUGUGGCAUUGUAAUGUCAGUUAGUAUUAUUUAAUUAACAAAAUUACUCUUUAAAAAAAUCAAAAUCAAAAUUUUAAAUUUUAAUAAACAAGAAGAAAUUAUGUUAUUGAAUGUAUACAUGUAGCGAUUAUCCAGAACAAUUUUUGAAUUUUGACGAAUCUACACUCUAGAUUUUUUACUUAAUAAAUAUUCUUAAUUUGGAUCCUUUUUUUAUAAGACAAAAUUAUUGGUUUGAAUGUAUUUAUUCCAGUUCAUUACAUAAAUUGCUAAUCUUUUAACCAUUUUGGGAAAGUGAAUUAAUUUUGGACGCAUAAAAAAAAAAACAAGGGCUUCACCCAUUUCCACAUCAUCAUCCAUCUCUACCAGUCUUCUCCAAUAGAUUCAAUUUUCUUAUGUUCUUAUUCUGAANNNNNNNNNNNNNNNNNNNNNNNNNNNNNNNNNNNNNNNNNNNNNNNNNNNNNNNNNNNNNNNNNNNNNNNNNNNNNNNNNNNNNNNNNNNNNNNNNNNNNNNNNNNNNNNNNNNNNNNNNNNNNNNNNNNNNNNNNNNNNNNNNNNNNNNNNNNNNNNNNNNNNNNNNNNNNNNNNNNNNNNNNNNNNNNNNNNNNNNNNNNNNNNNNNUUUUUAUUCAUUAUCUUGCACUAAUAAAUAAAAAGAUUAAACAAAAAUACAUGAUUGCACGUAUAUAUAUAUACUUACUUGGUUAUUUUAUUUUUCUUUUGUUGGAUUAUUAUUGGCUGUGAACGAAGAUUUGGAACAAGAUUUAAACACUGCAUGCCGCAUGGGAAAACGAGGACCUUGUUUCCAUUGUGGAACUGAAAGUGAGUUUUUUGUUCUAUUAUAUUAAUUAAUUUAUCAUUUCAUAAAUUACGGCUUUUAUUAUGUAUACAUGAUUAUGUAACAGUCGUUUGAUGAAUUCCAUUUAACGAUUGUGAAAAUAAUAUAAUUUUAUCUUAUAUUUUCACAACCGUUGGAUGAAGGCUGCUACAUAAUAAUAUAUGUAUACCCCAUAAUGAUUAUGUAACAUAAUAAUCUCCAUAAAUUUCAUAUAAAUCCAUCGGUCAUUUUUAAGUACAGAUACCCGUAAUUUUGUAUCAUAGUGCUAACUCGGCAGUUUAUGAAGUGCGGGCGUUCAUUUGGGUGCCUAAAUGGGCAAAAUCAAAACCACGUCGUUUAGGAUUUUGCAUGUUUCGGCACCAACUUUGGACAAACCAGCUUUUUUAAAAAAAAAAAAUUAUUUAAGAUAUGUGUGUUACUGAGUGAUACAAGGAGUGAACAGGGACUCCACUUUGGCGAAAUGGACCCCCUGAGAAGCCAGUGCUUUGCAAUGCGUGUGGAUCAAGGUACAGGCUAAGAGGAACUCUUAACAACUAUGCACCAAAGCAUCUUCAAAGUGCUUUUCCAUUAAAGAAGAAGAAGAAGAAGAAGAAGAAGCAGGAAAGCAAAAUGAUUCUGAUCAAUAGUUCCAGAACUGAAGAGAAAAUUUAUGAUGUUUCAAGCAGCAGCUGCGAUGAUGUAUAGUACUGUAGCUUCAGAAGGUUGUGAGAGUAAUAUUAAUGAUGGGUCAAGUUCUUCAGAAUCCACAACCAUUUCUUGCACUGAGGCUGGAAGCUGCUUUGAAAUUAAUAAACGCGAGGAGGGAAGCCAGCCACCAGGUAAUUUAUUUACAUAAACAUUUUCCGAAUUUUGCAACUAAAGGGGUUUUGUCACUAUCUUAACCCAAGCUCCUCCUUAUUUGUCGAAAUUAAUCAUUUUUUUGCUCAUGUUUUAAAACCCACCAACAGUAAUACAAUAUAAUUUCUCUAUCACUUAACACUGGAUUUAAAUUGGAAAAAAUGACCGUUAAAAGAAUAUUAUCAGCAUCAGAGGGGUUCUAGUGGUUUAAUAUAUGACGGAGAAAAUAAUUAAUGAAUCUCACCAAAAUAGAGAGGGAUUUUGGUCUUUUUCCCCAGUUUGCAAUAUUAAUAUAGACAGAAGCACUGAGUUUAAUGGUGAUUAAAGCCCUUCAGGAUUCGAUUAAUUAUUUUAACUCUAGGGAUUUUAACAAUUGGACUUGUUAACAUGCACAAAUAGCAGUAUGCUCUAAGUGGACAAGUUUAUUGUUUGUAUUUUCGUAUUUAUGCAUUGCGAGCAUAUUUUUUGUCAACAACUUUAACAUAUUUCAUAUUUAUAAAAGUGCAAUGAGUGAAGAAGAACAUCAAAACACAAUUUUUCAAAUGUAUGAUCAUAGUACAUACCAAAUGAUCAUGAUUUUAUUUCAAAUGAUGAUGAUAUUCUCUAAUGGUCUAAUUGCAUGCAUGCAGGUGAAAUCCAACAGAGUUUGUGGGAUGUUCAUAUUCCUUCAAGAAAAAGAUCCUUAGUAGUCUACCAAAGUCUUUCACCAAUUGAAAGGCUUCAAAGAGACCUUAAAAAAAUUCUAAGGCAUCAUCAAGAUCCCAAUUCUAGUAUUAUUUCUGAAUCUCAAGAUGGUGUCCUCCUUUAUAAUCUCAACAACCAAAUUAUCUAUCGUUCCGAAAUUAGUCUCGGAACCAUUCUUCUCAAAUAAUUAAUAUACUAUUUUAGAUACAUAAGCGGUUGUUGGUAUGAAAGAAAAUAAUAGAAAAUUAAAGAGCCAUGCUUGUAAAAAAAAAAAAUAUUGUAAUUUGAUGUCAUUUUAUUUUUGUAAACAAGAAUUGUUUGAAAUGUUUUACAUAUGCAGUGUUCCUUUUAAGUUACUUUCAGAUUUGGUUUCUUUUUGUUCCUCAACUAAUAAAUUGCUAUUGCCUAUUUGUGGCUCUAAUGAAUAUAUUCAACUCCUUUAAAUGGUAUGGUGUGGCCAACCAGCAGCUUAUUAGCUUUCAGAAGUGAAAAUUACUUGGCAUGUAUAUCCUAUUAAAUUUUACACACGCGUGCACUUUUGUUGUUGCAAAUUUAAAAGACAAGUUUCCCGAGAUAAACUUAAUAACUUAUUACUUUAAAUGAAAACACAUUAACAAUUAGGAAAAAAAAAAGUUUUAAGUAUUAUUAUAUGUCGAUGAAUCCAUAAUAUAUGAGUCAUAAAAUUCUGUUGGGUAUAAGAGGCUUAGCACACAACUCUGUAGAAUUGCAGAAUAAUUCUCAUAUUAUUCAAAUGCAAAACGAUUAGCUUAUAGCCUUACAAAAGCAAGGGAAGAAAAUUGAAAAACAAACUACCCAUUUUCCACUCUAACAGAUCGUGAAUCAUGGAGAAGAAAUAUUUAAACUAACAGUUACUUUCCUAGUAAAUAGGAUUUAUUUAAGGCAAUAAAAUAACUAAAUCUGAUGACUCAACAUAUCCUCCUUUAAACUAAUUGCACAAUUGCAAUUAGUUUAUUCCGGUACUCUACACAUCCCAAGUCCUUCACGAAGUGCUUCAAAUACUUCAAGCUUUAACGGUUUUGUCAUGAUGUCUGCUAUCUGGUUUUGAGUGCUGCAAUACACAAGCUCCACUGUUUCGUCUUUGGUCAGGUCACGGAGAAAAUGAAAACGGAUAUCUAUAUGCUUGCUUCUGCCAUGAAGUACUAGAUUUUUGGAUAGCUUAAUGGUCGAAUUGUUAUCACAGUGAAUAACAGUGCUUUCAUUUUGAGCAUGACCAAGUUUUUCAAGAACGCUUCUCAUCCAAACUCCUUGACAAGCACAAGAGGCAGCAGUUAUAAACUCAGCUUUAGUUGUAGACAAUGUGACCACUGGUUGCUUCUUAGAGGACCAUGAAACUGCACAGGAACUGAGCAUAAAAACAUGCCCUGAUGUACUCCUUCGAUCAUCUAAGUCCCCUACAUAAUCACUGUCAGUGAAUGCUUCCAACUUGUUUGUUCCAUUCCUCUUGUAUUGCAGUCCUAAAUUCAUUGUUCCCCUAAGAUAUCUGAGCACCCUUUUUACUGCUUGCAUAUGUAACUCUGUCGGGCACCCCAUGUAGCGGCUCACUAAACCUAGAACAUACAUAAGAUCAGGUCGUGUAGCUGCCAAAUACAUCAAGCAGCCAACAUCCUGUUUAUACUCAGUUUCAUCAACUUUCACUCCAUUCUCAUCCUUAGUCAACUUGCAUCCAGGAAUAAUAGGAUUUUUAGAAGGAUUGCUCUCUCUCAUUCCAAACCUGUCCAAUACCUCCUUUGCAUAUUUUUUCUGACUAAGAUAAAUCCCAUUUUCAUUUUGAACUACCUCAACUCCAAUAAAAUAACGCAUCUUGCCCAAGUCAGACAUAUCAAACUCCUUUUCCAUAGAUUUUUUAAAUUCUUCAAACAUACUCUCAUUAUUACCAGUAAAUAUGAGAUCAUCAACAUAUAAACUAAUAAUGAGAAUAUUACCUCCUUCACUUUGUUUCACAAACAAAGUAUGUUCAUGUGGACACCUUUCAAAGCCUUGUUUGAAUAAAUAAGCUUCAAUUCGACUAUACCAUGCUCGGGGAGCCUGUUUGAGCCCGUACAAUGUUUUCUUCAACUUAUAAACCUUCAGUUCAUCUCCUUUCUUCACAUACCCUUGUGGUUGAUCAACAUAGACUGCUUCAUUGAGUUCCCCGUGCAGAAAUGCACUCUUCACAUCUAAUUGAUACACAUUCCAGCCUUUUUGAGCAGUAAGAGCAAUCACCAUUCGAAUGGUGUCCCAACGGGCCACUGGAGCAAAAACUUCCUUGUAAUCAAUCCCAUAUUGUUGAGCAUAGCCUUUAGCCACAAGUCUGGCUUUGUACUUCUCAACAUCUCCAUUUUCAUUCAACUUUGUCUUGAAAAUCCAUUUGACUCCAAUGGUUUUUGCCCCAACAGGUAAGGUGGUCAAUUCCCAAGUGUUAUUUUUCUCAAUUGCUGCCAUUUCUUGAUCCAUUGCUUUUCUCCAUCGAGCACUUUUGUUUGCUUCUUCAAAUGUGGUUGGAUCGGCUACAGAUGUAAAAAGCACAAAAUUGGUUAGUUCUUCCUCUUCAGACAAACCUUCUCCACUUACAAAAUCUUCCAUCCAAGUGGGUUGGUUCCGUGUCCUCCCUACUUCCUGAUCUUCCCCCAAAGAUUGGCUUAAACUUGAUGAAUCAUUUCAGGCAGCUUCAUCACCUUCUUCUUCUUCAAUUUCAAAGGUAUCAUCAUUGCUUUCUUCUUCACUUUCUCCCCAAUCUAACACAUCCAGCUUUGCUGCUUUAGUACUUCUUCCCUAAUCCCAGCAUUUGUCUUCUUCAAAUUCAACAUCUCUACUAAUCACAACUCAGUUUGUUGAAGGAUCAUAGAGACGAUAUGCUUUGGAUUUUGCACUCAUUCCUAGCAUGACACAUUUGAUGCUUUUAUAGUCAAGUUUCUUCCUCUUUGCUUCAGGUACCAAGACAUGAGCAACACAGCCGAAUACUCUGAAAUAGUGAACUGUUGGUUUGUGAUUGCUCCAUGCUUCUUCCGGCGUCUUGUCUUUAACUACUAAUGUUGGACUUCGAUUAAGAACAUGAACAGUCCAAUUAAUUGCUUCAGGCCAAAAACAUUUUGGAACACUCUUCUCGGACAGCAUGCUUUGAACCAUAUUCAUAAUGGUUCGAUUUUUCCUCUCUGCCACUCCAUUUUGUUAAGGGAUAUAGGCUGCUAUUAAUUGUCUGUUUAUGCCAUGUUCACUACAAAAUGCAGUAAACUCAUGCGAGGUGAAUUCUCCUCCCCUAUCUGUUGAAGUCCUUUAAUGGAGCAACCUGUUUCUUUUUCAACAGAACUUUUAAAGAUUUUAAAAGCUUCAAGUGCGUGAGAUUUCUCAGAUAGAAAAGAAACCCACACCUUUCUACUAUAAUCAUCAAUGAAAGUGAUUAGAUACCUUUUUCCACUACUUGAAGCAGGUGUGAUAGGUCUACAAAGGUCAGAAUGCACCAAUUGUAACUUGUGUGUAGCUCUCCACAAGCUUUUCUUUGGUAUUGAUUUCCUGUGUUGCUUCCCUAUCAUGCAAUCUAUGCAUAGCUUACUCAACAUCUUCAUUACAAGUAACCCCUUCACCAUCUCUUUAUGCUGCAAGGUUUUCAAUCCUUUGAAACUGAGAUGCCCAUAGCGACAAUGCCACAAAUGUGUGUUAUCCUCAGAAAUAGCUUGAAAGCAGGUUGAGUUUGUAGGCAACUUGGUCACUAGGAUGACAAACAUUCUGUUGGUGGACAUUGUAGUUUGCAUGAUCAACCCUUUCCUAGGAUGAUAAACUCCACACACCCCAUCUUUAAUUAAUAUUGUAACCCCUUUUUCUUGUAGUUGUCCGAUGCUUAGGAGGUUAUUUUUUAAUUCUGGCACAUAAUACACAUUUGUGAUGACUUGCGUAAUUCCAUUGACUUGAAAUUUGACAUUACCUCUUCCUUUUACUGCCAUCUUUGUGUCAUUGCCCAACUUCACUGAUUGACGAAAUUGUUCAUCAAUAUCAGUGAACCAUUCCUUGCUUCCGCUCAUGUGAUUACUGCAUCCCAAGUCAAGAAACCAAGCCUCUUUAUUCUUGUCAUCAUUGGAGUCAGCAUAUGCCAUCAAAAGCAUUUCUUCACUUUCAUCUAAUUCUGUAUAAUUGGCACCUCCUUCCCAUUGAGGACAUUCAUAUUGAAAAUGUCCUAAUUUGUGACAAUUGUAGCAUUCCACCAAAGAUUUGUUGAAUGGCUGUCUACCUCUUCCUCUUCCUCUACCUUGAAAGCCUCAUCUUCCCCUGCCCCUUGCUCCACUUAUGUCUUCAUGUGUCACCUUAAGAGCUUGCUCUUCUACUGAAGGAGUUUGCAUCCUUUGCUCAUGAACAAGUAAACUACUCUGAAGCUCAUCGAUGCUCAUUGUGGUGAGGUCGUGAGAUUCUUCAAUAGAGCAGACUACAUAGUUGAAUUUUGAAGUCAUUGAUCUCAAAAUCUUCUCGAUAAUAACAAUUGGCUUCAUAUCUUCACCCUAAGCUUUCAUUUUAUUAACAAUGGUUAAUGUCCAACCAAAGUAUUGAUCUACAGUUUCUCCUUCCUUCAUCUAAAGUAUCUCAAAUUCUCUGCGAAGUGCUUGCAACUGAGCUCGUUUCACCCGUGUAGUUCCUUGAUACUUCUGCUUCAUUGACUCCCAAAUGCUCUUGGAUGUCUCCUUAUUGAGGAUGGUUUCAAUGAUGGUUCUGUCAAUGGCUUGAAACAGGUAAUUCUUCACUUUCAGAUCCUUGAGUUUUGCCUCAUCAAUGGCUUUGCGCUCUGCUAUUGUAGGUUGAGCACCAUCUGCAACUGUGGGAAUCCCAAUUUCUAUCAAGCUCCAGUAUUCCUUCGAUCUCAGAAAAUUCUCCAUCAACAUUGACCAACGGUCAUAAAAACCAUCAAAGCGAGGUAUGGAAGGUUGAACAAAGCUAUUCUCUGUUGCCAUAACAAAAGAACUUCUUUCAGAAUAUUGUCUUGACACUCAAACUCGUGUUUUACUCUUCUGCAAUAUCAAUCUCACUAAGAAAGCUGCAGUUCCUUAGGCUCUGAUACCAGUUUUGUUGGGUAUAAGAGGCUUAGCACACAACUUUGUAGAAUUGCAGAAUAAUUCUCAUAUUAUUCAAAUGCUAAACGAUUGGCUUAUAGCCAUACAAAAGCAAGGGAAGAAAACUGAAAAACAAACUACCCAUUUUCCACUCUAACAGAUCGUGAAUCAUGGAGAAGAAAUAUUUAAACUAACAGUUACUUUCCUAAUAAAUAGGAUUUAUUUAAGGCAAUAAAAUAACUAAAUCUGAUGACUCAACAAAUUCAACUUAAAAUUUUAAUAUAAAUUUUGAACUAUUGAAAUCAAGCAAUUUAAUGGUGAAUGAAUAACCAUCAGUAAAAUGCUACUUUGAAUUUCAAUAUCUUUCAUUGGAUUACUUGAAAUUAAUGAUUAAAAAUUUAUGUCAAAAUUUCAAUAUCUUUCUUCUUAUAUCUUAUAUGAUUGGCACCCGAAGCACCCAAUAACAAUACAGAUUUUCCAGAUAAAAUACUCGCAAAACCCUAAUUUUUCAAAACAAGUUAAAGUAGUAAGCAUUAUCUGUAGAGAAGAAGCAAUAAAUUGGGGCUCAACAGGACCAAUGCUACCAGCGUCUGGAAUAAAAUGGGAUCUUCGUAAAGUUGAUCAAUACCAAGGGAGUUUUGUAGCGCCUUAGACUCCGCAAAAAUAAUCAUAGAAAUAAUCUUCUCUGCCAGUUAGUGUCUCAACGGGGAAGACAAUUAAACAAGAUCUCCAGAUGCAUUUUUGGCAUUAAAAAAAAAUUGGGGAUAGAAAAGAAAAUAAAUACAACAUUUCAAAAAAUGUCAACAAAACAAGAACCAACCAAAAUCAUGCCGUUGGUUUCUUGCGUGCAAAUCUCCGCAAAGAUGCCGGUAGUUCAACUUCCUCGAAUAAUUUUUGCUUUUUUUUAGACAAGGAUUGUUCUUCCUUUAAUUGUUGAUCCAAGAAAGGUCUCCUGGCAUGUGCAAUCAGUUCUUGUUUCUUCUUGGCUUUCUUACUCGGUUUAUUCCUACCCUUUGUUUUAUUCUUCCAAACGAACCCCUUAAUGGCCUCAACAGCAGCUUCCAUUGCAGCUUCUCUCCCCUGCUUAGUUGGUUUCUCUUUCUUCUUUGCUUCCCUCACCGUACCAAUCUUAGAUGGAUUCAGCAUGAUUGUUUCAGGUAGGAGCUUGUCAAGAAGAGAGUGCACUUCCUUCUCUCUCCUCUGUUUAGAUGUUUCAAAUGGGUUUGCCACCCAGGAAUCGAAGUUGGGUUCACUUGAUCUGGGAACAAGAAUACCAGACCAACCCAUGGAGUGUCCGAUGCCUAACACAUCUUCAUAUGGGCGAAAUGAAACUUUUCCUAUUUGGUAGCCUUUCACCAUAGAAUUACCCAUGUACCUGCUAUAGUUAUGAGAUCCAGAAAAAUCUCCCAGAAUCUGUGCAAAUGAUCCAGUCCCGACAGCAAGCAAACCUUUCUGACUGAAGUCUAAAGUCUUUGCAUGGCCAGUUAAUGUCUGAAGAACCUCAUAUUUCCUCAAGUCCCAAAUCUUAAUUUUACAUUCUUUGCCAGUUGUGGCCAUGAGAUGACCAUUAGGAUGAAAUGCCAACGCUGAAACAGGCCCCUGAUGAUAUAGCAUCUUGAUAAGCAGAGCAGAGGUGGUGGGUUUCCACAUGGUUACCGUACCACCAGAAUGACCCAAAGAAACAACCCCAUUGAAGGGAUUCACCCACAUUAGAUCAGUACGACCUAGACCAGUCCAAAAAUUACCCACAAUCUCACCCAUUGUAAUAUUUUGAUAUCAAAGCUGCCCAAGUUUGUUUAUGGACGCCAAGAGAAACUGAAGUUUCAGAACUGCACCAUGUUCUUGCAAGAUUGAAAGAGCAUAAAUUAUUAGUCUUGUUGGGUUGGACUACAUCACCUUGGGCAUUCUCAAAUUUGAACGACCUACAGCUAAAAAGAUCGAAAUCCUACAAGUAAAGUGAACUCGCCUUUGAACAAUGAAGUUCAGUGCCAUCUCGGUUGUAAAAAUAAGGGUACCUGUCAAAAUUUAGAAUUUUUAGCUGUCAUUCAAACAAAGCUACAGAAUUAUCUGAGUCCAUUACAUCAUUGUUCAUAUUGAUAUCUAACCAUGAAAAAUAUAACUUUGAGACUGUCAUCAAAAGAUGGCAAAACAUAAAAACAAUAAUAAAAAUGAAAGCUCAUUUAAAGAAGAGUAAUGAUACAGCCACAAACUCUUGUACAAACUUAUUUUGUACAAACUGAUGUGGCAUGAUAAGAUUGGUUGCAUUAAAUAUCACUUGGCCCACAUGAUUUAUUUUUAUUAAUUUAUAUUUUCAUUCAACCAAUAAAUUAAUGCCACGUCAGUUUGUACAAGAGUUUGUGGCUGUAUCAUUACUCUUUAAAGAACUACAAAACUGCAAGGAAUUACACUGUGUGUGUGUGUUGUCAUCAGUAACAAAGAAAUUUACUUACAUGAAUAAAACCAAAUGUCCAAAACAGAGUAUGUUGGGAAUUUGAGAAAAAAAAAAAGAACUGGAGCACCUGAAAUAGAGCUUCAUAAUGAGUUUGGGUUGAAAAAUAAACUCCAAAAAAACCAAAAACAAUGAAGGAAUGGUAACCUAGGCCAACUCAAACAAGUUAUGCCUUCACGGGGUUCAAAUUUAAGCCAUAUAAAAGAUUUGGGAUGACCAGUUUCCUAUUACAACCGACCAUAACAAGAAAGGAAUGCCAAUAAUUUUCCAAUGUUGUACAGAAAUAUGCAGCAUGCUGCAGAGGAAUAAGGAUUCCUUUAAACAAGUAUUGAUAAUUGAAAGUCUCCAAUUUUGUUGAAAAGGAGAUUGUCACUGACUGGUUAAAAUAAAGCUAAAUCAGGAAAAUAACUAAUCAGUUCUGCACAUGAUUUGUUUUUCCCUUGAAUGACCUCAUGCAGAACGAUCAAUUAGAUUGAUCAAGUUCCAGCAAUAUCCAAUAUAGCCAGCAGUGAAAAUUCAAGUAAGACUCAGACCAAAAUAGACCUCUGGUCCCAGAGACAAAAAAAUUCAAUUAAUUCAAAGUGUCUAAUUCUUAUGAAGGUACCAAAAGAUAUCAAGCAUCAAAUAUAGUUAAUAAUGCAUUCUCUAUAUGAACGAACACCAAUACGUUUAGAGCAUACGAAUUUACUAUUCAUUGAAACAUUAAAAAAUAAAAUAAAACAGGUAUACUUUUUCUGGGCAGCAGCAAAAAACAGCUCAUUGUGCAAGAAGACCACAUCGCGUACUAUUUCUCUAACCUGAACAAACCAACAAACAAUCAGUAUAUCCAUUUAAUCUUCCCAGAUAGAACCUGGAGGUACAAACAAAGAAAAUUACUCCAUUAGAGUACGCAAAGUAAUACUGAGAAAUCUAACAAACAGUAAGAUAAAUAAAAUAUCAAAUUUGAGUCAUUUGUCCCAGCAUAACCUAUUUUUUAAAAUUCUAAAUAACUUCUUGUUUGUCAACACAUACUAGGUUUCCUAGAUAAACACAAGUAACAUUGCAAUCAGUUUGUCAAGAGAUAUAAGAGGUCUCAUCAAAAGAACAGCAUACCUGUAUUUCUUUAACUAAGUUCAUAUUGUUCAUGUCCACAACAGCUAUGUGCCCCUUGCGUCCAGCAACUGCCAUAUAUCGACCACUUGACGGUAAAAUCCAGAGUAUAUGGACCAAGUUCUGCACAGGUAGGACGAAAACAAAAGUUAUCAUUAGCAAUAUGACACUAGUCAGGCAAUAGACAAAGAAGUAAGUUUUGUUUAAGAUAGUUGCCCAACAUAGCAGUAUGAACAUCAGUGAAUGAACCAUUGAUCAAGCAAUAUCACCAAAAGACCAAAUGUACUUUUAAGUCGUUCAGAGGAACCGCAGCAACAAUUUUAUAAGGUCGUGGGCAAUGAAAAUACAUAGCAUAACUAUCUCAAAUUGGAGAGACCAGAAAACCAAAGAAGAAUCCAAAGAUUAAGACAUGGCCCAAAACAGAAAAUUAAAAGGUUGUACCCAAGUGUUGUUGAUCGUAUUACAACCUAACAAAAAGUCCAAGAUUCUACUUUACUAGACUACGGCCAUAGUUGAUAUUGAGGUUGGGCAACUGUAGCUUUUAAGUUAUAACAUUACAAUGUUUGUCAAAUAUUAACUAUUGUGGAUUGAAAGCUAAGUUGAUUUAAUCCACCACUUAUAUAGUGGAAAACCUAUAAUACCCUUAUUUUUUUUCAAAAUUAUUAUUUAAAAGUCAUAUUUUCUACACUAUUAAACUACAGCAUCUAAACAACAAAUAGGGCCUAUAUUUUAUUAAGAAAAGCAUGCAAUGGGAGCCAACUUUUAACUCUAAAGAUAACUCUAGCAAAUUUAAUUAAACAUUGAAGCAAAAUUUCCCUUUUUAUUUUCAUAAAAAUUCCUUCUUUUACCAAUCCCUUCAAAGUUGAAUAACAAAAGCCAAAUUACGGAUUUCACUCCUCAAACAGAAAUUCUAGAGCAAGUGUAUGGUUAAGAACUCUGAUCCCAUUCUACUCAUUUUACAAAAUAAAACUCUUUAUUACUUUUCAAUUCCUUAUCCACCUUCCCUUUUCAGCCAAGAUCUUUCCAUAGAUAACAACAUAUUUUCAGCAAACCUUAAAAGAGUUGCAAUGAUUUCAGUAUUUUUCUUUCAUAGUUUCUACAAUUCUCCUAAUUUUUUGCAUUUUUAACUAAUUUAAACAAAGAUAAUAGGUAUGCAACUGCAUAAGACAUGCCACAAUUUCACUACGGGAACAAGAAAUUUGAAUUUAAAAUUGUCCUUAAACAGACAAUGAGUCAAACAAAACCUUAACCAAUGGAAAUUGGUAGAAAAAUAGUCAGAGAGCAGGCAUCAACCUGGUAACAUGAUAUCAUAUUAAUUUCUGGAGCUUAGGAUAUCUACUUCACAAGCAAUUGCUUCUACCAACCGCCCCCUUCAAUAUGUUAUCUUUAUCUAAGAAGCAAGCUCAAUAUGAUUCUUUAACAAAAAUGUAUAUCAUAAACAUACAAUCCUGUAAAAUUUUUCACCUUAUCUUCUCAAAAUAGAAUUUGAGAAAAUUUAAUGACAGAUGACAAGUUAAAUAGGAAACUAAAUUACCUUUUCAACUUUGGCAGCAGCUUUCGCAGAUUUUCCAUAUAAUUCUUCUCUGAGAGGAAGUUGACCCUUCAAUUUUUGUCUUUUAAAAUCUGCAGAAAUGAAAAGCUUAGAACUGAAUAAAUAUCAUAAAAAAUCAACUCUGACAAGAAAUCUCAAUCAACAAUACCAUACCUCCAAAUUAGCACCCUCUCCUCUGAGAUAUUUCUUGACCUUUGUAUCUAAUUCAUAGGAGAUCUCCUGCAGAUUAAACAUAUAUCACGUCACUUCCUAACUUCGAAAUAGAAACAAUGCACAUCCAAUAUAAUAAAAAUAUAUUGUCGAACAUCAAAUAAUAAUGAGUUUAUUGAAAAGCAUUAAUGUGCUUUCUGGAAAAGCAUUAAUGUGCUUUCUGGAAAAGCAUUUUGUUAACUAUUUCCAAAAACAAAUCCACUUCUCGAAAUACUUAAUUCGAUUUUUAAAUAAAUCAAUCAAUCAAUUAACCAACUGCUUAUGUCAUUCAGAUUAAAGCUUCAAAGAGCGCCGAGAGAAGCAAACCUCGUGAGCGGAAUGAGUUAUUAAACCUUGUGAGCGGAAUGACUUAUUAGAAACACAUCGUAUUGCCUUUAAUCGGAAAAAAAAAAAUUGCAGGAAGUUUCCAAUUUCCAAAGUUAAUUAACUUAAUUAGUAAUCUGACUAUACGCAGAUCUAAGUAAAAGAAACUGCCACGUAAUUGCACACUGAGAGAUAUCAUUGACAUCUCAUGUUUGGUUCCACCACUCUCCUCCUAUGCGUAGAAAAAAUGCACCCAUUAUCGCUUCUUUAUUGAACAUCUACUAACCAACCAAAAGCACAAUUAACUAAUAGGUUGAACCGGGCUUAGACUUCUGGGUUACACAACUAAUUCCUUUUGCUUUGCAUAAAGUCCCACGAGAUACAAACUCUGCUAAUAAUAAUUUGAGAACUAAAGAGUUGAAUAGAUUCCCAUAAUCCACAGUGCAUCUCACCUAGUACAUUCUCAGAGAUGUUCGUAUUAUAUUGCUGGAGAAAAAUCAGUUUUUUUUAUUAAAAAAAAAUUUAGGAUCGAUCUCAUACAAUAUAUAAGAAUUCGUAAUCUAGAAAUCGUACUUUGAAACUCGUAGAAGAUGAACAAUCUUUGCUUUUUCCGCUGAAGUGAUUUAGACUCCCAGAUCACGAUCCGUCACCACCACUCCUGUUAGAUCACGAUCCGCCACCAAAUAAUCUUCCAGGCUAUGACUCAAGUUUGAUCUACACUUGACGUUUGGGCGCCUUUAUCACCACUAAAGCAAUUAGUAAGUUAGAGAGAAAAUUUCUUUUUCUCUGAUCUGUAUAUUGCGGCUCUUUCUUUUUCUUUAGAGAAAAUAAGUCUUUUUAUAUCUCCCUUUAGUGAAAACCCUAGGCUCCAAAUAAUAAAAACCAAAAGUCAUGUUGCUUUUUCUAUAAGGGCCCACCUUGCAAAAUAACAUAAGGCCCCUUACACACAAGCAUAUUAAAUGUAGCCUCCCACUAAAUGAUAUAUUUAGACUUUUGACCUAAAUAGCUAGUUAUCUUUCUUAUUAAUUCAGUAGUGGUGUAGUCAAUUAAAUGAGCUAACCCGAUAAUCAUAUGAGUAAAUACAAUAUUAGCUACAAUAAUUAGGUCUGUAAUUAAACUAGCCCAAUUAUUUAAUUCCAAAUCUACUCCACUAAAAUAUUGGAACUGACCUCCAUAAUUGUAUGCUAUCCAGGAUAGUGUUCUCGAAUAAUAAUUUGACCCAUACCACAUUGAUUUCUUUACUGCACAAUCCUUUGUACCACAUCGUUAAUUAAAUUGAUAUCUCAACUAUCCAAUCAAUUUAAUAACAUCUUGUUCCUUGAUACUUACUAGUUUUCUCUAAUGAUCAUUUUCAACACACUAAAUAAGUUGACACACUCUGGCUAGAGAAUUCUAUGAUCAAGUACCGAAAACCCAUCAAGAGAUGUGUUGUACAAAUUCUAUAUUGUUAAUAUAUAAUUUCAAUACUUAUAAUUGCUCCCACCAAGAUACCGGGUAAUCUUGACCACAAGUGUGUGUCGUGCCCAUUGAUAAAUCAAAUGAAAUAACAAUUACAAUCAUGAAAUCAUAACUAACUCAAGAUCAAGAUUACAAUAAAAUCAAUGCCUAUGAGAUUUAAUAAGUCUGACAGUCAUUUCAAGGUUAAUUAAAUCUCAUAUGUGAUCAUGUUCAAUGUAGUUGUACUAUAUCAAUAAAUUCUUACAUGAUUAAGAAAAAUCAUUCAAUAAAUUUAUUACAGUUUAUACCUAAAUAAAGUGCCCAACUUUAUUUAUCAACUGCGAAUAUAAUUUAUUUAAUCAUAAGAUAACUUGUAUUUAUGUCUUCUAUGAAUCGACAUAGUGAUCACAUAAAUACAUAUAAUAUGAUCAAAUGGACUUUACUUAAAAUAUUAAUAUAAUUCAUAUACUUGAAUAAAAUACCUCAUUUAUUUUAUUAAUCAGAAAAAUUAUUUAUUACAAUUAAAUAAACACAUAUGCUUUUAAAGAGCAUAUUUUCCCAACACAAAUAACUAAGAUUAGAUCAAUUUAGUUCAAUAUAUUUGGGAACAAAAUAAUUGACAUUUGACAAUUAUUCCAUCAGUAGAAACCAUAAGAUGAAAAUAAAGUUGGUCAAAUUGCACAUAGGGACAAUAAGAACACAAGCCAAACCUGUAUCAAGACAAAGGCUUCAUCCGAUAGACCUUCCUGCAAUAAACAAUAGCAUGUUAAAGACUAGUAAAGGCCAGCUCGGAGCGAUACAAAGCAGGAGGAUAUGGUGCAGUAAGAUUUAUGUAAAUCUGGAAUAUGAAUAAAAAUAUAACUCAAGAAAGAACCUACCUGGGUUGCCUCCAGAUGAGAGGCAUUAUGAUUUUCUUUGAUAUAUUCAUGCAACAGUCCACGAAUUUUCCAACUCUGGUCUUGAGAACCAGAGCUUUAUUCUGUUGAAAAAUCAUGCACGUGGCAUCUAAAUUCAAGAAAGCAUGCAAAUUUUCAAAGAGCUGCCAAACAAUUGAAGAAAAAAUGAAAAGUUGGCAAAUUUGUCAAAUUUGCCAAAUGGACACCAUUGACAAUUUGCUUAGGUUAGGUGGAAUAGUAAAGGGGUUGGUGCAAUAGUGCCAUUGUUUUCCCUAUAAAUAGAUGGCACUUCUUCCAUUCUAAAGCAUCCCAAAACAUUUGUUAAACUUAUUAGUUUUUAAGCUUUUGAGAGUUCUGAGAGUGUGAGCAAUUGGAGAGUGUGUGUGAGAGUACUGGGUGUAUUUGGGUUCUGAGAAAGUGAGAUUUCUUUACUCAAAUUUGUACUCAAAUAAUUGUUAAUAAUACAAUUAUUUUUCUCUUGCUCCCGUGGACGUAGGCAUAUUGCCGAACCACGUAAUUCUUGUGUUCUUUAUUUUUUUAUAAUUAUUUGGUGCGCUUGAUUCCGCAUUCCGUGCACAACAAGUGGCAUCAGAGCCGACGGUUUGUACUUGGGGGAUACGGUACUGUUCACGUAUACGGUAUUGUUCACAUACGAUACUGUUCACGAAUACGGUGGAGACAACCAUUUGUACUUGGGAGACAGUCUAUUGUAAGUAGUAUGUAUUUUUGCAUGUCUAGGAAAGUUCUGUCAACAAAGGCAAUAAGAGUCUAAGGAUUCUGGUUUUUAAUUGGGACCGAGUUCCCGUCCAGUCUCCUAGGAACUUUUCUGGUGCAUUUAUUCACGCGAAAUUAACAUCAUAGAGGCUGUUUUUCAAGUGGAAAUAGUUCGUUAAGAAAAUGAUAGAAGGUGAAACUUCUAGAAUUAGGGAGAGAACUACCGAGACUAUUUUAGGAGACACUUCAGGUGGGAGGCGAGAUUUGUCAAAUCGCUAUUCAGCACCUGUUAUAGGAGGCCAGAAGAUCGAUGUUGAAAAGUUUGAUGGGAAAAUCAACUUCGGCAUGUGGAGGCGCGAAGUUGUAGAUGCCCUUAUUCAAAUCGAUCUCGAUGUUGUUCUGAAAAAUAAAAGACACUUGUAUGAUGAAGAAAUUUGGGAUCGUAUGAACGAGAAAGCUUGUGGUCAGAUCAGAUCUUGUUUGACCAAGGAGGUGAAAUACUUAGUGAAAGAUGAGGAGUGUGCGGUGACUUUGUAGUGUACAUUGGAGGAGAAGUACAUGCUGAAAAGUCCUGAAAAUCAUCUUCAUACAAUGAGCCAAGUAUAUGGCUUUCGAAUGAAGCAUGGAGUGUCAAUGCACGAUCAUGUCUCAAGAUUUGAAAAGUUACUUGCUGAUUUGAAGAAUCUUGAUGAAGAUAUUAAGGAUGAAGUCAAGGCUAUGAUUAUGUUACACUUACUACUAGAGGAAUAUAGUCAUUUUGAGACUACCUUGAUAUAUGGGAAGAGUGUGAUCGUCUUCAAAGAUGUUUGCACAUCUUUGACUAACUUGGAGAUUCGGAAUAAUAAUAAAAAUUUUGAACGAGUAUCGUCUGAAGCUUUGGUGAGUAGAGAUUGGGCGAUGGAGAAAAAUAAAAAGUGUGGUGGAAAGAAUUCUCGAUCCAAAUCGAGAAGCAGAAAUAUAGCUCGAGAUGAGUGUGCCUUUUGUCAUGAAAAAGGCCAUUAGAAGAAAGAUUGUCCAAAGGCUCAAAAGAGAGAUGGGAAGAAACCAGCAGCAGCAAACAUGGCAUGGAAAGAUGAAGACUCUGAUUAUUCACUAAGUAUUACUCCUGCAGCAUACGUGGCUAGUACGAGCGAGUGGAUACUUGAUGCUGGAGCAACCUAUCAUUUGUGUCCUAUUAAGGAAUGGUUUACGGAUUUUCAUAAUCUGGAAUCCGGUGCAGUUGUGAUGGGAAAUGAUCAACCUUGUCGCACAAUGGGGAUAGGAACAAUUCAGCUCAAAAUGUUUGAUGGAAUGGUCAGAGAACUCAAAGAGGUUAGAUUUGUUCCAGCUUUAAAGAAAAAUCUAAUUUAUGUGGGUGCUUUGGAAGCUAAAGGCUACAAGAUUACUAUUGAAGAUGGUAUAAUGAAGUUUACACAUGGGGCUAUGGUGAUUCUGCAAGGGGUUCGGCGUCACAAUCUGUACUAUUUGAAGGGAGGUACAACUGAUGAAGUAAAUAUUGUUGAGGCGAAUAGUGACACCACCAAGCUAUGGCAUGUACGAUUGGGACAUGUUGGAGAGAAGUCUUUGCAAACUCUGAUGAGGCAUGGACUCUUAAAAGGUACCAAAACCUGUAAAUUAAAUUUCUGUGAGCAUUGUGUAAUAAGUAAGAAAACAAGGGUCAAGUUUGGUACAGCUAAUCACGAUACUUGUGAGAUCCUUGAAUAUGUUCAUAGUGAUGUAUGGGGACCAACCAAGACUGCAUCAAUUGGUGGAAGCCAUUAUUUUGUUACAUUUGUUGAUGAUUUCUCUAUACAUGUGUGGGUGUACACCAUGCGAGCAAAGGACGAGGUUCUAGAGAUUUUUGUGAAAUGAAAGAAAUUGGUAGAGACUUAAACUGGCAGAAAGAUCAAAGUAUUACGAUCUGAUAAUGGGGGUGAAUAUACUUCUCAUCCAUUCUUGCAAGUAUACCAAAACGAGGGUAUUAAAAGACAUUUCACGGUGAGACAUACUCCGCAACAGAACGGUGUGGCUGAGCGUAUGAAUCGUACUUUACUGGAGAAGGUACGUUGUAUAUUAUCUAAUGCUGGUUUAGAAAAAAAGUUUUAGGCUGAAGCUGUGAGCUACGCAAGUCACUUGGUAAACCGGUUGUCUUCUGCUGCAAUUGAAGGUAAAACUCCUAUGGAAAUGUGGUCUGGAAAGCAUGCACAAGACUAUGAUUCCCUUCGUAUAUUCAAGUGUCCAGCUUAUUAUCAUGUCAAAUAUGGUAAACUGUAUCCUCGUGCUAAAAAAGCUAUCUUUGUGGGAUUCAAAGGUGGAGUAAAGGGUUUCAAGCUUUGGGAUCUCGAAGAUAAAAAAUUUGUGUGUAGCAGAGAUGUCACAUUUGAUGAAGCUUCAAUGAUGAAAGCUUCAAGUUCUCAGCAGGUGGAGGACAAGACCAAAGAGGCAUUGCAGCGGGUGGAGUUUGAUGCAACUCCAUAUGUACCAGUUAGUUCUACAUCAAAUAAGGGUUCAACUAUGGAGGUGACGCCUAGAGUUGAAGAAGAGGUUGUUUCUUCUGAUGUCCCACAAAAUGAAGAAAUAAUUGAUGAUGUAGAUAAUGAUGAUUUUAUAGCAACAAGGAGGCCAAAAAGAGAGAUAAAGAAACCCGGAUGGCUUACUAAAGAUAUGGUGGUAGCCUAUGCACUUCCAGUUAUUGAUGAUGACAUCCCCAACACUUUCGGUGAAGCAUUACGCAACAGUGAAAGUUAUCGGUAGAAGUUAGCCAUGGAAGAAAAGAUGAAAUCUCUCCAUCAAAACCAUACUUAGGAACUUGUAAAGUUACCAAAGGGGAAAAGGGCUAUUGUCAAUAAAUGGGUCUACACCAAAAUGCAAGGAUCUCCGAAUCAAACAAAUUCUCGAUACAAGGCAAGACUCAUGGCAAAAGGUUUUGCUCAAAAGGAAGGUAUUGACUACAAUGAAGUUUUCUCUCCAGUAAAUAUACUUCGAUUGUUAAGUUAUGUCCUCCGGGAAUUUUGAACUACGGUUGGCUUGAUCCCAAAUUUUGGAUACGUAGGCAGUCACAGAGAUGCAGCCACUUUUGGGAACGAUGGUUCAUUGGUAGUUGGCUCAGAUUUGGACAAAUUUUUGCCGAGGUGGAGAAUUGUUAAAAAACCAUGCACGUGGCAUCCAAAUUCAAGAAAGCAUGCAAAUUUUCAAAGAGCUACCAAACAAUUGAAAAAAAAAAUGAAAAGUUGGCAAAUUUGUCAAAUUUGCCAAAUGGACACCAUUGACAAUUUGCUUAGGUUAGGUGGAAUAGUAAAGGGGUUGGUGCAAUAAUGCCAUUGUUUUCCCUAUAAAUAGAUGGUACUUCUUCCAUUCUAAAGCAUCCCAAAACAUUUGUUAAGCUUAUUAUUUUUUAAGAUUUUGAGAGUUCUGAGAGUGUGAGCAAUUAGAGAGUGUGUGUGAGAGUACUAGGUAUAUUUGGGUUCUGGGAAAGUGAGAUUUCUUUACUCAAAUAAUUGUUAAUAAUACAAUUAUUUUUCUCUUGCUCACGUGGACGUAGGCAUAUUAACAAACCAUGUAAUUCUUGUGUCCUUUAUUUUUCUAUAAUUAUUUAGUAUGUUUGAUUCCGCAUUCCGCGCACAACAUAUUCGCUAGCCGAUAAUAUCAAAUGCUUGAAAGGGAGGGAGCCAACCGAUCUCAAAGCAAAGUAUUCACAAGCAGUAGUUGAUAAACUGGAAAUCUGCAUUAAAUAUUACAUCCAUUACAUGCCAGCAUUUGCUUUUAAUAAAAAGAACAAAUAAAAUCAAUAAAGAUAUUGUUGAAAGCCAAAGCGUGAACCAGUGGUUGCGCGGCUGUGUCUGGCUGACGAGGAGGCGAUAAUGAAUGGCGUGAGCUCGACGGCUUGAUGAUCGGUGGUCGCCAUCGGCAGCGGGAUGAAUGCGGAAAGCAUGGGAACGCAAAUUUGGAGCACGGGGUUUCAGUUCUCAUUCGUUUUUGAGCUACUAAGCCUCUUCGCUGGUAGGCUUUUGUUUUAAAAGAUGGUCCUGACCCAGAGAAGCAACAAAGAAAGUGCUGUGAGUUAAAGAGAUUUUUCCAAUGACGAUUGUACCCUUAAAUAAAUAGUUAAAUGUUGAAGAAAAGAACAAUAAUGGGCGAUUAAAUAAUUCCCAAAAAUAAGGACCAAAAUAAUUUUUCAAAUUUAUAAUACACUUUAAAAUAGUGGUUGGAAAAAGCGUUGGAGCUGGUACCCAUUACGAGUUGGGAAAUUUGCAUUCCAGUGAAUUUGAUUGUGUUAUGAAUUUUUCGGAUUGGGAUAUAAUUCAUUAAAAAAAAUUAGAAACGAAUAAAAAAUUAAAAGUAGUAAGCAUUUUAUUAAACAAAAUUGCAAAUGCAUAUGUAUUGAAUACAAAUAAACUUAAAACAAUCACUAGAAGCAUAUUGAAAUUAAGAGAACAAUAUAAGACAGCCCUGACGGCUAGGUGCGAUGUAGAUGGAAUAUCUGUUCGUGCCUGGGUGGGUUGGCACGAUGGAACUAUUGACAACUGUCAGUGGCUUAGCGUGGUUAGUGGUAUUUGUUAUCAUUAUUAUGGUGUGUUUACUUGAGGGUUUGGGGAAUGAGAAUUAAGAAAUGAGAAUGAAACCUAUGUUUACUUGACAAAAUGUAAUUUGAGAAUGAGAAUAAAAUUUAUGGGUCCCACACAAUUUGGGAAUAAGGAAUGAGAAUCUCAUUCCCAUGGGGGGUUGGGAAUGAGAAUGAAAUUUAUGUUUACUUUUGUAUUUCUCUAAUUUUUUUUAUAUUUUCCGAAUUAUCCUCAUUCAAAUCACAAUUAAUUUUAUUAUUUUAAAUGUCAUUAUUAUUAUUAUUAUUAUUACAUUUUAUUAGCUUUAUUAUUAAUUAUUGUUAUUAUUAUUUUUAUUAAUAUUAUCAUUAUUAACAUUCAUUAUCAUUAUUAAUUUUAUUUUUUUAAUUAAUAUCAUUUUAUAAUAAUAUUUAUACAUGUAUCUAGUUAAUGAAAAUUACAUUAUUUAAUACUAUAGGUAUUUUGAUAAAUUGAUUCUCAUUCCUCAUUCCCAUUUAUUUUGCCAAGUAAACACAUCAAUUACAUUCCAGCACAUUCUCAUUUCCAUUUAUUUUUGCUAAGUAAAUAUCGGAAUCUCAUUCUCAUUCCUCAUUUCCAUUCCAGCUCAUUCUCAUUCCCAGCACAUUCACAUUCCAUCUCAUUCUCAUUUCAUGAAGUAAACGCACCAUUAUUCUUUUCAUCUCGAAAGGGUUUGUUAGAAUUAGAAAUUAGGCUUUAGUUUUGUCUUAGUUUUAGGAUCCAUUAUUUUUUAUUUAACUUUUUUUAAUUUUGAGAUCUAAUCCAAUCUAAUUUAACUCGAUCUGAACAUAAAACAGUAAAAAUUAUCUAAACAGUUCUCAAUUAAAAUAAGUUCAAUUAAAAUCUGAAUUUGUAUGAAUUAGAAUAAUGGCAAGAAAACAGAGUUUGGAUAUGUUUUGAGUAACUUUGAAUAGGUCCAAAUCUGAUAAGAUCAGUAAAAAUUAUCUAAACUCAAUCGAAUAGAUUUGAACCGUUCAGGUUCGAAUCAGAUAUGGUUCUACGUACGUUGUGUAAAACAUCAAAUUUCACAACGAAAACUCUUUUCUUGUUCAAAGAAACAAAGAAAAAGGAUAGUGUUGACACCAUAAGUUUGGCCUAACAAUAAGAUCGGAAUUAAUUUGGGAAUGGGCCCAUAAUUCCUCGAGAUGAUUACUCAAGAGGUCGGAGAUUGAGAUGCUUUGAUCUACAAGAGGAAAAAAAAAACAGUGAGGGGUGUGUUGGAGUUACUAUCAAUCAAGACAUUCCAAUGCUUAAGUCAGAAAUUGGGAGCCUCGACAAUAACAAUUGUAAAUGUUUGAGGAAAAUGUGUAUGCUAACAUGGAGUAAUGAGUUGAUUAUACAUGGCGAAAGAAAGUCAACCAAAUUAGAGUCAGCUCAUUUGAGUGGUAUAGUUUACAAAGGUUAAAAGAUAAGCUCCAUGGGAAAAAGGACAGUUUCGAUAAAUAUAUUUCCAAGUGGUAUUAUCAGAACUCAAAUUUUGUUGGUUGGAGCUAACAAGUAAAUAGUGCACUCCAUCAUGAGAAAAAAUAAAAUAUCUUCUUUUUAACUAAGAAUAAGGAGACAAUAUGAAUAAAGAUUCUUUGAGCAAAGCAAUAAGAGGGGACCAUGUCAACUAUCCUUUACUAACCCCUGAUAAAUAGAAUACCCUUAGGAACAAGGUUGAGAGGCUGCCAUGUGCCCAGCUACGGAGGCAAAAAUGUAACUGAAGGUUUUCUUACAUCCCAAGCUUAUGGAAGUCACCAUUAAAGAACAAAUCAUUGAAUUAAUAAAAUAACCUCACUUAAGAGCAAAAAAGCUAUUGUCAAAUAUUCAAGCUUCCUUGAACCUUCAGGCCACUGUUUCAUUGUCCAAAACCUUACUUGAGAGGAGGAUAUCUCUCUCUUUUUCCUCUAUGCACCUCUUGGGAGCUUCUUUCCAAAUCUGAUUUCUUGAAAAGUUACUUCAUCUUUUUCUUCCUCUACUUCUAGGGUUUUUCCUUCCAUGUGUUUAUAUCUUCAUGGAAGAUCUUGACUACCUCACCUCUCAAAAGAGUUUUUUCCUUUAUUAUUCUACUAGAAAACUCUCUAAUUUUCAUAAGACUGACAUCUUCCUCAUACUAGUAUUCACCAUAAACGACCUUUAAAGAGGUUUUGUUGAUAUUAAGAGUUGGCCUGCCUAAGGCCACGUUUCAAGAACUUAAGAGAUGUUUCAAGCUCCAGACUAAUCCAAAGGAGCAUGAGGGCUGGUAUUAUCCAUCAUCAUGGCCCAAAACGAAAAGGUUAGUUCAAAAUCUACUGAUCAUAAAUAAAAAUUUAAAGAUCGAUGGCUUUGGGCCUUAGGAGAUUGCAACCAAUUCGUUAUAGAGAAAAAGACAAACAAAGUACCAAGUGUAUUUAGACAACUAGGCCUGGUUUUAGUUAGUACUUAAAACAUACAUAGAGGUAUGAGCGUUCAUAAAAAACAUAAGUACAUGUCAUGCAGUUUUGUGAGGUGAUCAACCAAAGGUAUCACUGCAAAUUCCAACAAAUAUUAGAAAAGCACUGCAAUACUGCAAUUCGUACAUAGUAGAGAACUUUCAAGUGAAUGGACUUGUGGAUUUGCAAGAGGCUAAGCCAACACGAUAUGUGAAGAAAAAGAGAAAGGAACUGACCUGAUCAUAUGAGCUAUGCUCACAUAAGAUGUAAAAUAAAAUAUGUAAUUACUAACUGGGAUAGUGGGAUAGCAAUGGCCACCACCUAUAGCGGGUUUGUCAUUAUCGAACCUACACCAUCAAAAAAAUUUAAAUUACCAAAUUCAUUUGCAAUCUACUGUGGGUUUUAACAAUUACCAAAUACAUCUAAAACCUAGAAUGAAUUUUGCUUGUAACCCAUAGUGGCUAUAAUAGCAAUGAAUUUAUUUUAAAUUAGCAUGUUCUGCCCAUAACCUGCAAUGGCAGCAUAAGCAAUAGAUUUAUUUUAAAUCAUAACACAUCUAGAAUUAUAGUGCCAUAUUACUAUUGCAUACAAAAUAUACUAUUACAUUCAAGAAUAAUAUACUUUUACUAUUACAUUAUUACUAUUGCAUUAAAAAAAUUAGAUUUAUCUAAACAUUUCUAUAAAAAUAUACUUUUACUAUUUGCAUACAAAUAUGCAAUUAACUCUGCAGUAAAAGUUAUGCUUAUACUUGAGCUUUUGAUUAGAUUAGUAGUAGCCAAGUUUAGGUUGAUUUUUAACCCAAACCAACUAAUUUAAGACAAACCAAUUUCAACUAAUAUAGUUGUCUUUUUAUUGAUAUCUCCACAAGUGUAUUUAAAAAAAAUAUAUGCAUAUGUUCUAUGAAAAUUGAAAAGAACGACAUGAAUCAAUCUAGCGAUAGCAAUUAUUUAUCUUUAUAAUUAAAUAUUUUUAUAAUUAAGAAGAUUAUGUCAGGUUUUAAACAACAAAGGGCCACUGAUAACUUAGUUUAUGUAUUUUUAUAAAUAAAUAUUUUUAGUGAAAUUUUAAUAAUUAAAAUUUAUAAAAAAUAAUUAAAAUAAAAUUAUGGAUUGGCAGAAACCCAUGAAUAUCCGCUGAAUUUUUUAUUAAUACCAAACUCACCCACAACUCGCACCGAAUUUAAAUUUGUAAUAGCAAUCUCAUCUGCAGCCCACAAAAUUACCAGUAACAAAUGGUUUUUUAGUUGGUAGGUUCACACAGAUUUAGGGAUUUGUGGGUACCAUUGUCAUCCCUAUCAUUGACCCCAUGCUGUCAACAAGAACCGUAUAAUCAAGUAUUUGGGGAAAACUAAAGAAAAGGACCCACAAGGAGAUGGAUCCAAAAGAUGGAGGUUCAAAGCAAACAUCCAAUAUAGUUGGGGCAUAAACACGAAGACAACCCCUCGCAGCAUGCCCGACAAUAAUGGUACCAAUUUUAGCAUCAACUGUGCAUAAUGGAGAUUCAGCAAUCAUUGUUAAACAAAAUCUGACCGAGACAAAGAAAAAAGAAAUUGCUUUGAGCACACCCGACAUGUGGUGUAUUUUACUAAAGCAUACGUGUACAGAGAAAGAGCUCGUAUGAAAUCCUUUAAUGGAGUGUGAUCAAGAGGUAAUACAUAAAAUUUAAAAUGUAUUAAAGAUUCAAAGUAUAUGAAAAUAUUAUAAUAGAAGUAUAAUAAAUCUAACCUUUUCUUAUGGCCAGGCAAAUUAUCGUAGAUGUAGGCUUAGGCAAUACCAUGACCAUCUGAUCAAACAAGGAAUAAAGGGAAUUGCUAUCCUAAAUAAAUUGAAGAGCAACAUUGCAGAGAUGAAAGCAAAGACCGAGAAAAAAUUUAAAGCAAAUGAGAGCCAAAAAAAAAUAAAAAAUAAAUAAAUAAAUAAACUAAGGCAACGACAGAAAAAGCUAGAGGAAAAGGCUCUUCGUUGGGUAGAAUUAAUCACAAAAUUGAAGAGAACGAACAGUUAAUUCGAAAAAGAAAAGCAGAUCGAAUGUGACGAAGGUACUUUGCUGGUGGAGGAAAAACACCCUGGCAUAGAUUUAAAGAGCAUCAAGGAAGAGAUCGGAGUCUCCAAGACUAAAAUACAAAAGCAGCUAAGGCAAGUGACCAGAGAAAGAAUGAAGAGAAUAGAUGCGGAAACAAUGGUUCUCCAGAAUGAGGAUGCCCCAUCAACCUAAAUUGAUAUUAAGGAAAAGCAAUCAGCAUGUAAUAGCUAUAUAAUUUUGAAUUAAUAGUGAUGUAUGAUUUGAACUACCAGCAAGUUAUUUGUGAAACUUGUGGCAUUGCAUAUAUUUCAUAUCUUAUUUCACAUUGAUUAAAUGUAUUGUAUGGAAAAUAUAUUUUAUAGGCCAGAAUUAAAAUUUUAAAAAUUAUGCCGCGAAAGCACUACAAGAAAUAAGAUUAUGUAGCGAAAGGGCUACAAGAAAUAAGAAUUAAAAUAAGAACAAAAUUAAGAACUGGAUCAUAAAUAAUGCUCGAAGUUUAAUUUCGUUAGGGAUAAUACUUGUGAGGCAUUGCAGCAUUAUAUUUCUUAUAAUUCUUCCAGACGUUUUUGCCAUCAGGUCCCUCAAGUUGAUAAGUCCCAGAGGAAAACCAUUUUCAGCACAUUGCAAGGUCCUUCCCACUUAACCAUGAGGCUUCCCUUCUCAGUAAUGUAACCUCGUUAGAAGAUUCAAAACCAAUGGAAACUAAUUUAGCCAUAUGCAUGGCUCUUGCCAAAGGAAUUCCAAUGCCGAGAUUGUGUCAAUCCAUAUCCAAUGAAAACAGCAUCAUCAAGGCAGACAAACCCCUCAAUCAAAGUAAAUCUCCAUCAUCUAGAAUCAAGGAAAUCUCUAAUGGCUAGUUAAUUGAAAUUCCUGACUGUAUGAAAUUUAUUUUUUCAUUUUUUAUCUCUUUGUAUUUUUGUGUAAAUAUCGUACAUACUCUUGUAUAUAGUACAAUAAGUGAAAUACAACUUUUAUUUAGAAUAACAUUGUUUCUUUCAUGGUAUCUGAGCCUUAUGGCCUCAACAGCUCCAUCCUCGCGAAAAGAAACCAAACUUACUCUCCAAACCUUUCAUCAAUGCUCAAGCUUAAUAUCAUCAAGUUUUCAUCUAAGAAUUAUCUCUUGUGGAGGUCUCAAGUGCUGCUGAUGAUCCAAAGCGUCAGCUUAGAACAUCACAUAACUAAUUCUGAGCUUCGACCAAAGACUAUCAAAGAAAGAGAAAAAGAAACUGCCAAUCCCGAGUUUACAACAUGGCUUAACAAUGACGUAUUUGCUGAAAACAUGGCUGAGGGAGAUGAUGAUGGAAGAUACGCUAGCCUUAGUUGUUGGAUGAGAAGCUGCAAAUGAAGUUUGGUUCACCAUUAAAGAGCAAAUGCUUCCCGUCACAACAAAAAAGAAAAAAAGAAAAAAAAAAGAAACUUGACUGAAAGACAACCUUUAUUGACUGAAGAAAGAGUCUUCACGGCUAGAAGAAUUUCUCCGAAAACUCAAAAGGGAUUUGCGACAACUUAGCAACUAUUGGAAACCAUUUGCAAAUGAGGACAAAGUUUUACGAUUGCCCCAUUCACUUAGUCCAAAGUAUGCCAACUUCAAGACAGCCAUGCUCACGAAGCCUCCGUAUCCAAGACUGAAACAAUUCCUCCUUGCCCUAAAUAACCAUGAACACUCAUGGCCUAAAAGAAAAGAAUACAUCAGACAUAAACGAAGCCUUUUUUGGGCAACGGGCAAAAGAAGAAAUCAGCAUGGCGGUAGGUUCAAUGGUCGUGGCAAAAGACAAAAUCAAGGAGGAAGAAACAUAUCACACUUACUGAUGUGCUAGUAAUUUAUAUAUUAUUUAUAUAUUUUCUUUAAAUUAAUUUUAGGUUAAAUUAUAUUUAUUAUGUUAAUUUUAUCUUAAUUUUUAUAUUUUAGGUGCAUUUUGGGAAUAAAGAGGAAUUAAAUCAGAAUAUUCAAGUAAGGAGAGCUUAAAAAAGAAAUUAAUUGGAGAUUUAAGAAAAGUAAUGGGAGUUAAAAUGAAAAACAAAUCGAAGUAGCCAAAGCCUAAUUGAAGUUCACGUGAAGAUGAGAAGACUUAGCAUUGGAAAUAUGUUAAUUAAUAAGGUAAAUCAAAUGAAGAACGAAUUAAAAGAAGAAAGCAUUCUUGUGAUAGGCUUUGGCCAAAUCUUUAUUAGCUUAUUAAUUGAAUAAGUCACGUGCAUGCAUGAAAGAAUAAGGCGGCUUGACUUUUGUUUUUAAUUAUUUCCAUAUAAGGAUUUAAAGGCCACAAUUGAAGCAAUAUAAAAGGGCCAAGCGGAAGCAACGGAGGACGGAAUUAAGAGAGGAGGGCAGCCGCACGAAAUUGGAGCCAAGAAGAAAAAAAAAAAUAGAACAGCAGCCGAAAGUCUUAAGCCAAAACCGAGAGCAGCAGGAGCAAUUUGGAGGAGGAAGAAGACGCUAAGCUUAAUUCUUGAGUUUUUCUUUCCCUUGUCUCUAUUAUCUUACUUGAAUGUUCCUAAUUAAAUUUAUGAAUUCUCUUUAUAUUUUCAUGAACUAAUUUAUUUUGAUAGGGCUAUGAUGUAGCCUAACUAUGAAGAUUUAAUUCCAUAAAUUUAUGUUAUUUUUAAUUUUUUAUUCCAUGGUUGAGUGUUUAUUAUUGUGCUUAAUGCUUUUAAAUAUCUUGCCAAUAUUUGAAUGAUUUGAGGAUACAUAAUGAGACCGAGAGGAGAUUUAUGUGUUUUUACUUUGUGUAAUGGAUGUCAUGAAUUGAACGAAAGACAGAGAUGUACCAAUAUGAUUCGUAUAGUUUUAUCUAAGAAUUUUUAUAAAACUUAAUGACUCUUUGCAUAUUUAAAUUCACAUAGAGAUAUAGUGGGUUAAUAUGUGAAGGUAUUUUUGAUAUUACUCGAGAGAGGAUAUUGAAUAGACUAAGGAAAUUCACUGUCAACAUGGGUAGUAAACUUUAAUAGUAUAGAUGGAGGAUUAAAUUGGAUUGGUUAUGGUGAAAUUGGAUGUUCUAGUGUUUUAAUCUCUUUGUUUUUUGUUACUGCAUGCAUCUUUAUUUAAUUUUUAGUUAUUUUAUUUUAAUUUAAAUUCGCUUAUUCAAUUGUUUGAAUAAAUUAGGGUUAGAAUAAUUUUGGUAGCUAAUAGGAUAUACAAUCUCUGUGGGACGAUACUCUACUGUUCAUUAUAUUACUUGUGCUGACUAGUACACUUGCUAAUUUACGCAUCAAGUUUUUGGCGCCGUUGCCGGGGAUUGUUUGGAUUAGUAUCGAUACCAAAUAACCUUAGUUUAAUUUGAAUUUUAUUUUUAUUGUUAUAUUUUAAUUUUCAUUUUCUUGUCUAAUUUUAUGAGACGUUCAAGAAGUUUUGAUUUAUUGCCUUUUGAUCCAAAGAUUGAACGUACUUGUAGAAGGCUUUAUAGAGAAAGGAGAGAAGCUUUACAGGAGCAACAACUAAUUAUGGCUAACGAACCAUUACACGAAAAUGAGGAUGCGAGACCUUUAAGAGACUAUGUUGUUCCUACAGUUAAUGGUGCUCACUCAAGCAUUGCACGCCCUGCUGUUCAAGCCAAUAAUUUUGAAAUCAAGCCAGCCAUAAUCCAGAUGAUUCAGAUGUCAGUACAAUUUGCUGGGAUGCCAAAUGAUGAUCCAAAUGCUCAUAUUGCAAAUUUCUUGGAAAUUUGUGACACAUUUAAGCAAAAUGGUGUUUCAGACAAUACUAUCAGGCUAAGGCUUUUCCCGUUCUCACUAAGGGAUAAAGCAAAAGAGUGGUUGAACUCACUCCCUACUGGAACAAUCAGUACAUAGGAUGGUUUAGCACAGAAGUUUUAACAAAGUACUUUUCUCCAAGAAAAACAGCCAAGUUGAGGAAUAACAUCACAACCUUUGCUCAUUCACCUAUUUCUUUUUUACAGGAACAUAAUGAAGUGACUUUGUUGAUAAGUGGAUUUCAAAAUUAGUUAAAGCUAAAAUUGCUAAAAUUCCCAAUGCAGCAAUUGAAGGUCCACAAGAGCUGCAUGCAAAUCAAAAUACUGUUAUGGGUCCUUAAAAGUCACAUUUAAAUCAAAAUAUCGUUAUUCCUUAUGCGCAUCCGAAUGUCCAUAAGAAUCCUUUCGAAGCAUGGAAUUAUCCAUCAAAAUAAUGGCGUGAUUAAUAGAAAGCCUUUGACCGACCACAAGAGUCCUAUUUCAAGCGAAAUAAAUGAAUCAAAUCGGCCUGGUGAUAGUAGUGCGGUAAUCAAUGAAGAAAUUAACUCACAAGACAAUGAUGCUAUUGAAGACACUGACACUGACAAAUCCACUUCGUUCGAGACGCAGAGACAUGAUUUUGAUGUACAGGGUAGCAAAGAUAAACUACCAGACAUCUCAGACAAAUUGUUUAUUGACUUAAUCAUUCCCGAAUUACGGCAAGCCGAACCAACAGCGACAUCAAAUAUUCAUCCAAUGUUGACACGACUCAAGCUGAAACAUACCCCUCACCUAGCCUUAGGUGCAGAUCAAGAGAUAUACUGAGCAGCUUUAGAAAAUACUAUUUGAGUUUAUGCGGUAAACAGAGAAAUCAAAGCUCUAAAUCAGAAUAAUACUCGGACUUUUGUUCCACGUCCUACAGAUACCAAUGCUAUAGGUUCCAAAUGAGUCUAUACAAUCAAGUACAAGGACUAUGGCACAAUUGAUUGAUUUAAGGCUGGACUUGUUGCCAAAGGUAUAAUCAAGUUCUGGUUUUGACUUUGAAGAAACUUUUAGCCCUAUAAUAAAGCCAACAACUACAAGACUUGUCUUAUCUUUUGGUGUAAGCUCCAAAUGGCUCAUUUAAAAAUUUGAUGUCAAUAAUGCAUUUUUGCAUCAACAACUCAAAGUGGUAGAUAAAGGGCAGCUUCGAAGUUUCGAAAAUUAUUUAUUGCCAUCUCACAUUUGUAAACUCCACAACUGUCUAUAUGGUCUUAAUUAAGCCCCUAUGUCCUGGUUUUUUUUUUUUUUAAAUUUCCUAUGUCCUGGUUUAAAUGCCUCUCCCAUGCUUUUUUAGGCUAGAUUUCAUAACAGCGAAGCAGACACUUCACUUUUUAGUUAUAAUCAUAAUAAUGUUCUUCUUCUAAUACUUAUAUAUGUUGACGAUGAAAUUAUCACAUGCGAUAGUGAGGACGAGAAACAAACUAAAAUCAACCAACUUAGCAGCCAAUUUGUGCUAAAAUGCCUUCGUAUUCUUAGCUAUUUUUUAGGAAUAGAAGUCAAAAAUUUUAAUCAUGGAUUUUCCUAUCUCAUGCAAAAUAUACAAGGGAGUUAUUGCAUUCAGUUUGGUUCGAUUCAGAGAAAAAAAAACCAAAUAGUUCACAAAAUAAAGAAUUGAUUGGUUUUUUUUUGGGUUGGUUCAAAAUCGAACCACACGGAGAACCGACUAGUUCACUGUUUAAAAAUUUUAGCUAGUAUAAAGAAAAAUUAUUAAAAUUCUUAAACCAAACCAAGCCAAACUGGAACAAACCAAAAUAAUUUAACUCCGUUUGAUUCGGUUGUUCAAUUAGGUUCGUAUAUUUAUAAACCAAUGGAUUUUGAUUCGAUUUGGUUCAAGGGUGAAACCGAAUCGAACCGAAGCUGUUAACGCCCACCCCUUGGCUAAACUGUACACCUAUUACAACACCUACAACGGUGAAAACAACAUUAGCUUUGGACAAUCAAGAACCUAUGAUUGCUACAUAAUAUCAAGGCCUAGUAGGCAGAUUGCAGUACCUUACCAAUACGAGACCUAGUAUAUCACAUUCAAUCAAUCGCAUUUGCCAACACUUCCAAAUUUGACAAAGGCGGAUGUUGAUGCCAAAAUCUGGUCGAGCUUAUGAUAGUAACUAGGUUACCUUGUCAACACUUGAAUUUGUUUUGAUAGGGAAUCGGGGAACUGUUAACUUAUGGUAGGCGAUCAUAAGAUCUAUUCCUGGCAUGUCAUCAUGCGACCAGGCAAAUACAUCUGCAUAUGCUUGUAAACAGUAUACCAGCUUUUUCUUUAACCCCUCUUCCAACUUCGACCCAAUCUUGACAAUUUUUUAUGGAUCUUCUUGCUUUAUGCUUACUAUGUCGAUCUCUUCAACCGACUCUUACUUGCCCUUUUUGGCGUCUCCUUGAGCGUCCAAUGAGGUGAUUUUCAUUGUUUCCUUUGCUUCUACUACAUAGCAGCCCCAAACAAUCCUUUGAUCCCCCUUUACAGCAAUUAUGACACCAUUCACCUGAUAUUUAUGAGCCGGGAGAGGCUAUAUGCACUCUAAAAAUUACUUUGAACAUUCUAUUACUAUGUGCACUCAUCUAUUAAUUUUAAAAAAGUGAAUUAUAUUUUGUACACUCUUUAAAAUACCAAAAACGUCCUCACUUAAUUCUUUUUUAAAUUAAUCAUCUUAAUUACUCUACACACAUGAAAAUGCUAUAUACACUCAAACAAAAUAAAUCAAUUAAACAAUAUAUCAUUUGGCCAAAUCAAGGACUCUGUUUGCUCUUGCUUCAAAAAUUCGAAAUUUAAAAUCAUGAAGAGAAGUGAAGAUGAAAUUUUUAAUCGUAAUAGUUGAUUAACCACACUCAGCAAUCAUGGGCAAAACACGUGGUAUGGGAGCUGGCCGCAAACUGAAGUCAAACCGUCAAACUCAAAGGUGGGCUAAUAAAUCAUACAAGUGUCACCUCGGCGACAAAUGGAAUAAACCAUUUGUUGGUUCUUCCCAUGGAAAAAAUAUUUUAAAAAUAUUUUAAAGUAAAUUGUAAAAGAAUACAGACGCAGACAUAAGAUAUUUUAAAACAAAUUGUAAAUACUAUGCCCGUUCAUCAUAACAAAUUGUAGAGUAAUUUAAAGCAAUGAUCGCUGCCUGUUCAUCAAAAGAAUACAGAUGCCACAUACACAUGAGAACACACUCCUCAAUUAGAAAUUAAAAAUCUAUUCUAUGUAGUUUCAAGACCCACAAAUGAGACACAUGCUAGCCAUUAUGUUAUGCUUCAAAAUUGAAAUUCAAUACUUGAAUUCAGGACCCUUCAAACGAGAGACAUGCUAGCCAUAAUGUUGUACUUCAAAACUAAAUUUCAAUACUUGAGUACAAAGACACAUGCUAGCCAUAACAUUAUGCUUAAAACUGAAUUUCAAUACUUGAACAUCCUGUUAUCUUCAACUCCACCAAAUUUAGAGGGCAAUCAAUUCAACUACCUAACCAUCUGGAAGGGAAAAAACAAGAAAGAUUAUUUGUGUUGUAAAUUAGAAAAUUAGGAUCACACAUGCCUCAUUAAAGUUAAAAUCUUCACAUAUUGAGUUUCCUUUGUAACUAUUUAUUCGAGAUAUUUGAAAGAAAAAAAUUAAGAUUUAAAAUAGUAAGGAAAUUAAACAUUAAUUGCAGUGCCUUAAAUGAGCAUUCAAAGUAAUAAUAUUAUAUAUACUCAUAAUAAAGUGUCCUUAAUAGUAUUUUAUAUUAUGGGUAUUUUUGUAAUGAAAAUAUUUAUAAAAAUAUGAGUGUUUAGAGAAAUUUUUAGAGUGCGUAUAGCCCCACCCUUAAGAGCCAUGUAAUAAUUGGAUAUUACUGCUUUACUAAUUCUCAAGAAAGGUCUGCCCAAGAUUAUUUGAUAUGAGCUGUCUUCAUCAACUACCACGAAAUCUAAUAUCAUGGUCUUCUAGAAUGAAAUGGAGUUUAUUGUUACAGGCAAUUUGAACACACCAAGAGGAGUCAACUUUCCCCCAUCAAACCCCUUCAAUGUGCUAGUAUUCUUCAGUUUUAAAUUCGUAAUUCCCAUUUCAUCCAAGAUCGAUUUAAAUAAGAUGUCUACUAAGCUCUCAGUAUCCACAAGUAUCUGGUCGAACGUUUUGCUCGCACUGGACGAGCACCAUCAAUGAAACUAUCCAAAUAAUGAUUCCUUACUAAGUCCUCAACCUAGUUCUUGAGGUCUCGACAACACAUUGUUACAUGACCAUAGGUGUUAUGAAAUUCAUAGAAUUUGCUCAUGUCUCGCUUAUUGGCCGCUUUUGCUAUUGGGGAUGGGGGAUAUAACAAGCCAUGGUCUUUAAUCGUGUGAUAUAGUUCUUCCAAAGGGAUUGUCAAAAGAGUAUAUUGUUUGUACGUCGGGCUUUGGUCGAUUAUCUACAUAGCCUUGUCCCUAGGGAACCCUCUAUGCAUGUGGCUAGGUGGUGGGGUGAUGGUUGUCAAAGUCAGCAAAAAUAAAUACAUACUCUAAAUAAAUUGUGUAUAAUGAUUGAGAAGGGUCAUGUCCACAGAGAUCGGUAAUUAUUUAAAUCCUUUUAAAACGUAAAACAUAAAAUGGGGGUUUUGUUGACAAUAAUAAAAAUCAAAUUAAAAUAACAAGAAUGCAAAUUAAAGUUGUAAUUCAAAUUGGAGAAAGCUCUGGUUGAAGGAAUUAACUCAGCUUGAUUUAACUACUGAUCAUUGAUUCAAAUAUAAAUUAUUACUACUUAUGAAUAGACCGGUUAUAGCUACUGAGACCCUCUAAUAGCCAAUCUCUCCUUAACUAGUCGAUAACCAAGGUACGACCGUUGGUUAUUUCCCUAAUCAAUAGACAACCCUGGAUACGAUCAUAUGAUUUAAUCAAUUGACAGCCUGAAAAACCAGAGAGACCCAAAUCCUAAUCAACAAACGCAUACGAUGGUUCAUUUAAAUUAGAUUGUUUAUUCUCAUAACAUAACUCACUGCUAUGUUAUUUGUCACAAACAUUAAAAUCUUCAUACGAUGAAUCCUUUAAUUGACAAUAGAUUAAAUUGAUAAUUAAAUAGUGGCCAGUUAUCUAAUUAACAAACAUAAUUAUGAAAAUAAUUCAGAGAAUAAACAAAUACCCAAAAAGUAAUAAAACAAUUAAAGCAUAAGAAAGAUCUCACAGUAGUGAUGAAUCAAAGCUUCAUUAACCUUCAACCAGAAAAAUAGGUUUAGUUCUUCAUAGAGAGAAGAGAAAAGUUUAGAUCCAGGGUUUCUUUCUUUUUCCAAUCUCCCCUUUUUCACAAUAGAUUCCUCCCUUAAAUACUCUCUCUCUCUUCUCCUCUAGAGUUCUUUUUAAAAUGAAAUUCUAAUAUCUGAAAUAUUAAAUUCGUAAUUACAAAAAUAACCAAAAAUACAAAACACGUUAAACUAAAAACUGCAGGUCCGUAGUUGAUAGCACGCGCCCACGCCUUAUCAACAAAGUUCUUCUGACGCUCAUAAUUUCUCCAAGAGAACAAUCAUCCUUAAACAUCAUCUUGUAGCUCAAUUUUAUCACCAAUCAAUAGAAUUGCACCUACAAAAGUAAAACACAAGUAAAUCACUAUUAUUAAGUGCAAAACAUCGAUAUUAAGGGAAGUAAACAAUGCAAAACUAGUGUAUAAAUUGCACUCUAAUAUGGGGAGUCUGGUUUGUUGAAUAUGGUAUCUAGUAGGUAACAGGCUAUCGGAGCAUUAUACCGAGGGUGCUUAUGCGGUUGGUUGGGUUCCCCUAAGUGAUUGCUACCGGAAGAGCGAAGAGUUGGCCGUGCUAGAAUUGAGUUGGCCUCGGACGAGGCUGGUAAGGGAGUGCUUAACCACUUACUCCUCCACUUAAGGAUGGUUUGUUGCUUUGGUUAAUAGGCCUGCCCACUUUUUGGACUUUUUUCUUCAAAUUCCCGAGCUGUUCAACCCUUAAUCUCACUGCCUUUUGUUCCUCGAUUUCAAUGUCUCUUUUUGCCUGCUCGUAUGCUGCAGAGUAUGAUUGUAUGGCUAGAUUUCUUAAGUUAUACUAGAGCCACUCUAUCUUUACCCCUUCUUUAAGCCCUUUCAAAGCCUGUGGAUGGUUAAAGGACCUAAGGUCAAGAACAAUAUAAUGAUACUUGUUCAAGAACUUCUUGAGGGUAUCAUUUUCUCUCUGUUUGAUUCCUAAAAACUUUAUCAUAUCGUCUUCUGGAGCUACUGCCUUGUGAAAUUGUUCUGGAAAUUCUCGGCACAUCUACUCAAAGCUUCUAAUACUACCUCGAGGUAAUUUUCGGUACCACCCGUGCACACGCCCUUCCAAAGUUAUUGGAAAUACUCUACACCUCUAGGCCUGUGUUAAACCUUGUACCCCCGUCAUAUCAUUAAAACACUCAAUAUAAACUAAAGGAUCACUCUUCUCAAAAUACUUGAGGUCAGGGAACCAGAAAUCUCGUGGAAUUAUUGUGCUCAUGAUUUCUUUUGAAAUAAGUGAUUUACUAUCUAGCAUAAUUCUCCAACUUAGUGUCUUCCAUCGCCCUUGCAGCUCUUCAUUCACCUGAGCUAAUCUGGGCACCUCACCCUCCAGCUCCAUAACACGUUCUGGGUUUCGUGUUGCGACUUAAUCACGUUCUCACCCUAUAUCAUUUAGGUGUUGUCUCAAUUCUCUUUCUCGAGCACUUGUUCCUCCUCUGUGUUUAAUUGGCCCUGAUUCUCUCUUAGCUAAUCUUUCACUCGAAUACUCUGAUCAUUACAGAGCCGAACCCCUUCGUAACGGCUCUGUUCACCUUGGGUAACUCCAUUACUAGGGCCAGAGACAUUGGGGUUUUCCACCUGGGAUUUCUCCCAUGUGCCCUUCUCUUAAUUCUUGAAGGACAGCAGUGAAGGCCUCCAUCUGUUUCUCCAUUUGCUCCACUUGCUCGUACAUCAACCUCUCUCUUUCUUCAUUUGCCGUCUCUCGAGAAACAACAGGAUCAAUUACUCUAGAAUCAGUUCCACGGGCUCUAUUUCCUCUUGGAUUUGUUUUGCUUGUCGUGUUGUCAAUUUAUUUGGCUGGUAGCAGCUUUUGGUAAGCUCCCCACUGUUGAUGUUGAAAUUUGGUCGAGCUUAUGACAGCGACUAGGUUCCCUCGUCAACACUUGAAAAUUUUUUUUUAUGAGGAACUGUUAACUGCUAUUCUGAUGGGAUUGGAAUUGUCACCUUGCUUCGUUAUUCCCUGCGACAAUAGAGAACUGUCAUGGGGCGUCAGAUAUUUUUUGGAAAAAACCCUCCGACGCUCAAGUCAGUAAUCGAUUUUCUUGUAAGGAACUAAUGUCACUUCUCUUGUGAUCUUAAUUACUUUUUUUUUUUUUUUAUCUUUUUCUGGUUUAGAAUAGAUCCUUUUUUCUUUUUUCUUUUUCUACAAAACUUUUCUCUCCUCCCAAAAAAGUCCCCUUUUUGGAUUUUUCAAGAUUCUUAUAGGCACCCGAGAUUAUCGUGCCAUCUUCAAUGCACGCUGUUACUGAAUUGAAUGCACUGCUUGAAUCAUGAGUUAAUGUACCAUUUACUAUGUAGUUAUUGAGCUACAAUUAUAACGCCUGGGCAUGCAUAGGUGUUAUGGCCGGAUUUUCGGGAGGAGCUCAACAAUCUGAAGUUAACCAAGGUAACCAAGGUCUCGGGAACAAACGACCUGAUUCUGGUCUCCUCUUAGAAUCCCUGGUCGUCCUCGCACACGUGACCAAUCAUAUUCCUUACAUCACUUUUACAAUAUUAAUAUCAGUAGCAGUACUCCUAUACCCCAAACAGUAGAUAUGCAAGUAGUGAAGCGGAUCCUUCGUUACCUCAAAGGCAACCUUCAUUUUGGCUUACGUCUUUUCUCACAAAGCUCCCGUAGUCUUUAUGGACACUCAGAUUCAAAUCGGCUGGCUGCCAUAACACCUUCGAAUUGUGCUUAUACCUUGACACUAAUUGUAUCUUUUGGAGCUCGCAGAAGCAAACAACAAUUGCUCGCUCAAUUGUAGAAGUCGAAUAUUAAUCAAUGGCUAUUGCCACAAUUGAAUUGAGAUGGCUACAUUCGCUUGUGAGAGACAUUGUUGUCCAAUGCAAUAACAUUCCAAUCCUAUAUUGUAAUAAUAAUAGUGCCUUACACAUGAUAGGAAAUCCUAUUUUUCAUGCUCGCAGCAAGCUCUUUGAGUUUGGUGUCCAUUUUAUUUAGGAAAAAAGCGAGUCAAGGUAUCAUUCCACAAUAUACAUUCCAUCUUAAAUGCAAAUUACUGAUGUCUUAAUGAAGCCAUUAGGACAUGCUUUGUUUCGCACAUUUCGAUUCAAACUGGGAGUCCAUUAUAUGAAUUUGCCUAGUUUGAGAGGGGAUGACAGAAUCUCUUUACAAGAUUCAAAGAUAUUAGGUACUAAUUUCGCCAUAUGCAUGGCUGUUGCCAAAGGAAUCCGAUGUCAAAAUUUUGUCAAUUUGAGAUUGAAGUAUCUGAGGCUACAUUAAUCGGGAAUACAUGACAGAAUGAAUGGUUUUAUCUAUAAACUUCACCUUCAACAAGCGUAGAUUUUUCAAUAAUCUUUUUUUGUGUUUUUGUUCUUUUCUAUCUCGAAUCCAGUGAAAACGACAUCAUCAAGCCAGAAAAAUCCGUCAAUCAAAGCAAAUCCUCAUCAUAUAGAAUCAAGGAAAUCUCUAAUGGCUAGUUAAUUAAUUGAAAUUAUUGAUAUGUAAUUUAUUAAUCUUUUUUUUUUAUCUAUUUGUAUUUUUGUAUAAAUAUCGUACAUACUCUUAUAUACAGUAAAGCAAGUGAAAUAAAAAUUUUGUUUACGAUAUCCAUGUUUCUUUUACUCAAGUCUUUCUUAUACUGAGAGUGAUUCUUUAUAGCACAAGGUCUCCUUCAAAAAAUGUGCAGGCCAUAACUAUUUUGAACUGCUCAUUACCGCUCGAAUCUAACCUUUUCCUGCUUUUCUUCUACGAGUUCAAGACUUGCACAUAAGAGCUGAUGAAUUUCGUCCUUAGGGUAAUGUUGUGUUCGAUGGUAGGAAGUCCAUUCUCCACACAUGAUUGCCUCAUGACCAAAAGCUAAAGGAAAGGGAGUUUUGGUUGUAGCUGUCUUGAUAGUUAUACAAUAUGCCCAAGCCCCUUUUUUAGCUCAUCGUCCCGAGCCCCUUUUUGGCUCCUAGAUGGGCUUUGAAGUGUCUUCUUGAUUGCUUUAUUGGCUAUUUCAACUUGUCGAUUAGCUUUUGGAUGUGCAGAAGAUGCAAAUUGUAAAUCAUUAUAGAACUCAUUACAAAGUGCUUUAAAGUUAUCAAUAUUAAACUAUGUACUGUUACUAGUGAUAAUGACCUGAGGUAUAAUAUAACGAGACGUUGCGUUUUCCAAACUUAGUCAUAUGUUUUCAGUGAUCGUUGCUAAAGGCCCAGCCUUGACCCACUUCAUGAAAUAAUCGAUGGCAACAUUUGCAUACUUUGCCUAAAAACGAUUUGUUGGCAUUGCUCCAAUAAAAUCAAACCCCAUUGAGAUAAACGCCAGAGACUAACCAAGUGGUUGUAAGGGAAUAUCAGUAAGUAUCUUACAGCUACGACAAGAAUAAACGAGUUGCGUAGAAUCUUGAUGUGUAGGGUAUCACUAAUAACUUGUCAUAAGGAUUUAAAGGCCAGUGCUCGUGCAUCCUUUCAUGAGUCUCUGAAAUCACAAAAUUACCAUCCUUAGGCGUGAAAAAUCAAAGGCAAGGUGACAUAUCCCAUCAAUGAGACAAGGGACAUGCAGUGAGGGGUGCCAGAGUUGUUAACAACAAAGAACUGUCGAUGCUUAAGUUAAAAAAUCUGAAGCCUCGAUUACAAUAAAUGUAAAUAAAAAGUGUAAAGAGAAUGGUGAGGAGUUCCGCUGUUCUUAACACUCACCAAACCAGAAUAGCCUCACAUUGUGAGCAGGAGCCCGUAAGUAGAGAUGAUAUCAAUAGUUUUGAGUGGACAAUAAUAUGAGGGUAAGGAGAAGUACUCCUCGGAGUCGAGCUUCACAAUUGUUAUCCUAUUAGAUUUUGUUCUAACAUGUAGUAGGUUGACCCGAUUUGGACGUUUGCUCACUUAUCAGGUCGGGUUUAAUUGGGAAACAACAGAUAGUAAUGGGCAUGUAUUCCAUAAACAAAAAAUAAAGCUCAUCGGAAUUGAAUGGGACUCUGAACCCGAUUCGAUUUGAAUUCAAAUUGGAUCGAGUUGAGAUUCAUAAUUCGAAUUGGAUAGUGAUUUUUUUUUUUUAAUUUUCGAUCAAAAGUGAGUGGAGGAUAAAUAAAUUCCCUAUAUCCAGAGUCUUAAAAAAAUCAAAUAAUUUAAAUUCACAGCCAUAAAAAAAAUAAAGAAGAUGAGUAAUUACUCCAGCACAACUCUAAUAUCUUGGGCUUAAUGUAGUGUUUUGUUCUUACAUUAUGCAUGGACAGUUAAUGUAGUGUUUUGUUCUUACAUUAUGCAUGGACAGAUAAUGGAAAGGGUGAAAAUUGAUUUCGAUAUUACACUGUAAGCUACUUAUUCACCGUAAUAUACAAUAAAUUUUAUUUCAAACUUUAAAUCUUCAUUCAGGAUAAUUCAAUAUUCCUAAAAAUUACCCAAACAUCUCCGUUGUAUAUUCUUUUUUCAAUAAAAUAUAUUAAAUUAUUCUUUUACUUUGCAUAUGUUGUAUAUUAUUAAAUUUAUUUGAAUUUAAGUUUCGUAUACAAAAAUAUUAUUUUCUUUUUAAAAGUUAAAUUCAUUAAUGGCUGGGUAACUUUUUAAAAUAUAAAUACUAGCUAGAUAAUUGGUUUAAACCUUAUGAACUAUAGAUUAAUGUUCUUAAUUUUAGUACUGGAUAAAUUUGUUAUUCAUGGUGCUGUUUGGUUUAUGGUUUUGAACUAUUUUUUUUACUUUAAAACUAAUCUCUUUUUAUAUUAUUCUUUUCUUAUCUUUCUAUAUGAUUUUGUUGGGUUACAUUUAGAUAUUCAAAAUCGUUCCAUUACAUUUAAAGAGCAGCAUUGGUAUUUUAUAAUAAAUCAAGAUGUUGUAUUUACAGAAUAUAAAUAAGCUAACAUAUUGACUAAUAUUGGAAAUGGAAAUGUAAUAAAAUAAAAUAUUGUAAUGAUAAAAUAAUAUAGUGUUAUAGCCUGAUACUUUUUACAAUUUUUUUAUUUCGUAUUUCAUCCUUUUUAAUUUCACAAUUUACUGAAGUAUUGAAACAUCAAAAACUCAUAUUUUUAAUGCAUAUUCAAUUUAUUUAUUCUAUAUUAAUUGUAUAAUAUACAACAAAAAAAUAUUGUUUAAACAUGUCAAUUUUUCAUGUGUUUAAAAAAUUUUAUUUGAGAUUACAUUGUCACCGUUAUACCAUCAGUUAUUUUUAUUCUCAAACUAGACCAAUAGAUCAACGUUCAAAAAAUUUAUAACAAUAUCAACUUAGAUGUAUAAAUAUUUUAAAACUUUUGACUUUUAUAAUUUUACAAUAAACAAUGGGGAUUGUAGUGUUAAUAACCAACAAAACAUGUACCUAUUGGUUAAGUUAGAGGAGGACAAAGUUGGGGUAUCUUGCAACUGUUGCACAUCUAAGUUUAUAUUGUUUUAAAUUUUUAAACUUUGAUAAUUUUAUGUUGUUACUAAUAUUUAACAGUCAAAAGAUGUAAAUUUAGUAAUUUUCAAAUGACUAAUGUGAUUGAUAGCUUUGGUGAAUGUUAAAUAAGGAUAUUUGACACAUCCAUACUUGGUAUUUUUUAACUGCCAAAUAUACUUAUACUUAUUUCAUAGUUUUCCUAGUUUUUAACUGUCCAAUAUACUUACCUUAUUUGAUAGUUUUUAACUAUGAAUUAUUCCAUUGUUUCUUCUAGUGACACUUUUGUAUAGUGAAAUUAUGGCUGCCUUCCCAGUGGCACAAUUCAUCCUAUUCUUCUUCAAUCAUUUGCGCUUUGCAUAGUUUUGGUGUGACUAAGGCUCCUUGGGAAAAGUCUUCAUAUUUGGACACUGUGUCACAAAAACUCCUUCCAAGAAUGGGAAUUCAAGACUGUCAUUCUCCAAACAAAAGCUUCUAAGACUUGGUAAAUCAUCAAGUUCCAAAAGUUCCAAUAAUGAACAAGUUAUUUGAAUCUCUUGCAAAAAGUGCAAUUGAGAUUUUUUGCUCUACAAGCUCCAGUUUAUAUUGUUCAUGGGUCACAUGUUGCAUUGGCCCAUAUGAUACUACGAUUGUGGCUUUAUGCCCAAAAGUCCUACUCUCAUUGCUCUGGUUACUCAAUCAUCCCAUCACGUGCGAGUGGGAGAUGUUAGAUUUAACGCCCAUGAUGUGAUGAAUUAAUUUAACGUAAAUGAUAAACUUAGAGUUUUUCUAGGAUUCUUGUAAGAUAAAAUUAGUAUUUUAUCUUAAUCUAAUCACACACUACAAGAAAUCUAGCAAUAGAUGACAAUCACUUUAUGAAAAAAAAUCAUUUUAUCAUAUAACUAUGAUAGAGACGUGACAGAAUUUUGGUCUAUCAAACUAUUAAUGAUGUAAUUGUGAUAGAAUAUUUAUCUAUCAAUAAUUUAUGAUAUGCAUGUGAUAGAAAUAAACUCAAUCACAAACAUUGUGAUAGAAAUUUAAUAUUGACCGUGUUUGACUAAAUUCAAAAGUAAUAUUUUAUUUUUUUAUAAUCUAAAACGCAACAUUUAGAUUAUUAAAAUGAUUUUAAAAAAUAAAUAAAACGAAACGCUGCGUUUAAGAGAGUGUGUAAACUAAAACAAAAAUUUUCUAAGUCCUUCAAUACUAUAUACUUAUCAACAUCGUCAUUCUCACUUGCAGACAACACUCAACCCUAGCCUAAAUACUCAUCGUCACUAUCAAUCAAUCAACCACUACGUACACUACCUAAACUCUAGAUGGCGGACCGUUCCCCACCUGUGUUCAAACUCCCAGCGUUGAAGCCAUUGUUUGAACUGCUAACUAAAUCCUAGAAACCAAGAUUUGUCCCUACUGUAUCUAGUCUCUCGCUGUGGAAGAUUUUAGUCCUUUCAGCAAAGUAUCUUCAAGGUAAAUGCUUAGUUUCUGUAUUUGAUUCUAGGAUGCAUGCUUCAGGGGAAAAAUUUGUUUGUUUGUGAGAAGAGCUUGAUUCUAUCUACCCUAGAAAUUGAUGGGGUCUUCCUCGUGAGCUUUGAUUUUCAUUAUAUUGCCAUUUUCGGUUAGUAAUUGGUCAUCACAGUUAUGAAAUUGUUUGAUUUUCUUUGCCAUAUAGCCUAUUGUUUGAAUUUGGAGAAGAUGUUAUAUUGUUAAUUUUGGUUAAGUGGUGUGUCUUCACUGAUUUGGGAAGUGUUGUUGGGACGUUAUGUGGGCAAGCAUAUAGUGCAAGCAAAUAUGAAAUGCUAGGGAUAUAUAAUUAAAGGAAGACUAGAACUGAGAGGUUGUGUUAGUUUGUUUCUUUUGUGUGUGUUAAUUUGUUUAUUCACCUUCUGCAAUCAAUCUCUAUGCAUUUAAAGUUAGUUUUUUUUUUUUUUUUUUGGUGUGUAUGUUAGUUAGUUUGUUUGCUUUAGGGUCCUUUCUCAGAAAAGCAGCAAAGUAAAGGAGGAAUGGAGCUGAGAGGGCUUUAUAUAUAUAUCCACAUCCAUCCAUUAUUGUUUCUUUUCUGAUCUUAGUUACACAAGGUUCUGUAAUUUGCUUUUCUUAUAGGAUGAUUAUCUAUGGUUAGCGAAAGACUGUAUAUUUUGUAAUAUUACAUUCUACACUGCAUGAACAAUUAAUUAUUUGUUCUCUUGUAGAAAAAAAUCCAACUGGGACAAUGUUUUGUUGGCUUAUGAGCCAGUUUGGGCCAUUGGUAUUGGGAAGGUUGCAAACCAUGCUCAGGUUCAGGAAGUAAGUUUGGGUUUAUGUCUUAUUUAAUUUAAUGUUUUAAUGACAAUGAUCUUCAUGCUUGUAAGAAUAAUAUGACUACCCUUAUUGGCUUGCUAUCAGGGGUGGAGCUAGCAUAAGGCUAGAGGGUACCAUGGCCCCUGUAGAAUUUUGAAAAAUUUUAGGGUUUCUAAAGAAAAUGUGAAAAAUUAGUGUAAAAUAUCUAUAUCGGCCCCGUAGAAUUAGAAUUUUACAUAUGUAAUAACGUAAAAAUUACAAUUUUAAAUUUGGCCCCUGUAGAAUUUUUUCCCUAGCUCCGCCCCUGCUUGCUAUCAAUAUAAAUAUUGUUUGAUUGAUUAUAAGCCUUUUUUUUUACCGAAAUUGGUUAGGAGCUUGCUUAGUUUUUUUGUCAACACAUUUCUAUAUGUUUUCACCAUGUGCAUUUUAGCCUAGGCAGGGCAUUUUAGAAUUUGUCUAUAGCUCUAGUAGUUUUGAAACAAGUAAUAAUACAAUAGAGUUGUUUCUGAUAGUUAUCAUCAUUUUUUCACCUUGUAGAUUCAUACAUAUAGCAAAGAAUUAUAUUUGUUCCUCAAUCCAUCUUCAGACUCCCAUGCUUGUGGAUACUCUCAUUUAUACAUCUACCUAAAUACUCACACAAACCCACAGAUAAUUUUGCUUGUGUCAUUACCUUUUCAGAUGGGGACAUGCACAAAAAUAUUUUUGUACUUUGUGUUUAUCUAUUGAAUACAAGUAAAUAGAUGUUUUCAGUCUAUUUUAGUUAUUACUUUAUCUCUUUUUGCCAGCAAAACUUGUUGACAUAAUUGCUCUUUGUUGUGCUUUUAAAGUUGAUAUUUUGUCAAUUUUUUGGUAAUCAUUUUUCGCAAACCAUGUUUUAAAUAUAAGUGACAGGUCCAUACUAAACUGAGGAAAUGGCUUAAAGAUAAUGUCAAUGCUGGAGUUACAGCAUCAACUAGAAUCAUCUUGGGAGGUAUCCUUUCACUACUUUGUUAGUUAUUAAUUGUGACCACUGUUUAAAAUUAAUUUUGAGUAUCCUAUAAUCGUUAUUAAUAUGUAUAGAGCCAAGAUGGGCUUAUUGAAGCUUAUGGUUGGUCUUCUUAGACCUUUUUCUUGUUCAUACAAAGUAGUAAAGAGCACUUUACAACUAAACAUACAAUAUUAUUACUUCAACCUGUUUACUGAACUUACUUUGGCCUUUUCUAUUUGAUAUCAACGAGAUUUAUUCUUAUGGUUAUGCUUAUGAGAGAAGCAUUCUUUUGCUCUAUUAUGUGCUUAAUAUUUUUCCUUCUGCAACAAUAAUUUUAGUUGGAUUGGUUCUUAAACAAUUCCAAAUAUUUACAAAAAUGGAAGUUGCUUAAAGACAUAAUAUACAAUGCAAACUGUUGAAAAUGAAUCCAAGAACAGAAUUCUCUACCACUUAUAUUUUAUCCAGCUUAAUUAAUUAGAGGAGUAAUGAAUAAUAAUGUUGUGAACCAGGCCUGUUUUUGUAUUCCUCGUUUAUAAGUACUAACAGAUUCACUUUUCUUUUUCCCUUUACUAAAUAGGUUCUGUAAAUGGAGCAAAUUGUAAAGAAUUGGCAGCACAAUUGGAUAAUGAUGGAUUUUUGGGUGGUGGAGCUUCUCUAAAGGUGUGUUUUACUUUUGCUACCAAAGGCAAAUAAAGAAGUUAUUGUCUUUUGACUUGGCUGAUUGACUUUUUUGUCAUAUUUGAAUUAGCCAAAUUUCAUCGAUAUUAUUAAGUUUGCCACAACAAAGAAGAAUUGAAGUUAAAACUAGGCUCCAUGGCUUGCUGAUGCCUGCAAUUUUCUCUGUUAUGCUUCCUUGAGAACUAGAGUUAUAAUUUUGUUCAUUAUAUAUCAGUUCUCAUUUAGUUUUCUCUUUUUCCAAUUAUAUAUCAAAGGUAAUAUAUGUAUGUUGUUCAUCCAUUAUUGUUUCUUUUUUGUCUAGGUUUUGUGUUACCCCAUCCUGGACAAAUACCGGACAUUUCUCGUCCCAGUGGAGUAGAAGGUGUGUGCAAGCUCUUAAAAAAUGCCCGUAAAGGACAAUUAUUAUUUGUGCCAUGCAAUCCCAGUCUAGAAAUUUCAAAAUGUAAUAAAGUGUUCUUAUCAUUAUUUAUUCAUUUUAGCUUUUCAUAGUUGUUGCUUUGUUUCUUUGGCUUUUUCUAUUUUAGCUUCCAUUGGUUUGUGUUUAAUGGUGGUGAAAAAAAAGUGUUUUAUUUGGAUCCUAAGGGGUACAUGCUCCUGAUCCUGAUUUAGAACGGCUGAUUAAAUUGUAUGUAUUCCUUUUCAUUUCACAAUCCUCAUAUUCUCGCUUUCUUUAAUAUAUUUUAGAUACGAAAAUAUUGUAGUUUAUCAUAUAACGCUAUAACAUUGUUCUCAGAUUGAGAUAGAUGAAGUUUGUUUGGAGUGGGUUGGCCAUUGUUCUAAAAUCAUUAGCGCAGCAAAAAAAGAGAAAUGGUUAGUAUAAAUCUGAAACUUAAUUAGUUAUAUUCACAUGUGCCUAAGCCUUAGCCAUAUUUAAGUUUUUUGUUUCUAGAUAUAUACUUAAUUUGUGCAGGACAAGAUGUUACCAAAAUUAAUGAACUUGGAUCUAGAUAUAUGCCAAAGAAAUCACAAAAUAGGAAUCAUAUAUAAAGCCACAGCAAGGAAAUUUGAUAUAUCAUAUGGAUAUAUGGUCUGUGUGUGCGUCUAGCAGUAAAUUUGUAUACUACCUAUUUAAAGCUUCCUCUUUAUUUUCAUACUUGCAAGAAAGUUAAUUGCCUUUUGUAUGUACCCUUUUGGUUCCAUAUUUUAUUGCAAUAAGGAAUUAAUUUAAGUUGCAUCAGAAAUUUGGAGUUUUAUGUUAAUAGAUAACUCUUUAUAAUGAUAGUGUUGUCUAUAUUCAUUGGUGCUGCACAUGCAGAUUGAGUUUGAAUUUGUCAUGAUUUUGUUGCAUCUAUAACUUAGGAGUUUUACUGUAGUAGUUAAUUCUUUAUAAUGAUGGUGUUGGGCAUAUUCAAUAGGUGUUGCGCAUGCGGGUUGAGAGAAACUGCUAAACUUGGGAGUUUAUUCAUACAGCGCUAUGACACUGUUCUCAGCUGAGGAUUGUAAAGAAAGAUGGAAUUAUGGCUCUAAGAUGAGAUUUGUGAAGGUAAACUAAUUAUCUUAACUAAACUUUUGUGUAUCUACCACUUUAAGCCUAAAAUAGAACAUAUUUAUAAUUUUUUUUUUGUUUAUUUUUUGUGGGUACCAUUUUGGUUCCAUGUUUUAUUUCAGCAAGGAAUUAAGUUGCAUCUGAAACCUGUAGUUUUAGUUUAAUAGAUAAAUCUUUAUAUUGAUAUGUUGGCUGUUAUCAUUGGUGCUGCCCAUGCAAAUUGAGUUUGAAUUUGUAAUGAUUCUGUUGUAUCUAAAACCUAAUGGUUUUAUUGUAGUAGUUAAUUAAUUCUUUUAUAACAAUAAUGCUAGCUAUAUUCAUUUGAUGGUGCACAUGCAGGUUGACGGAAUUGAAGCUGCUAGACUUGAGAGUUUGAUUGGGUAUUUGUUGAAAAUGGCAGUUCAUGUACUGAAAGUUUACUGAAAUUAUGGGUUAAGUUCAACACUACAGCCACUUGAUGCCUUCUUAGCUUGUAAAACUUGAUACAUUUGUUCUUAGUUGCUGGAUUUUGUCUGGUGAAUUGAUCUUGUUUGAUAUAAUUGUUGGAUAAAACUGUUUUUGGAUGGCAUUAUUAAUAUAAUUUAUUUUUCGACUUAAUAUAAUAUAUAAUUUAAUUUUUGGUUCAUAUGAAUUUAUGCCUGAAUUUCAUAUAUAGGAAUGCAUAAAUUUUGUUGCAGUAAUUCAUAAUUACGUUCAGCAUAAAUUUAGAAUGACAGAAAAAAUUAAUCAUAAAAUAAGUCAUAAAGAAAUUAAUGACAUAAAAUAUCAAUCACAAAUUCUGUCACAAAUGUAAUAUUUUACCCACCAAAUUUUGAAAAUUAAAAAAAAUUACAUUUCUCGCCAAAAAUUUAAAUAAUUUAUUCAUUUUUUCCUGACUGACAUAUGACAUUUAAACGGUAUCAUAAAUUAAUGACAUUUUUUUUUCUAUCAUAAAAGUGUGACAGGUACAUAGAUGAUAGAUAAUUUCACUGUCAUCCACCCCCCUUUAUGAUAGAUUUUUGCAGUCAUCUAUUGUCAGUUUUCUUGUAGUGCCAUAAGAUGUAGCUUAUCAAAUAACUCUAGAAAGUUGAUUUGAAUUAAACUACACUUAUUGUACUAUAUAAACACUUCAUGGGUAAGUGAUAGCACGUACAAUAAUAGUCAUAAGAAUCAAAGCAACAUCAAAAGAGAGUGAGAGAAAAGGAAAAAGUCAGUGGAUUCUUGCUUUGUGAAUUGAGGGGAUUUUCUAAAUACAUAAUUGUCCUCUGAUCAUCAGUGACAUAAACUCAUGACAAAUCCAUUCUGAAAUACAAGUAUGCAACCCAAGAGGGGGGGUGAAUUGGGAUUCUAAAAAUUAUUCAAUUUAUUAAAGAAAAUCUUAACGCAAUUAUAAAUUAAAUUCAAAGCAAUAACAAUUAAGAUGAUCACAAUAUAAAAAGAUAAGGGAAGAGGGAUUCAAACACGAGAUUUUUACAUGGUUCGGCCAACCUCGCCUACGUCCACGCCUCCAAGCUUUCCUGGCUUGAGGAUUCCACUAAGCAAGCCUCCAAGGCUUCAAAUGCUUACACUUGACUUCCAAGGUGUCAAUGGACCUUUACAACAAGAGAUUAUCCCCAAUCUCUUAACUCAAGUGUAUCCCAACACUUACAAUCACUCAAAGUAAAAGAUUACAAAUUGUUUUGCCUCUCACAAUAUAUAAGAUUACACAAUGAUGCUUAAUAUGUGAAUAGAUGAAGCAAGAAUGUGUUCUAAGCUCUAUGAAGAUUGUAUUCUCGAAUAUUAGCUCAAAUGGUCGUGUUGUGAUCAACCUUCUUUGAAUUUGAAUGAGCUUAUUUAUACUUGGAGCUGAAAAUCUAGCCGUUACAAACUGUCGAACAGAAAACGGUUCGCCGUUAACCAUUAACGGUUAACCGUUUAGGCUGGUCAAAGUUACCGUUGGGCCAAUUUUCAAAUAAACGGUUUGCCGUUUAGGAUUAACCUUUCGCCGUUAACUUCCAGAGACCUGCAAGAUAAACAUUGGUUAUCCGUUUACACUAAACGGUUAAGGACUUGCGUGAAGUGGCUUCUCUGGAUAUUAUCGGUUGACCGUUUACAAUAAACGGUUCACCGUUUGUCUCCAGUAACCUGCAAAACAAUUUAGCCUUAUCAGUUUUGGUUAAUCAGUGAUUCUGGACGUUAUCGAUUACAGUUUUAAAAUAAACGGUUCACCGUUAGGUUCCAGUAGCCUUCCCAUCUUUGGUGUUUUCUGUUAUUCAUAAACGGCUAGAGCUUAGGCAAUAUGUUGCUCUCUGGUGAUAAUCGGUUAACCGUUUAAGAGAAAACGGUUUACCGUUAAUUUCCAGUAACCUUCCCAUUUUUUGUGUUUUCCGUUUUUCAUAAACGGUUAGAGGUUUAGGAAAUAUGUUGCUCUCUGCCUUUAAUCGGUUAACUGUUUAAAAUAAACGGUUCACCGUUUAUAACCAGAAUUGUAAUUUUAAACAAGUUUUUUUGCAGAUUAAAAAGGGCUUUUGUUUAUUAAGAAAUAGCUCCAAUAUUUUUGUCAAAAACCAUAUAAAAUUUGUUAUCAUCAAAAUCAAUAUUAUUAACAUAUUCAUGUUAACACAUUCAUGAAGGAGAUUUGCUCAUAAAGGUUCCUAGCAAUUAAUUCUUGUUCGUUGCGAUCUGCUCGUGCUAGUUCCUGACAAUCCGCUUUUGAAGAUUAGAGGGAGCUUAUUUCCGCAUCAACUAAUAAGGUAUGGAUUUGGUUGAACAAAAUAAAUUGCAUAAUUUAUUUAGAAAAUCAUCAUUGGUAUCAGAGCAUGUGUAGUUUAUGUUCUGAUCUUGGGUGCAUUCUGUAUGCUAAUAUGCCAUGUUUUCUGUGAAAAUUUGAUAAAAUCACACAUUAAUGGUAUAUGAUAAUAUACAUAAUGUUAAAGUAUGAAAUUCAAAAUAUAAUCACGUGAACAUACAAGGAGUAUAUCUGGAACUUUGUUUGACAUAAUAUGCUCUUGAAAAAUGAAUAAAUUGAAACCCUAAGUUAUAAACCCGCAUGCUUAUUUUGCUUAUAACUUUUUGUAUGUUCAUUCGUUCUCUGGAAAAUUGAUAUCAUUGGAAAGAUCUUUUAAUUAUAUUUGCAACGGUAUAUCAAAUGCUUGAUUUGGACUUGUAAAUUGAGAAAAAGAAACGUUUAAAAUUCUAGUUCGAAAUCUAGAAUUUUUGUUCAAAUUAAAGAAGAUGAACAAUGUUACAUGUGUUGUCCCAAUAUCGGGCAUGGCGUGUGAAAUUCACCCCUUCAAUAAAACAAAAAUUCAAGACCAGAUUUGAAUUCAGGACACGAAAAAAGGUGGAAAGUUAGAAAUGUAAGGUUAGAAAAUGGCCAGAAUCUGGGAUGUGUAUCACACGCGCCGACGAGGAGAGUUAAAAAAAGGCUUGACUCUAAAUCGGUCCAGGCUGCGCGAAUCGAACCAGACCGCGCGAACCAAACCCCAUGAACUGAACUCGGCUAGACUAUGAGUUAGCGCAAGUCACAUGCCAAGUGUGCCGCGUUGACCUACCCGCGACAGUGGCGCGUGUAAUGUACGCACCGCCUUCCCGACCUCUGAUUGCGGCGCUAUUUGCGGCAGCUGGACCAGAAUUAAUUUCCUAUUUUUCUAUUUUAAAAUUAAAUUUUUGUCUCUGUUUUAAUUUUAAUUUAUUUUUUAUUUUUUGCAUGCUUGAAUUUAUGAAUAAAAAUAGUUUUAUUGCCAUUAAAUUCACAUAAUAUGCAUCUUACAUGUAAGAAUGUUAUAUUCCAGUGGGAGGAAAUAUAAAAUACUUAAAAUAUUAUGCGGAUUAUUAAAGUCUCGCGUGGUAAUGUAAAUUUAUGCAUGUCUAGGAAAAUUCUAUCAAAAAGACAAUAAGAGUCUAAGAAAACAAGGUACUUAAGUGGAACCAUCCUAUCCCUACCUCUUUCUUGAGAAUUUUCCUGAUGAUUAUUCAUGUCCCUUAAAACUAAAAUAAGCAUUCUAUUAUUGAAAUACUAAAAAGAUUAAAUAAUAAUUAAGAUUUUUGCGCUAAAGGACUAAAUGAUGAUAAUUUAAUUAUUCCCGACCUCUGGCUUUUCCUUUCUCUUUCUUUCAAAUGGUGAAAAUAAUAAUAGAGCAUGACAGCUCACUACUUUCAUUUGUUAAAAAGUGCUGCCUGAAUUCCUUCCUUUGCUAGCUGGAACUAUUGGCUUGAAGUAAUGAGUUCUUGUUAAAAGCACAAAUUUUACUUUAUUUGAUGAUUAUAAAGCAUCGGUCAGUUGUGAAUACUCAUCCAAGGCAGGACCGGCCUCAGAAUUUGGUGAAAUAGAAGAGCUUCUAAUGAGAUUGUAUAAUCAAGUCAAUGUAUACUGAAUUUUACAUGUGGAUAAAUUGAAGAGUUAGAAUGAAAUGUUACAACCCCUAGGACGUGUUUGGUAGCCCACAUUACAUGAGAUAAAAAUACUGUUUUGUAUUACAUUUAUGCAGAUCCAUGUUUGGCAAUAAAAAUAACUGCAACAUUACUACAUUAAUGGGCUAGGCUAAUGCGGCAAGUGCCGAAUUAGCUUGCUUCUUCUUCUUUUUCCCCCUUUUCUUUGUUAUAAUAAUAAUAAAUAAAUUUAACUUUUUAAUUUCAUUUAAUAUUAUAUAAUAUUUUUAUUUUUACAUUAUAAUUAUUAACAUAAAUAAGUAAUUAUGAUUAUUAAUAUAAAUUAAUAAGUAUAUAAUUUAUUAUUCAAUAAUAUUAUAUUAUAUUUUUUAUUUUUACAUUAUAAUUUAUUAACAAAUUUACAAUUUAAUAUAACUAUAAUAAAUAUUUAAAUAUGAAUAAAUUUGAAUAAUAUUACUUUAAAAUUAAUAAUAAUAUUAAUAUUAAUAUAAUAUAAAUUAAUAGAAUAGAAUAUAUAAUUUAAAUUAAUCACAAAAAAUUAAUACAGUAUAGUGUAGCACCAAUUAUACAAUAUUGUUAUAACACAGUGUUAAUACAAUACAAUUAGUACAAUACAGUUUGCCAAAUGCACCUGUAGGAAAAAGGACACCUACACCCCAAUAUUUAGAGAAAUAGUUAUAAAGACCCCUAAAUUUUCAAUAAGAGACAUCAAGACCCCCUUUUAACCAUAAUACAUUUUAAAAACUCAAAAAAUUGACUUGAAAAUUUAUAAUAGAUAGAAAUAUACAUAUUUUAUUAUAUUAAAAUUAGUUUUAACAAAUAGAAGCAUAAAAUCAAAAGAAAUUAAUUAAAGUUAAAAUUAUUUUGAAUAUUAUGUAAAAAAAUCAUUUUAAUAUUAUUAAAAGGGAGAUAUUUUAUUAAUAGUAAAAUCUAUUUAAUCCAUAAAUACAAAUAUAUUAUCAAAAUAAAUAUAGAAAUUUAAAAUUUUAAUAUUAUUUUAAAUGUUAAAAAUAGUUUAAUACUAUUAGUCUACUGGAUAGAUUAUAUUAUUUAUAUUAAUUAAAAAAUUUUAAAGUUAAUGUUCUAAUUACUAUAUUCAAUAGGUAUUAUAGUAAAAAAAAAAAAGCAAGUCUUAGUGUCCUAAUUUCUUCAAACCUUAUGAGUGUUGGUGUCUUUUUUUCUAAACCUUACGAAAGGUUGUUUACACUAAUAGAACAAAAUUUUUCUCGAAUGUUCGUAAGAAACAACAGUACAAUAACUCUAUCGUAAUCUUGUAAACAAAAGUACAAUAACUCUUAAUGUUGUCUGCUAACACCAAUUAUUUAUGUAUAUUUCUUUUUUUAAAAGCUCAAACAAUGCGCCCCUUAUUUUUCUUUAAUUGGACAAAAGAAAAAAAAAUGAUUACGGAGCCACUACUUUCCAAAUGACCCUAUCAACAGCUAGUGACUCUGACUAUAAGGCAAAAUAUGUGCUCAAAAGUCAUAACGUUAAAGUUGGAGGAGCCCAUUUGACAAUAGGGAAAAUAAUAAAUAAUUAAUUUUCCGUGAUGCAUGAUUUUUCCAAAUCUUAUUUUGUUUUUCAUUUUUUUUUUACUUUAAGAGUUAAUUUUAGAUUCCGACUCGUGAUUUGAAUUCAAAUCACCUCUUUAUUUUUAAAAACCUUAAUCUACCUUCACUUUUUGUAAAGAAAAUUAAAAAAAAAAUCAACAUACCCAUUUUUAAUCUUUUAAAUGAGAGGUAACUUGAGAUUUUCAAAAAUAAAUGGGUGAUUCGAAAUUAACCAAUUCAAGAGAGGAUAAAUUUUAGACUACUUCCCUCUUGAAUUGACUAUCUUCAAAUCACCCCCUUAUUUUUUAAAAUCUCAAGUUAUCCUAUUUUUUGUGUAAAAGAUAAGGAAAAGAUGGAGGUAGUUGAUGAUCUUUUUUUUGGGUCUUCUUAACAAAAAUAGAAUAAAUUGAGAUUUUAAAAAAUAAAGAGUGAUUUGAGAAUGGUCAAUUCGCAGGAGAGCGUUACAAAAAUUAUGAAAAAUAAUAAUUAUUUUUUUUACUAGUAAAAUAGCAAUUAGGAAAUAACAUCUGGGUGCAAUAAUUAUUAUUAACAUUUUACUGCUACAUAAUCAUAAAAUCUUACAUUUUAUUAUUUUUCUAUGUUGAUCUUUAAUAUACCAGUUAUGCCCUUCUUUGAAAUUUAUAAAAGAGUUUAUCAAGAAAAAGGAUUUAACAAAUAAAUUUAUCCAUUUGAAUAGCUGAACUCUUACACAUCUAUAAAAUAUCAGGAACGCCCUUGACAAAAAGACUAUUUUCUCAAUUUCCAUGAUAAAACAUUUUAAUGGUUGGAAGCAUAAACAGGCAUUAACUAUAAUAUUACCAUAUUAGGCAAUUAGUAUUCUAUAUUCAAGGGUAAAAUUCAUUUUAUCUGUUCAGAGUUCUAUUUGUAUUUUACAAGUCAAAAUAUGUAUAAUGAAUCUUGCAAUUUUUUUUUCCCAAAGCAAGGGCAUAAUUGAUAUUUUAAAUGACAACUAAAGGUCAAUUACUAUUUUUGUCAAAAUAGUAGUAAAAUUUAAGAAAUUUAUAAAUCUUCAUAAAAUUUACGUUAAAAUUUUGGAUAUAAAUUUUAUGUUGAAAUAACCCUCCAUAUCUAUAUAGAAAAUAAUUCUCAGGCGCAGAUUUUUAAAGUCAGAUUUCGUGUAGAUUUGCUAUUACACUAUACAGUAUUCUGGUUUUUUUUUUUCAACUAACACUAUUAAACCAGUGGUGUAAUAGUGAAUCCACAUAUAUAUAUAUGAGGAAAUUUUAAUUAGUUAAUUUCUUGAAAUUUUCUUAUCUGAAAUUAUUAAAAAUGAUUUGAAUGUUUUAUAAUUAUAUUUUAAAGUAUGGUGGCACAAUUUGAGAAAUGAGAAUAUCACCACUCAUUUUUUAAUAUACUUUUUAUUUAAUUAGAAACUAUUGUUCUUAUCUUUACAACGUAUAUUGUUAAUAUUUAUGGAGAAUAUCCAUUUUGAGAAUCACUAAAUAUUGUUAAUAUUUAGCGUAUAUUAUUGUUAUAUAUCACUAUUGUUCUUAUCUUUACAGCGUAUAUUGUUAAUAUAGUCUUUCAAAUCAUUAUCUCUAGGCUGUUUCAUUACUCCUCGUAUAACAAUAAAUAUUUAAAUAUUAAUACAUGAAUAUAAAAAAAUAAAUCAAUAAUAUCGAUUAAAUAAUAAUUUUUGACAAUUUUAGGACUAGUGUGCUAAAUUAGUAAUUCGAUAAAUUUAGACAAUCAUAUGUUAUAAAAAUUGUUAUUUUUAUAUUGGACUCGACUCAGAUACUAUAUAAAUUAAUAGUUAAUUUACUUGCAACAAAAUUAAUACGGUAUGUACGUAUAUAGGCGGCUUUUGUGAAAUAUAGUUUUACUGUCUUCUUUUCUUGAAAUGGUUGUAGACUUGAUCUCAUGUCCAAUUUCACUAGCGUUUUAAAUAAAUUUGUGCAAGGUAGGCUCAAUAGUACAAAGAAUUAACGUUUGAGGCAUGCACAAAUGUCUAAUUUCUUAUUUUAAUUAAUAAAUAAUUACAUAAAUAUAAGACUCCAAUAUAGUUGAAGUGGCUAGGUAAGUGGACGGGCAUCUUAUAGUUUCUUCGUGUUCGUAUAUUCAAGUACUGAUGGAUUUCUAGUAGCAAAUGCAAGCAGUUCUUCGUCACCUUCAAAAAAGGCCAUGUCUUCGGGGCUCAGAGUCACCCAUACUUCUAUUCCCUUAGCAUCGUUUGCGGCCAUUAUAAUAAUCAAGUUUGACACCCAAUAAUUUGGCAUAGUCAUGUGCACUGGCUUUCCCCAUCCAAAAUCUGCAACUUCAUAAUAUGGAAAGUUAACAAGGCUGCUGAAAGUGUAGAAAUCGAUCUCAUCUUUUUCAAACUUGUCUUUAAUUGACUCCGGAAUAUCGAAUAUACUCUUGUUUUUUAGCAAGGUUUUGAGACCGUUUCGUCUAAAUUCUGCCUUUGCUUUUCUUAAUGAACAAACCAAGUCUUGUAGUGUUUCAGUUUCCUUUUCACUCGCCUGCGCCGUCAGAUACGCGACGGAGUUGCCCACAGAGUUGUCAGGCAAGGGCGGCUCGGCCACGGCACGCACGUCUAUCGCCUGUACUGACAAAGAAGGUCUUGAAUACCCGAGGUUUGAUCUUGACGCCGCCCUUGCACACUUCCAAAUCAGGGCAGUCAAUGCCUCGACGCGUGUUGGUCUAGGCACGGUUGGACUUGCAACUUUAGCCUUGAGUUCGUCAAUUUUCUUUGCAUCAAAUACAAACCUGUUGGCUUUGACCGGUGAAAUAUGUGAGGGUGCGGCCACGAAGGAUUCGCUUGCUGGAAAAAUCGUUGAAGUAACAAAUCUAGGAGUCACUUCCUUAUUAUUGCUGCUGCCCGAUAACUGAUUAUCUGCACGAGCUGUUGUGGCCCAGCUGUCAACGAAUAUGCGUAACGAGGCUCCAUCAAUGAGCUUGUGACAAGUGCAAACUGUGAUUGCCAGUCCCCCGCAUUUGAAAAAGGUAGCUUGUACGCGCAGCAUUGGACACCCAUUGCUUGCUGCUGGAGAUUCUACGUAGUUAAACGGGUGAAAAUCCCGUAAUAAAUUCUGAUCAGGCUUUUGUAGGUAUUCAAACAAAAAGCCGUUCGCAAGAGCUUCAACAUAUUCAGCCCCUUCGUCGUUACUUUCAAUAGAGAAAUCGUCUUUGACCCUCCCAGCAAGUGGGUAGAAUUUUGUGAGAGUUUUUGAUAGGGAUAACUUGAGACAUUGCGAAAUCUGGUCAGCUUUCACAUUACCGUCUGCUUUGUACAGAAAAAUGGUGCUCACAUAGACCGGAAAAGUGAUCUGGUCCAUGAGGGAAAGUUUAAAAUUUCUCAGGUGUUCAGGAGUUGGGUUAGCUGGUUUGAUGCUUUCUCUGGCCCGUACUAGUACUUCUAGUGCCCUUUCCAUUUUAGGCUUUGCUACUUUUGCAACCGUUUGUAGACUUCUUGUUAGUAGUACCUGUCCAAUAUUAAAAUAUCAAAAGUUAAAUACAUUAUACACAUAGAACUGUAACUAAGAAAAUUUCUAUCACUAGUUUUGAUUACUUUUCAGUGCCUGCCUUGUUGCUCCAGAUCUCGGUUGCUCUUAUUAGAUGGCAGCUCCUCGGUAACUAGCUAAGACCCUUAUAUAGUAAAAUUUGGUUGCCAAAUUUGACUCCAUUAGUUCGAUUCCGUGGUUUGUCAAUGCAUCAACAGUUCAAUGAGAACUUGCUCGCGUUAACCACGUGCAUUGCUUUUUGAAUUUUAUGAAUACGAAUCCUCACGAUCGAAAUUGACAUUGAUCAAUACAUUAAUUAAACGCACUUGAAUAUAUAUGGAAUUGAAAGAUAAAUGCUAGGUAACUUAAUAUAUAAAUCUCAAUUUGAAUCUCAACUAAUGUUGUUAGGGUUAACAAAACCUGGGUUUGAGCCUAGGUAUGGUAAUGUCCAGACCCAGCCCAAAUAUAUUUUUUAGACACCCAUCGAGCUAGAUUUUUUAAUUUGGGUUAUUAUAUCAGAUUUUAUACCUUUUAAUGUUAUAUAUUUACAAUAUUUAUUUUUUUUUUAAUUUUACAAUUUUUAAAUUUAUUUCUAUUAAUUUGGACAUGAAAAUAUGAAUUUUAAAUAUUUAAAAAUUUACAUAAAUAUAAUAGAUUGGUCAAAUAAAUUUAAUUAUUUAAACUAAUAUAUAUUUUAUAAUAUUUUUUUCAAUAAAAAUAGAUUUUAUUGGAAGCAAAUGGAUUUUACAUGUUAAACAAAAGGUGGAUGACACAAUUGAAAGAUACAAGGCACGUUUGGUAGCGAAAGGAUAUUCCCAACAAGAGGGUAUAGACUAUAAGGAAACUUUUUCCCCAGUGGUAAGGUUUGCCUAUAUAAGAUUGAUUCUAGCCAUCGUUGCACAUGUUGACCUUAAAGUGCAUCAAAUGGAUGUUAAAACAAUAUUUUUCAAUGGAGAGCUAGAGGAUGAAAUUUAUAUGAAACAACCAGAGGGUUAUAUAACCAAUAACCAAGAGUGCAAAGUUUGCAAGCUCAAAAAGUUAAUACAUGGGUUAAAACAAUCCUCCAGACAAUGGUAUCUUAGGUUUCAUGAAUCUAUGAUGACUUAUGGAUUCUCGAUGACCGAGGAAGGUCACUGUGUAUACGUUAAAAGGUUAAAAGGUAACUUUGUCAUCUUAUCGUUAUAUGUGGACGAUAUAUUGUUGGCUAGAAAUAAUAUAGAGUUUGUUCAAACCAUUAAGGAAUGGUUAUUUUUAAACUUUGAAAUGAAAGAUAUGGGUGAAGCAUCUUAUAUCCUGAGAGUUAAAAUCCAUAUGGAUCAUUCUAGAAAACUUCUAGCUCUGUCACAAGAGUCUUAUAUUAGAAGAAUUCUUGAAAAAUUUUAAAAUGGAUAAGUGUAAACCUAUGGAUACUCCCAUCUCUAAAGGACAAACUCUUAGCCUUGAAAUGUGUCCAAAGACUUUAAAGGAAUGAAAUGAAAUGGCACGAGUUCCGUACUCCAAUGUUGUUGGAAGUUUCAUGUACGCUAUGAUGUGUACACAACCAUAUAUUUGUUAUGAUAUGGGGUCGGUAAGCAGAUACCAAUCAAAUCCUAGGCGCAAGCAUUGGAAUGUUGUCAAAAGAAUUUUAGCAUAUUUGAAAGGCACUGCUGACUAUUCUUUAUGUUAUCAAAGAGGUGAUUUAUGCUUAAUUGGAUACACAGACGCCGAUUGGGGAGGCGAUCUUGAUGAGCGCAAAUCAACCUCAGGAUACGUAUUUCUACUUAGUCACGGUGCGAUCUCAUGGAGUAGCAAGAAGCAAACAUGCACAACUUUGUCGACUAUGGAAGCAAAAUAUGUAGCAUGUUCGAUCACAGUACAAAAGGCUAUUUGGCUUAGGCGCUUUUUAAAUAAUCUCAGGAUCGUUACUGAUCCUCCUCGGCCAAUAAUCAUAUAUUGUGAUAGCCAAGCAGCCAUAUUCUUUACCAAAGAUGCAAAAUACCACAGCAAGUCUAAACACAUAGAGACAAAGUAUAAUUUUGUGAGAGAUAUUGUGGCGAAAAAGGAAGUAUUGAUGCAACAUAUAUCUACACACUCUAUGGUUGCAGAUCCAUUCACUAAAGCCAUGAGACAAGAUGUUUUUAUUGCACAUACGCGAUCAUUAAGAUUGCGCAGAUUAUAAAAGUUGUACUUAAUAAAUUCUUUAUGCAAUAAAAUUAUUUUGAUUUAGUCUCAUAAGAUACUAAUUGACAUGAUUACACAUAUAUGAUUAUUGAAAGAUAUGUUCUCAGGUUAUGACUGACUUUCUUACACAAGCAGUCACUUCAAUUAUUAAUGAAAGCAAGCUGGGAUGAGACACAAGAUUAAGAGAAAGUAUUGGAUACGUUCUCAUGGAGCUUUUAUCUUGAAAAUGUCGCCUUAACUAGGUCAAGAUGAAGAACCUAAUUAAGCCAGAUAUGAGUUCAUUAGGUACUUUAUGAAGGCAAGCUUAUUGAGACUCAAAUUGAGUGCUCGAAUAAGCGAUUGAUUUAGGAUAUGUAUAGUGGAUAGCUAGAUAUGCUCUUACACAAAGAGAAUUCACUGUAAUGCAUGAUUCAUCCAUGCAUGCUUUUGUGACAAAAACAAAAAAGAGUGAAUAAAUCCAUGAUUCCUUAUUGUGUAAGUUCCUUCAAGGUAUAAGAAAGACCUCAACAAUUUCCUUAGUUACCAUCGACUAUAUCUUAAAGGAAACGAUUAGUGAUAGCUACUUUAGCAUAUUUUUUCCUUGACUAUAAUGUUAUUCGAUCUAUGAAACAUGUCUAAGAAAUCAACCAGCCUAAAACUGAAAGAUAUGAGUAGAGUGGGAAGAUUUAUUCUCCUUACAUCUAACUUAUGCAUUCAUCGGUUGACCAGUUAUAUAAUCUACCUAGGGAUGAAUACAAUUGCGAAUACAUAGAGUGCACAACGUCAAAUAUAAUUUUUCUUGAGGGAUUAAAUAUGUUUGUACCGAUGUAAAGGAUAAUGAAAUCUAGGAAAUAUAAUGAGCAAGUUAUUUGAAUCUCUUGCAAAAAGUGCAAUUGAGAUUUUUGGUCCACAAGCUCCAGUUUAUAUUGUUCAUGGGUCACAUGUUGCAUUUGCUCGUAUGAUACUGCGAUUGUGGCUUUAUGCCCAAAAACUCUACUCUCGUUGAUGUUAGAUUUAAUGCCCAUGAUGGGAUAGAUUAAUCUAACGUAAGUGAUAAGAUAAACUUAGAGUUUGUCUAGGAUUCUUAUAAGAUAAAAUUAAUAUUUUAUCUUAAUCCUAAUCACAUAAGAUGUAGCUUAUCAAAUAACUCUAGGAAGUUGAUUUGAAUUAAACUACACUUAUUGUACUGUAUAAACACUACAUGGGUGAGUGAUAACACUUACAAUAAUAGUCAUAAGAAUCAAACCAACAUCAAAAGAGAGUGAGAGAAAAGGGAAAAAAGCAGUGGGUUCUUGCUUCGUGAAUUGAGAGGAUUUUCCAAAUACCUGAUUGUCCUCCGAUCAUCAGUGACAUAAAAUCGUGACGAUCUGUUCGUGAAGGUUCCUAGCAAUCAAUUCAUGUUCGUUGCGAUCUACUCAUACUAGUUCCUGACAAUCCGCUUUUGAAAAUUGGAGGGAGUUUAUUUUUAUUCUUGGAGGCUCGUGACGAUUCGUUUCCACAUCAAUCAAUAAGGUAUGGAUUUAGUUGAACAAAAUAAAUUGCAUGAUUUAUUUAGAAAAUCAUCAUUUUGAAGCCACAAUAGAUUUUUGGCCAUGGGGACUGAGAAUAGAUGUUUUAAUUUAUGAUAGAAAACUACUUUAAUGAUUCUUUCGUUGCUGAAAGAUUGAUUUUCUGUGAGUUGGCUGCAACAUAUCUUCUCCAAAUUGAUCAAAUCACGAAUAGACAAUGACUCCAGCAAGGGAAAGACUUUGCAAUGAACCCGUUCAAUUGAACCGCCAACAAAUGUAUGCUAUCAUUCAAGGCAAAUUUUUGUGGUGUAUACUGUCGUUCAAGGCAAAUUUCAUGCCUAAAUCAGAAGCGAGUUUGUCUUGAAUUUUCUGAGAAUUUGGGUCCUGUGUUACCUCAGCCAUAACGGCCUUAUCGAACGAAUUAUCUUCCAUCACUUGCUUUGCAACUUGCUUGACUAGCGUGGUAUUACCCAUGCCGCCCAUUCCGUAGACCCCAAUUAUGUUGAGCUUAUCAUCCUUCACUGCCUCCAGAACAUCUUGAAAUAAUUUCAUUCUUGAAUCAAAGGCCUCGUUCUGCACUCUCUGGAGCAGGACGGUAGGAAACAUUAGAGAAGUUGCCUUGUACCACGAGAUUAGCGGCAGCUUCUGCGGCCUUUGUGGGGGGGAAAAAAAUGGAUCCAAAUAAAUUAAAGUGAAACGACAAACAAUUAAUUUUGGUCUUGAACGGACAAUUAAACAGAGAAUUUAUUUAUUUAUUUUUUUUUAGGUCAAGAAUCAGAAUUUUGGCUAUUAACCGAAAGUUUUCACGGGCAUGAAUGAAGAGCAACAAUUGUUUUUAGAAAUUAUUUCAGAAGAGCGAUGCAAAUUGACAAACGAUAAUAAUAAGAACACAGAAGUUAACAGUGAACAAUAACUUAAAGCUCAAGAAAACUAAAUGACAAGAUUAAGACAAACAAGAGAUAUUUUUUCUUGGACAUUCAGAAAAAACUACUAUGAAGAUCAAGGAUUAGAGAUAUGCUAUGAAGAGAAAUUAUUAAAGGAUUUACAACAAGUUCACCUCUUCAAUUAUCUGGGAUGAUGAGCUCUUUAUUCGCCUUGAAUGUAUAAGAACAAUUUUAAUAGCAAAAGAUCACUGUUAACUGCAGAGCAAUGUGUGAGUAAAGAGUUGAUGAGAGUAAUAACAAAUGAAUCGCAAAAGAAAAAGACUUAAUCAUGCAUCCCUUUUCAUAUCACGUACUUGAUUACUGUUGUCCUGUUGAUGCACGUAUUUUUUUUUUUUUCAUGAAUAAUUGCCAGAUCAGGAAAGAAUUAUUCUGUUUGAUUGAAAGAUUGUUGAUUCCAAUUAAGAUAAGCUUUAUAAGAUGCCUAAUGAAAGAUAAAGCAGAAGCUUGGAUAAAUGAAAGAGAACCAAAACUUUUAUAAAAGCAGAUACCGAUAAAAAGCCGAAAAGGCAUUUUACAAAGAAGAUCAUCAAAGUAAGAUAGAUGAUGACUUGAUUUUUACGUUUUUUUUUUAUUUUCACCUAUUCUGUUCACAAAUGAUGGCUUAGUUGUUAGUAGUUCCACAUGGACAUUAUAUACAAAUUGUUGUUAUGUUUAAUAGAGAAAUGAAAAGCUGUUCAUCGUACAAAAUUGCAUGAUCAAAUCUUGGAUUUUUAUUAUUAUAAAAUAAAUAAAUUUCAUUAAUAGAUAAUGCGCACGUUAAUGUUAGGAAUUUGAUCAGAUGAUCAUAUAAUUUACUAAACUCUUUAAAAAGUGCAAAGUUUAAAAAUAAUAAAUAAAUAAAGAGUACGCGUAAAGAAUGUUAUUUGCAAUACCCAAACUGAAAAAUAGGGGAAUGAAAACAGAGGAACCUCUCAUUUUUCUUUUCUCUUUCUUUCAAAUGGUGAAAAUAAUAAUAGAGCAUGACAGCUAACUACUUUCAUUUGUAAAAAGUGCUGCCUGAAUUCCUUCCUUUGCUAAUUGGAACUAUUGGCUUGAAGUAAUGAGUUCUUGUUCAAAGCACAAAUUUUACUUUAUUUGAUGAUUAUGAAGCAUCGGUCAGUUGUGAAUACUCAUCCAAGGCAGGACCGCCCUCAGAAUUUGGUGAAAUAGAAGAGCUUCUAAUGAGAUUUUAUAAUCAAAUCAAUGUCUACUGAAUUUUACAUGUGGAUAAAUUGAAGAGUUAGAAUGAAAUGUUACAACUCUUAGGGCGUGUCGCCCACAUUACAUGGGAUAAAAAUAUUGUUUUGUAUUACAUUUAUGCAGACUCAUGUUUGGCAGUAAAAAUAACUACAACAGUAUUGUAUUAAUGGACCGGGCUAAUGCGGCAAGUGCCGAAUUAGCUCGCUUCUUCUUCUUCUUUUUUCCCCUCUUUUUCUUUGUUAUAAUAAUAAUAAAUAAAUUUAACUUUUUAAUUUCAUUUAAUAUUAUAUGAUAUUUUUAUUUUUAUUUUUACAUUAUGAUUAUUAACAUAAAUAAAUAAUUAUGAUUAUUAAUAUAAAUUAAUAAAUAUAUAAUUUAUUAUUCAAUAAUAUUAUAAUAUAUUUUUUAUUUUUACAUUAUAAUUUAUUAAUAAAUUUAUAAUUUAAUAUAACUAUAAUAAAUAUUUAAAUAUGAAUAAAUUUGAACAACAUUAAUUUAAAAUUAUAAAACAUUAAUAUAAUAUAAAUUAAUAUAAUAGAAUAUAUAAUUUAAAUUAAUUACACAAAAAUUAAUACAGUAUAAUAUAAUACAGUGUGCCAAAUGGGUAGGAAAAAUGACACCUACACCGCAACAUUUAGAGAAAUAGUCAUAAAGAACCCUAAAUUUUCAAUAAGAGACAUCAAGAUCCCCUUUUGGCCAUAAUACAUUUUAAAAACCCAAAAAUUUAUGAUAGAUAGAAAUAUCGCAUUUUUACAAUCUAUUAGACAUAUUUUAUUAUAUUAAAAUAAUUUUUAACAAAUAGCAGCAUAAUAUCAAAAAGAAUUUAAUUAAAGUUAAAAUUAGUUUGAAUAUUAUGUAAAAAACAAUUUUACCAUUAUUAACAUGGAGAUAUUUUAUUAGUCGUAAAAUCUAUUUAACCCAUAAAUACAAAUAUAUUAUCAAAAUAGAUAUAGCAAUUUAAAAUUCUAAUAUUAUUUUAAAUGUUAAAAAUAAUUUAAUAUUAUUAGUCCACUGGACAGAUUAUAUUAUUUAUAUUAUAUUUAUAUUAAUUAAAAAAAUUUAAAGUCAAUGAUCUAAUUACUAUAUUCAAUGGAUAUUAUAGUAAAAGAAAGCGAGUCUUGGUAUUCCAAUUUUCUCAAAUCUUAAGGGUGUUGGUGUCUUUUUUCCUAAACCUUACGAAAGGUUGUUUACACCAAUAGAACAAAAUUUUUCUCGGAUGUUCGUAAGAAACAACAGUACAAAAACUCUAUCAUAAUCUUGUAAACAAAGGUACAAUAACUCUUAACGUAAUCUUGUCUGCUAACACCUAUUAUUUAUGUAUAUUUCUCUUUAAAAAAGCUCAAACAAUGCUCACUUUAUUUUUCUUUAAUUAGACAAAAGAAAAAAAUGAUUACGGAACCACUGCUUUCCAAAUGACCCUAUCAACAACUAGUGACUCUGACUAUAGGCAAAAUAUGUGCUCAAAAGUCAUAGCGUUAAAGUUGGAGAAGCCCAUUUGACAAUAAUAAAUAAUUAAUUUUCCGUGUGCAUGAUUUUUCCAAAUCUUGUUUUGUUUUUCAUUUUUUUGACUUUAACGGUUAAUUUUAGAUUACUGACUCGUGAUUUGAAUUCAAAUCACGAGCUUAUUUUUAAAAACUUCAAUUUACCUUUACGUUUCGUUAGGAAAAUUAUUUUAAAAAAAAUCCAUCAAUGUACCCUUUUUUUAAUCUUUUGAAUGAGGGAAAGCCAGAGAUUUUAAAAAUUAAAUAGGCAAUUUGAAAUUAAUCAAUUUAAGAGGGGGUAAAUUUUAGACUACUUCCCUCUUGAAUUGACUCUCUUCAAAUUACCCCCUUAUUUUUUAAAAUCUGAAGUUAUCCUAUUUUUUGUGUGAAGGAUAAGGGAAAAAAUGGAGAUAGGUUAAUAUUUUUUUUUUUGACAUUCUUAACAAAAAUAAAAUAAAUUGAGAUUUUCAAAAAUAAAGAGUGAUUUGAUGAUGGUAAAUUCACGAGGGGAAUAAUAUUCUUUUAUGAAAAGAAAUUCUAUUUUUAUUUUUAUUAUUAACAAACUUACAAUAAAUGUACAUAAGAAUUAAAAAAAAAUAAGGAUGUAAGUUUGUGAGUAAUGAGUUCAUUUCUUUCCACAUUUGUUUAUAUCUAUUGAUUUUAUUGCACUCUAGUCUCUAGUUAAAUGUCCAAAUAUUUCUGGCCAAAAAAAAAGGGGUCGGCUGAAAUAGACAUGACGUUUUCAUACGCUAAAGUUGGAAUAAUAUGAAUAAAUCUAUUAAUUAUCCGAUAAUGACAAGUUUUUUUUUUUUUCUAGUAACAUAGUAAUUAGGAAAUAACAUCUGCGCCCAAUAAGUAUUAUUAACAUUUUACUACUAAAUAAUCAUAAAAUCUUACAUUUUAUUAUUUUUCUAUGUUGAGCUUUAAUAUACCAGUUAUGCCCUUCUUUGAAAUUUAUAAAAGAGUUUAUCAAGAAAGAGGAUUUAAUAAAUAAAUUCAUCAAUUUUAAUAGCGGCAAGUGCUAAGUUACAUUCAAUGUAACUUACACAAUUCAUCUCAACCACAUAAAAUUAUGGGACCUGCAAUUUAUGUGGUUGAGAUGAGUUGUGUAUGUUACAUUAAAUGUAAUUUAGAGGCUCCCUUUAAUAGCUGAACUCUUACACACAUCUAUAAAAUAUCAGUAACGCCCUUGACAAAAAGACUAUUUUCUCGAUUCCCAUAAUAAAACAUCUUCAUGGUUGGCAGCAUAAACUGCUAUUAACUAUAAUAUUAGGCAAUUAGUAUUCUAUAUUCAAGGGUAAAAUUCGUUUUAUCUGUUCAGAGUUUUAUUUGUAUUUUACAAGUCAAAAUAUGUAUAAUGAAUCUUACAAUUUUUUUUUCCAAAGCGAGGGCAUAAUUGAUAUUUUAAAUGACAACUAAAAGGUCAAUUACUAUCUUUGACAGAAAAGUAGUAAAAUUUAUAAAUUUAUAAAUCUUUAGUAGUAAAUUUUACGUUAAAAUGUCAAGUACAACACUGAUUCAUGUGGUUUCGAAUCCAACCAUUGAUCGAUCUCAUCUUCAGUCAUGUUAGCACUUUGUCGGGCUGUUACUAAUGUAGAGAUAAAUAUUAACCCUGCAUUACUAUAAAUGGCUGCAUGACAAAAAAUUAUCAAAAAAUAAUUAAGCGCACAAAAAUCAUCUUUUGCAACUCGAUCAUACACAAGUUUGCGCAAAAAUUCGUACAUAUCUUGAGAAUUCUUUAUAGAGUAAAGAGUUAACCAUAAACUCUUAUACAAAUUUAUUUGAUAUAAAUUAAUGUGACAUGAUUAGAUUAAUUAGAAUAAAUAACUCUUCAUCCACUUAAUUUGUAUUUAUUAUUUUUUAUUUUCAUCUAACUAAUAAAUUUAUGUCAUAUCAUUUUAUAUAAAAUUAAAUUUAUAUAAAAAUUUAUAGUUGCAUCGUCACCCUAAUAUAAGAUUAUGGAAAAGUAAGCACUGAAAUCAUCCGUUGACCGGCCCGACCACAUACAAAUUCGUACUGAAAUUCGUACAUAUCUUGUGAAUAUUUAUAAUUUUGUACCACAGUUAGUAGGGUAGAAAGAUGCUACAAUUAUUGACUCGUGGGGAUAAGACAGUUCAUAAAUAAUUGCAGGGCAUAUCAAGCGAAGGUGAAGCUUUUAAAAAACACUCGCUUCUUUAAAAGGAUUGUGGGAGAUUUAAUAUUUCUCCUGAGUGAUAUAGAAAUUAGGCAUAUGCAUGGUUGUUACUUAAUGUCGCGCUCUAAAAUAUUUGUACACUCGUCUAUUAGAAAAAUUCUCUUUGCUUCUAUCAUUUUUGAAAAAAAAAAAAUUGUGUUACCUUAUAAUUUAUAUUUAAAGUAAAAUUCAAGUGGAUGAUUGGUGGUUGAUAAAUAAAAUUUAUAAUAAUUAAUCCUAAUUCUGUACAGUAUGUAGGUACAUUAAAAGAAUUUCAAAACAAAUUACAAAAACAGACCUUUUCUGGAAAUUGUUUUCGGAGCCGAAAAUCAAGACUGUGCAAAACAAUAAGUCGUUGGCUUCUCGGCAGGAGUUCUUGAAUCCACCAUUACUAAACUAUCUUGUUUCCCAUUAUAUCUUUAUUACGCCACCCAAUAUAAACAUUUAAAAUUCAUAAACAAUAUUUCGGUAAUAUCAUAAUUUAUAUCUAUCUAUCUAUAUCUAUAUAUAUAUAUAAAGUUGGGACUUGAGAAGGUGAUGUGGUAUUACCAUUUCUCAUCUUUGUAUAUUCUCUAUUAUCUAAUAAAUAGAGAAAUUUUCUUUUACAUUUAGCUUUUCAUCUUCUCACAAUUAAUUUGAUUUUUAUUACACAAUAACAAUUAUGUAAAGGUUUUAAUGAGGCAUAUUCUUUGUAAUGAACAUCCAAGGGGGAGUGUUAUGAAUUUAUUAAAAUAAAUGUAGAUGUUCAUAACAUAUAUCUUUUAAUCUCCCCACUAUCUCUCAUUAGCAACCUUUAGCUUCCCUAUAACUCCCACUAUCUUUCAAGAAAUUAUGAUCCAUAAUUUUUCAUUAAUUUCAUGGAGUGAUUAUGUAACUAUAAAAGGAGAGCUCAUCUUUUUGUUUUGUACAUACACAAUUGGAAUGAAUAAAAUCACUCUAUAAUAUAUUCUCUGAUUUUAUUCUUUAUCUUGUGUUGCUUCUUUAUUUGUAUUGCUGGCUAAUAGUUUUUUUUGUUUUUUAUAAGGCUGCCUCAUCUUAAAAAAAAAUCAAUUUAUAUUUUUUAUCAGUUUCAUCAAGUGUAAAGUAAGAAAAAAAGAUAAUACUAAAUUCUUUUUUCAAAGCCGCGUGAAACGCGGUUCUAUUUUCUAGUCAAUAUAUAAAUUGUAAUUUUGCUACAUGUACAACAUCUAUAACUUACAUCAAUUUAAAAUUUAUUUUUUAUAUGACUUAGUUAUUGUCUGUCAAAUAAAUGGGAGUAAUGAAAAAUUAUUUUUAGGUCCACUAUUAGUUAGCAGCGCCAGACUGUGAUAUUAUAGAGUUUCAUAUAAGGAUGAAUAAUUUAAAUGCUUUGCGACUCCUAGAAUUUGGUGAAAUAGAACAGCUUGUAAUGAGAUGAAUAAGCAAAUCAAUAAAUACUGAUUUGUACAUGUAGAUAAAUUGAAGAGUUAGAAUGAAAUGUUACAAUCCUUCGGAAAAAGGACACCUGCACCUCCAACAUUUAGAGAAAUACUCAAAAGACCCCUAAGUUCUCAAUACGAAACAUGAAGACCUUUAUUUUGACCAUAAUACCUUUUAAUUUUAUAAACCUAAAAAAUUAACUCCAAAAUUUUAUAAUAGAUAGAAAUAUAGCAUUUUUACAAUCUAUUAGAUAUGUUUUAUUAUAUUAAACUAAUUUUUAAUAAAUAGAAGCAUAAUAUCAAAAGAAAUUAAUUAAAGUUAAAAUUAUUUUUAAUAUUAUGUAAAAAAAUAAUUUUAGUAUUAUUAAUGGGGAGAUAUUUUUAUUAAUCGUCAAAUCUAUUUAACCCAUUAAUACAAAUACAUUAUCAAAAUAAAUAUAGCAACUUAAAAUUUUAAUAUUAUUUUAAGUGUUAAAAAUAAUUUAAUAUUAUUAGUCCACUGGAUAGAUUAUAUUAUAUUUAUAUUAUUUACAAAAAUUUUAAAGUCAAUAUUCUAAUUACCAUAUUCAAAGAUUAUUAUAGUAAAAAAAAAAAGUUUUGACGUCUCAAUUUUCUCAAACCUGAGGAAUGUUGGUGUCCUUUACCCUAAACCUUAUGAAAGAUUGUUUGCACCAAUAGAACAAAAUUUUUCUCGGAUGUUCGUAAGAAACAAAAGUACAAUAACUCUAAGAUAAUCUUGUCUGCUAACAUCAAUUAUUUAUGUAUAUUUCUCUUUAAAAAAGCUCAAACAAUGCUCCAUUUAUUUUUCUUUAAUUAGACAAAAGAAAAAAAAUGAUGCAUGAUUUUUCCAAAUCUUGAUUAGUUACUCCAGCUAAUCGGUCAUAUAAAGGAGUCGGCCACUAUAUGCUCAAAAGUCAUAACGUUGAAGUUGGAGAAGCUGAUUUGACAAUAAUAAAUAAUUAAUUUUCCGUGAUGCAUGAUUUUUCCAAAUCUUGUUUUGUUUUUCAGUUUUUGACUUUAAGGGUUAAUUUUAGAUUAAGACUCGUGAUUUGAAUUCAAAUCACCUCCUUAUUUUUAAAAACCUUAAUUUACCUUCACUUUUUGUAACAAAAAUUUUUAAAAAAAUCAUCAACCUAUCUUUUUUUUUAAUCUUUUGAAUGAGAGAUAACUUGGGAUUUUUAAAAAUAAAUAGGCAGUUUGAAAUUAACCAAUUCAAAAGAGGGUAAAUUUCAGAUACUUCCCUCUUGAAUUAACUAUCUUCAAAUCACUCCCUUAUUUUUUAAAGGGUAAAAGCUUGUUUAGUCCCUAUAUUAUGAGGUUAGUGUCCAUUUAGUCCAUAUAUUUUUAAGAAUACCUCAAAACACCCCUGCUGUUAACUAUUGACGCUUGUCCCAUUUUUUUAUUUUUUUAGCUUAUUUUUACAAUAUUACACUCUUACAGUAAUGCUUCUUUUUUGGAUAUUAAUAAAAAAAUUAGAUUAUCAAAUUAAACCCAAAAAUAAAAUAUAAACAAAAAGAUAUAUAUUAAUUUUUGUGGAAGCUCAUUUGUGUCUAAAAAAAUUAAAUUAUCAAUUUUUUAGAAAAAUUAAUAUUUUAACUCUUCAGCAAAGUGUUCCACAUAAAUUAAUAUAUAUUUUUUCCUUUUUGGUGUUAAAAUGGUAAUUUUUUUUAAUAAUAUCUAAAAAAUAAGUCAAAAGUAACAAAAGGUAAUGGAAAUGGUGUCAAUAAUUUAACGGUAGGGAUGCUUUGAGGUAUGUUUAAAAAUAUGAGGAUUAAACAGACACUAACCUUAAAAUGUAGAGACUAAACAAGCUUUUACCCUUUUUUUAAAACCUCAAGUUAUCUUAUUUUUUGUGUAAAGGAUAAGGAAAAGAUGGAGGUAGGUUGAUGAACCUUUUUUUUUUUUUUGGUGUCUUCUUAACAAAAAUGGAAUAAAAAUUAGAUUUUAAAAAAUAAAGAGUGAUUUUUAAAAAUAAAGAAUUGUUUGACCUCUUAGUCGUGCAUUUUGGAGGUUUAUGCAUACGUGAGCAGGAUAUGCAAGGAUUAAAGAAGGGAUUGAGAAUCAAUUGGUUGUAGAAUAGUUUGUAUAGUAAGAGGAUUGCAACAUAUGCUAAGGUGUACGAUUAGGCAAAAUGGAUGUAAAAAACUAAAGAUGCAGAAGAAAAAUAGAGAAUGGAAAAAUAGAGGAUAUGUCCGAUGUGAAAAGGAGAACUAAGAAGAGGAUGAGAUAACCUUAGUUACAGAUCGAGAAGGAACUCAAAUAAUAGACGUUAUUAUGACAAAGACUUGUUUAAUUACAGAUGACCAGAGAGGCCAUGACGAAACAAAAUGUUGAAAGAAGUUUGAUAGAAGAAACAAAGGUUUUUGGAUAAUGAUAAGCUUUAUUGAAAAGUCUGAAUGAAUAAAACUAGAGUUUUGAACCCCUUUUAUAACAAGUCCAAAUAUCGCGAAUUUACUAAAAUAAGAAAAUCCAAAAUCUAAUAUGAUAAUUAAAUUCUCCUAACCAAAAUAAGAAAAGGAGAACAAAUGGCAUUAAAGUCUGAGUUCUAGAAAAAAAUAAAAAUCCUAGAAGAAUCAAGAAAAACAAGAAAGAAUCUUAAAACUAAAAAAUGACCAGGAAAGAAAUAGAAUUUUUGGUUCGACCAUGGGGCAAAAUGGCUUAUACAGAGUUUUGUUCAUCUUAUUACAAGCUUCAAAACGAUAUAUUAUAUACUGAAAACAAACAUAUGUAGCCCAAGUUAUGGCCUCCGGAAGGUAUACUAUUCACUACACACAACACCCUACAUCAAGCCAAUUCGUGAUUGGGAAAAAAAAAUCUUGAAGAGAGGAAGUCUCACCAAUAGGCAAGGCCAAGAAAGAGCAAAUGACUAUAGGAAAAGCAAAUAGGAGAAUUGAGUAAGAAUAAUAAGAUGUGUCACCUCUAGUUUGGAGAGGAUCGAGAUGAUAUAUAGGGUAAACUUAAUAGAGCAGAGUGGGAGAUUUACACCUCUAAACAAGAGUAGAGCAAAAAUAUUUAUUGUGACUACAGAUAAGGGCUAUUGAUCCCACCAAAGCCAAUUGUGAGACAUCUGUGUCCGGGUAUGGAACCACAGAUUGCAUAGACUUCAAAAAAGAGAUUGAAUGGCUUAUAUAAAACCAAUAUCUAAAGCAAAUGUGAACACAAAAGAAGAUAUGGGACUAGAGGAGACAACAGAGACAAUGUGGUAAUGGUGAUUAUGGAGUGGCAGACCUAGCAAGGGACAUGAAUUGUUCGAGGUGGAAUUAUAGUUGAUACUCCCUGAAAAGUUAUGAUGUGAAUUUUAAUGUUCUGAUACCAAAGAAACAAUGAGUUCAAAGAGAACUCAUCAAAGCCCUCAAAUUAUUAUUUUUUUUUUAAGAUGAAAAGAUCUGAAAGCCACUAUCAUGGGUUCCUACUAUCCAAUUUGGUUUAGACACAUAAAAGAAUAUUGGCUUCCCAUAUACACAGAGGUGGUUAUCUGAUUCUGUUCGAAUUGGUUGGAGUCCAUAUAAAGUUUUAGUGCACAUGGUUAUUUUCCCAACUGACUUUUUGAAACAUAUGAUAUGAAGUUUGAGGACAUACAACCGGAUGACUCAACUUAUCCAAGUUGACAUGAAAAACGGAGAGUACCUGGCGGUCCAUGAAAAGAAAGAAGAAUCGCUUGUCCAUACAGGUUUCUAAAAAUUGAAGAAGCUGGCAGCUUCAUCGGGGUGGUGAGCCACUUGCUUUCUGUCCCAAAAUUAUGUUUAUUUAUAAUAAGGUGGUUAGCCAGCUUAAUUGUAACGGUUAGUAGUUUGCUAGAGUUGGCAAUGGGACAUGAUUUGAUAAUCUUGAUCAAAGGUGCUUGAGGCAUUUGAUUGAUGUAGGAAGUUAAUUUCGGUUAAUUUAGGAAUUUUAAGAUUCUAGAAUUUUAUUUUGGGACUUUUUAUUUUCAUUAGAGUCAAUUAUCGUAUUUUAUUAUUUUAGGGCUUUCUAUUUUCAUUAGAGUCAAUUAAGGUAUGAGAUUUAGUUAACUUAGGGAAGUAUCUUUUAUUUCCAUUAUAAUUGUGAUUUAGUUUCCCUUUUUAAGUUAAUUUGGAGAAGUGGGUUUCCUUAUUAUAAAUAGAGAAGUUUUGUAAUUAUUUUCAUAAUUUAGAUUUAAUCUCGCUUUACACGUUAUUAAAAAUCUCAUUGAGUCAUCUGGUUUAGAACGAUAUCUAAUCAUGCUUUGAUUAGAGUGUCACCUAAUCGCAUUGGCUUGGUUCAGUAUUAAAGCGAAAUCUAAUUUUUCUACCCCCAUCAAUUUCUACUUCCGCUACUCCUCACUCCAUCACUGAUAAGUUCAUCAGAACAAAUGAAAAAGGCCCUUAGAAUUAAAGCCGUUGGAUUAACGAGUCUGUAUCAAAGAGAUUUGGUCUUAUACUUUCAUCUUAUACUUUAUAAUUACAUUUGAAAAAGAAAAACUCUAAUUGCAACUAAUUUUUCAUUUUUUUCAUUUAAAAGUGAUCAAAUUUAUCUUUCUUUAUUGUGAGGUCUGAAAGAUUGGAUUCAAAUUGUAUUCUUUGCACGAUUAGAUUAAUUGCACUUAACUAGAAUAAGAUUAACAAAUAUAUGCUCUCAAAUGAUACAAUACUGAAAAAUAUAAAUGGUUACAAAAUAGAUUCAUUAUUAUUUUGGAGGUUUGAGUAAGUUGAAAAAUAUAAACGGUUACAAAAUAUAUUCAUUAUUAUUUUGGAGGUUUGAGUAAGUUGAAGCAUCUCGACUUAAGUGGUAAUUAACAAACUCAACCUCAAUUGUAGUGUCUUAUCUUCUCCAUCUUCAUUAAGAGAAUUAUAUGGGAUUCAAAGGAUUUUUUUAUGUUCAAGGUAAUUAAGCCUGAUGUCAUGGGAUGAGUGUUUUGCGCAAUGAACUUGUGCGGUACUUAGACAACCUUUGCCGAAUGUUGCUAAGUAAGCCUUGAGCUUUUCGACUAGCUAAGCCUAGAGGUUUUCGAAGAGCUAGAGAGAAGAGAGCAAUAAAGCCAAAUGAGAGAAAUUGUAUUACUCGCAAAGAGAUUACAAGAGAACUUACAAGCGUGUUUGAGUUGCUUGCUCAAAGCUUGAUGCUCAAAUGCUAAAUGCCAUGCCCUAUUUAUAGGGGAGGCUUACCGAGCUCAAAAGCUCUACCACUUUCCUAGAAUUCUAGAUAUUUACAUGUGCUAGAAAUGUGUAGAGAAUCCUAAAUAUAUACAAGCUUGAGUGUGCUAGAGUUACUUAGAAAUUUCUAGAAUCGGGCCAAGCUAGCACUCUUAGCCUUGUCUUGGGCUCUCUAACUCGAAUUUGUGGGCAAUUGGGCUAGUAAAUUGGGUGGUCCGCAACACUAAACCUGCUUCUCAUUUUAUCUACUACCUAAAUUUAUAGAUCUUCAACAAUAUUUAAUUAUAUUGAUUAGUUCAGAGGAAUCAAAUUCUAACAGGGUUUAUUAAGCAACCUUUCAUUUACUCUAUCAAUUAAUUAAUUCAUACCUCUAGUACUUUUAUUUUUUAAGUUAUAGCCUAAUUGCAACCUAAAUUUUAUUAAAUUAAAUAUGUAAGUAGAAACAUAAUAUUGAUAGCCUAAAUUUUAUAAUAACUAGAAACAUAAUACUAAAAUAAAUAUAUAAAAUUUAAAUUAUUCUCAAUAUUGUAAAAUAAUUUUUUAUUAUUAAUAAUACAUGAGAUAAAAUCUAUUUAACCCAAAGAUUUAUCUAAAAUUUGUACAAUAAAUUUAAAUAUAUUAUUAAAAUAAAUAUAAUAAUUUAAAUGUUAAGACUUAUUUUAUAUAUAAUUUUAUUAAUAUUAAUAGUGUAUUAGAUAAAUUAAACUAUUUAAAUCAUAUUUUUAUUUAUUAAAAACUUUAAAAGUCAAACUUUUAGUUACUAUUUACCACAAGUAUUAUAGUUAAAAGAGGUCUUGGUGUCUCCUGACACGACUUAAAAUGUGUUUGAUUUUCUCCCAGGUAUAAGAGUGCCUAGUUAUAAUUUAUCUCGGUGAGUCCGAGGUCGAUCCACAGAGAAAUGAUUUAAUUUGUUUACUUAAGUUUAUCCAAAUAAAAAUAAAAUUUAUAAAUAUGUAAUUUAUUUAAGAAAAAUUAUAAAAUUGAAUUAGUUAGGGUUAUGGAUCUACUCUUAGUAAUAAAUACAAUUUAACAAAUUCUUUUUAUUUUUAUUUUAUUUCUCAAAAGAUUAAUUGUAUAAAUUAAAAUUAUUUUUCCAUUUAUUUUAUUGUGCAUUAAGAAUUUAAUGUGCCAAAACUUAAUUUGUCUACACUAAAUCAAAAUUCUAUUUUUCCAUAUUUUAUACUAAGAUAUUAAGAAUUCAUUGUGCCAAAUUCCUAUUUUUGUCUACAAUAAAUCAAAAUUUCAAAAUAUAAAUAUGAAUAAAAUUAAAUAGAAAAUAAUUUAAUUUAUAAAAUUAAAAAUAGAAUUUGAUUAAACCAUAUUUUUACUAAGAGUUUCACCUUCCCCUAACUACUAAUAUUUAGCUAAACAUAUUUAAAAUAAAAGGAAUUUCUUAAAAACAAAAAAGACAUANNNNNNNNNNNNNNNNNNNNNNNNNNNNNNNNNNNNNNNNNNNNNNNNNNNNNNNNNNNNNNNNNNNNNNNNNNNNNNNNNNNNNNNNNNNNNNNNNNNNAUAUUACAAAGAGGGAUGGGAAGAAGAUUUUGGGGAAAAAAAAGAAAAGAAAAGGUGUGGAGAUGUGUUUUCACCCCCCCCCCCCCCUUAUUUAUACUAAUACAUGGUAAAUCCUCACCACACAAAUAAAAAAAUCUAAUUAUAUCUUAACCUUACAUUUGUCCCACUAAUAAAACAUAAACCUAACUUAUCCACUCAAGCAUAUCCAACACAUUCCACUAACAAUUACCAUACCUAACAUUAUAAAAACUUAUAAUUUUACAAUUACCACAUUUACCGUGGUAAGAACGUAAAAAUUUAGAGCAAAAGUCUUGGAUCCUCCUCGACAAUGGCAUAAUUUCUCUAACUUCCGGAAUCCAAAUUUGACAUCCAUACAUUUGUUCGGGGCCUCAAAUUGAAUGAAAUUAUUAUUUUUAUCUAAUAAACACACAAAAAUACACAAAAUCAAAUAUUUAGAAAAAUAAUUAGAAAUUCACAGUAUGUUACACAAUUAAAAAUAUAAAUUACAUUAAUAAAACAAAAUAACAUUUUUAUCCCUUAAUAAACAUAAAAUUUUGAACACUAAUCAUCUUAUAUUAAAAACUUUGGUUCUAUAUGAUUAUCUCCCCUAACUUUGGGGGUGUGGCUGUUUUUUUUCCUUCAUUUUAUUAAUAAGUUUAAUUAAUAAAGAGUAAUGAUAGAAAUCCCAAAUUUUUUUAUCCCAAAUGAUGGGCAUUCAUUCAUUGGUUGAUAAUUCUUUACAAAUCCAAGUGAAUUAAUUGUAUUAUCUCACCAACCAAUUGAUAAAUGUCAAUAAUUUGAAAUAGUUAUUUGGGAUAAAAAAUUUGAGUAUAACACUACUCAUUAAUAAAAGAAUGAGGGAAGGUUUGUCCAAGUCAUGCAUUAUUUGAUUAUCAUCAAUCAAGAAAGUGAUCAAAUUAAUUUCUCUCCAUGAUUUCCAAAAGCUAGAAAAUUUUGUUACUUGAAAUUGGAAAAUAACAUCAUUAAUAUAGAAUGGAUCAAAAUCGCAUUAUUAUCUUUCAUGAAAUUGAUGUAUAUCAAGAGUCAUAUUCUUUACUUUUGACAAUUCAGUCAACACCAAAUUGAACUUUCUUAUUUUUACUAUUGUUAUGUUAACUUUUUCGAUCCCCGAUUAUUUAUUCAUGAUUAUUACAUCAUUAAUUAGAGUUUAUCAAACCGCAUUUUUUUACUUCAUGGAAUUGAUGCAUGUUAGGUCAAUGUUUGGCAUGCCACAUUGCGUAGGACAAUUGGUCGCCCUCGUAUUGAUUGAAAAGAAUCUCAUGUUUGGCAAUUCAAAUGGUGCGCAGCACACCAGACUUAAUGCUGCAUUUGCCUUAUUAUUGAAACCCAUCAACCCCCUCGGAAUUAAGGUGUGCAACAUUCAUUUUUAAGAAUAAAAUCUUAAGGUUUUCAGAAAUGGUUAUAUAAAUCCUCAAUAAGGGACUCUAAAAUCCCUUGCUGACUAAAAUACCAUUUGGUUCUAUCAAUUUAAAAAAUUUGACUCCAAUAUUUUAUAAUAAAUAAAAAUAUAACAUUAAAAAAAAUAAUUUAUAUUUUAAAAAUAUUGUAUAUAUUACAAUGAAUAUAAUAUUAUUAUUCUACUAGACAAAUUAAACUAUCUAGAUUAUAUUUAUAUUCAUUAAAAAAAUUUAAAAUCAAUUUUUUUAAUUUCUAUCUACUAAAGAUAUUAUAGUUAAAAAGGGGUUUCUUAAAAAUUUAGGUGUCUACGUAACCAUUUCCGUUGAUCAAAUCAAAGCUUCCGUCCUCCUAGAUCUAUGGUCAAAAUUUGGAACCCCAAAAACUUGACCAUAUAUUUACAGCUAAUGAAAGCUGCUUUUUUGGUGAUACAUGUAUCGUUGCAUAGAUUUGGUGAUAAUAAUUCCAAUGGUGAAAAAAUGAUACCAAUAGAUGCCAAAAUGUGAUUGGAGCGGGUGGCUUGUGGUGGCCAACGGUGGAUAAUUAUAAAAUCUAAAUAAUAGAUUUAAGAAAAUAAGACCAAAAACAUUUAAGAUAUUAAAAAUUAUUAAAAAUUAAUUUAAUAUAAAUAAUAAUUUAAAAAAUAUUAGUAUAUAUAGUGCUAUACAAUGCAACACCAAACAUUGAAUAUUAUUAAAGUAAUACAAUGUUAAUACAAUACAGCUUACUGCAAUACAUUUUGUAUUAAAAAAUAUAAUAUAGUGUGCCAAACACAUCCUUAGUGUCACACUUUUUAAACAACCUCGGGCUGCUCUUUUUUUUUUUUUUGACUUAACGAUUUCGUCAUUAACUUAAUUCGAUCAGUUAAACUAUUAAGUCCGUUUGUUUUUUCAACAUAAUGAAAAAUUUCAGUCAUUAAGUUAUUAUAUUAUUAAUCAAACUGUUUUAGCUUUUUGCUUAAUUUAAAAAAGUUUUAUUGAUAUCAUUAAAGAAUAUUCUCUAGAUACCUUAUCUAAUUAAUUAAUUUUCAUCCUGACCUAAGUAAAAUGUAAUACUUUUCAUUAUUACCAUCUUUAUAACUUGUGACAAUAUGGCGAUAGACUAUUAUUAUGUUUAUUUUUUACUUUCUUCAAAUUAGCAUUAUUUAUCUUCAUAAUUUUUUAUGAAUAUUUUUUGUAAAAAACAAUCAUGAACUACAAUAAAAUUGAUUAACAUAUACAAAUUUAGAAUUUAAAAUAUCUUAUUCAAUUGAACAUGAUUUAUGUUAUGAUAAUAUAUAAUUUUACCUAAGUUCUUUGAAUAUUUAUUAUUUGUUUAACAUUCAUAAUUUUUAAGGGGACAAUGUAAAAAUAUUAAUUUUCAGAUUUUUUUAAAUUUAAAAAAUACAACUUAAUAUUUGUAUUCAGUAAUUCAACAAAAAGUAAUAUGAGCAUAUUAUUCAGAUUCAGACAUUCAGUUCAAUUCAAAAUUCUGAUUAAUUAAGGUCUAUUCAAAAUUUUUGAAAAAAAAAAGCCACCCUAAUUGACAUGAACUUUUUUUUUUAAUUUUAAAAAUUAAAAAGAUCUUUGGAUUUCAACCCAUUUGUUUGGCCUUAAAAGAGCCAGUAUUAUUACCAUUUGAAUUAGCCUUCGCCUCAACUUCAACUUUAUUCUUUCCAUGCAACCUUGGUCGAUAUCAACUAGAAUUUUGCUAUGUUAAUUAUUUCAAUCCCCCACAUUAUGCAGUCUUUGUAGUGUAAACUUAAUUUCACACCUAAAUAAGUUGAUGAUCAUUACUCAACCAUUAAUAUUUCAAAAAGUCAUUUCACCAUCCAUGCUAUUAGUUUUUCCCUUAAAUUUAACUAUUGACUAUUUUACCAUCUUAAAGUAUAUAAUUAUGCCUUUAAUUAUGUGAUACAAUUAUGAGAAUAUUCAUUUCAGCUUAAAAUAACUAGAAUACCCAAAAAAAUAACUUAAAUUAAUAAAAUAAAACUAUCAACUCCUUAAAGGAUUCAACAUAUAUGAUCUGAUCUUACUAAGAUUGAGGUCGUCUGUCUUGGUCUUAUUGAGGUCCAACAUGAAUAAAUUAUAUGACCCGAUCCUAUUAAGACUGAGAUCAUCAUUUUAGCUUUGUUGAGUUCUAAUAUGAAUAAAUUAUAUUAUCCGAUCUUAUUGAGAUAGAGGCCAUCAUUCUGGACUUUUUGAGGUCCGAUGUGAAUAAAUUAUAUGUUCGAUUUUAUUGAGAUUGAGGUCAUCAUUUUGGUUUUGUUGAGGUCCAAUGUGAAUAAAUUAUAUGAUCUGAUCUUAUUGAGAUGGAAGUUACCAUCUUGGCCUUAUUGAGAUCCAAUUGAUUUUGUUCUACUAGGCUUUUCGAGAUCUAGCUUGUUAUAAUUGUUUUGGUCCUAUUAAGGUCCAAAGGUAAGAACUAUGAUAUGAUCUUAUUAAGAUCAAGGUCAUCAAUUUUGAUAUUAUUGAGGUCCAACCUAAUUUAGUUAUUUGAUCCCUUGAUUUAAUUAUUUGAUCCAAUCUUAUUGAGAUUGAAUUUGAAAAUUUUUUGGACUCCAUUUUAGCCUUAUUGAGGUCCAAUUGAUAUUGUUCUACUAGCCUUAUUAAGGUUUGGCUUGUUAAAGUUGUUUUGGCCUUUUUGAGGUCCAACGUGAACAAGAAUGAUCUAGUCUUAUUGAGAUCGAGACCAUCAUUUAGCCUUACUGUCGUAAUGAAUUCAAAUCCUAUUGAUGUCAAUACGUAAGUGUACACAACAAAUAAUAUAAUAAUAAGUAGACGAGAUCAUCUCCAUGAGGAUUGAUGAUAUUAGACUUGCUAUAAUAAUCUCAACAAUGCAAUUUUGCUUUAAUUGAAAAUAAAACUAAUAAUAAAGCUAAUAACUUAAUUAAUUAAAAUAAAAUGCAAUAAAGUCAAUUCUCACAUCACACACAAGGAUAAAACCAAUGGGAAUAGAGUAGUUGAAUGAUUAAACUCACUUAAUAGUUUUGACUAUUUUUCUAAUAUUUGGUUCAGUUGCUACGACAUUUGCUACAAUAUUGGGCAGAAUCUUUAUGUAUCAUCAGCUGUCGCAUGUUGGAUGUCUUAUAUCUUUAUGCAACCUAAUAGUGACCAAUUGUUAUACUAACAUAAGAUAUAGCAUUACAUGCUUAGGUUUUAAUUACCCUAUAAGGUGAAUCUCUAUGUCUAGUUCAUCACUAAUUUUAGAUUAAGCAUGACCCUUUUGGAAUCAAGUAAAACUCAACUCAGGAAAUCCAAUCUAAAACCAAGUAUUGUUUUGAUAUAUUUCACUAAGAUAGGCCCUUUUGUGGCUCUUUCCUACCUAGUACCAUUAAAUAUGUGAUCAACCAAAUUAAUGAAUAGAAAUAAGUAUUAUCAAAACAAAGUGCUAUAGCAAACAUGCAGCAACACAUAUAAUUAGUCAAUGAACCAUUAAGAUUGUUUAUCAUUCAACCACAAAUGAAUUUAAUUCAUAGUUUGCGAAAGAAAAAUAAACAAAAGAGUUUCAGUCAUCAAAUACAUCCUCGAGUAAAUGAGGAAACAAGAAAAGAAUAUGAAAGACUGAUUUCCUGAUUGAUUUCUGCAAUUUUUCCUCUGAUGCAGCCUUAAAUCUUGCUCUUGAAUUCUAUUUUUCUCUUGUUUCUUUUUGGUGUUUAUUCUUGGUUGACGGCUCCCCCUUUUCUUUUGCAUGUGUGCUUUUUUUAUAGUUAAAAAUUAGGGCAACCGCAAGUUUAGGGCAUGCAUUUUCCAGAUUUGCUAUAGCAGCGGCUACAACAUCUACAUUAUUCUAGACUUUUUUCAAUUCUUCUGUAGCCAAGUUCUUUCUUUAUUUUUGCAAGCGCAUUACAACAGCAUCCCUUCUUUGAAAUUUGAGCUUCCGAUUACCUACAAUUAUAUAUAUGAUCUAAGCACACAAUUAUUCUAAAACAACGCAAUUUAUUAAAAAUAAACUAAAAUGGAUAUUAAUGCAAAAUAUAAAUAAAAAUGCAAUAAAAACAUAUCAUUUACUCUCUAAGUAAUCUUGAUUUAAGUCUAAAAAUACCAUAAUAACCCUCAUUUCAUAGAGUUAUCACUUACUGAGGUCCAAAGUCUGACCAAAAUAUCUACUGGUCUGACCUAGAAACCUUAAUUGCCAACGUAGAGAUAUAACAAUCUCACCUGAAAAUAUAUUUAUCGAGGUCAUGUCAAGUGUGCUAUGCCUACCUGGAGAUCUGUCAAUCUGACUUGAAUAUCUGUUUGUCCAGGUCAUGUCAAACAUGCUCUGUCUAUUUGGAGAUCUGCCAAUCUGACUUGAAAAUCUAUUUGUCCAUGUCAUGUCAAACAUGCUCUAAACAUGUCCUAUUCUUUAGAGAAGUUAAGUGUUUUGACCUUUUAAACCACCUUCAACUGAUAGAGGCUACCUGCAACUGCUAAGAGAGUGAGCUAAAAUUGAGGAAAUAACGACCCAGAACUAGAAGUCUAUUUUAAGCUAUAAAUGGUGUUAGAGGAGGGGGUUUGCAAAUUCGACUGGAAGCUCUAAAAAGUUACGAACCACUUAAUCAUCUGCCUCUUACGUGACGUUCAGAACAACACCAAAAAUAUCCCUUGAAUUCUUGCUUAUUUUUAGUUUUUGCAGUCCAUUUUCCUUCCUUUAUAUAUCAAAUAUCUGACUUAGGCAUUAGAGAAUCUAUAAAAGACUCUUUCAACAUAUCCUAACCGUGUUUUAGGAUUGGCAGAUGUGGUGAGAUGCAUUUAGAUCGGUGUCUGAGUUUGGAUUCGUGCUAUUAUUCCCUAAAAAAAAAAUUCAGCUGUUGAGAUUAUUUUUCAGCAUUAACAGUUAAUAAGCUAAAUCAAAAAUAAAAAUAUUACUAAGACUCCUAUUCAAUGACAAUAUGUCAUAUGAAAAAAAAAGUGGUAAUAAUUUAUAAUGGAAAAAAAAUUACAAAGCAAAAGAGCCCCCACCCACAUAAAAUUUUUUAGCCUAGUUUAAAAGAGAGAGACUAUCAAAACAAAAACAAAAAAAUUGAAUGUAGACCAUCACAACCAUUUUUUUUUACCAUGCUUGCUUCUUCUACUGUUUUUUUAAAACUAUUUUUAUUCAUUAACAUGUACUUUAUUUUUACAAUAAUAUUUGUGUAUAAAAUGACAUUAUAUAUAUAAAAAGUUAUGAAUAAAAUGUUCAAGAAUCAAAUUAGACUUUAUUUAUUUAACUUAUCAUAUUUUAUUUGAAAACUCAAACAAAAAACAAAAUUCAAACUUUGCAAGUGCCAUGACACCCUCUAACCUUACAUGCUCUCAACCCUGACCAGAAAGAAGAAAUAAAAUGACUAACCACAUAUAGGGAUAGCAAAAUCCGGGUCCGGGUCCGGGUCCGAGUUUAGCCUUUCCGGAUCCGGACCCGGAUACCAUUUCUUUUCUCGGACCUGGAUUUUAACCCGGAUUUUUUCACCCGGUUCCGGGUCCGGGUCCGGGUUCAACCUGGAAAAAUCCGGGUUUUGAACCCGGAUCAAUGAAUCAAUAUCAAUUUCUAAAAUUCUAAAAAUAAAAAAUUAAUACAUUUCCAAGCAAUAACACAUCUAGAUUUAUCAAUAAAAUUAAUUAAAAAAUAAUAUUAAAAUUAGAUAUCUGGGUCCGGGUUUUGGAUGUCCGGGUUAACCUAAACCCGGACCCGGAUAUAUCCAGGUUAUUAAAAUUUAUUCCGGACCCGGAAUUUUUUACAUUCUAGUACGGGUUCAACCCUGCCCGGAUUAUCCGGGUUCGUCCGGGUCCGGGCCGGGUCCGGGCCGGGUCCUGGUUAUUUUGCCAUCCCUGGUCCACAUACUUGUGGUGGAUGCUGAAGCUGCAGAUGUUAAGAAUCUGCUCUUGACUGUCCCAAAAAAAAUGCGAUGAAACUGCUAGUUUACAUGUUGCUCAAAACUGGUUUCGCGAUCAAAGAGAGCAUAUAUCUCACCCAAUAUACGCUCAUACAUGUAUGUCCUUAAUAUCUUCCUCAACAAAAUGGCGAGUUAGAGGUUGAAAACUAGUAAGCUCGACUUGAGGAUAAAAACCAUUUCGCAUCAAUUUUUUCACCCAACUUUUCCUUCCAUGCAUUAUCCCAUUUAAAUCCCCAAUUCCUUAGUUUCCUCAUAUGUCAGCUCAGUUUUCGGAAUGUGGAAGUGCUUGAGGAUAUCUGCAAUAAUGUUACCAAAGGCAAGGUGUUUGACAAUAGAUAGCUUGUGGGUAUCAUGUUCUAAAUAAUAAGGUACCCAAUAUUGACUUUCAUUUCUCUCAACAAAUAAUCGAGCAAUGCAAUAUCCAACUGUGUUAGGUGUUAUCUCAUCGACAUGGCCCUUUCGAGGACUAUUAACAUGAUGCGGAACAGUGUGAAACAUGCACACUCGAAGGAACAACAGUUGUGAGCAGAUAUCCAUAUCACAGAUAUCAUUUGUAACAACUUGAAUGUCGUCAAAGCCCUCAAAUUCUUUUUUUUUUUUAAGAUGAAAAGAUCUGAAAGCCACUAUCAUGGGUUCCUAAUAUCCAAUUUGGUGUAGACACAUAAAAGAAGAUUGGCUUCCCAUAUACACAGAGGUGGUUAUCUGAUUCUGUUCGAAUUGGUUGGAGUCCAUAUAAAGUUUUAGUGCACAUGGUUAUUUGCCCAACCGACUUCUUGAAACAUAUGAUAUGAAGUUUGAGGACAUACAACCAGAUGACUCAACUUAUCCAUGUUGACAUGAAAAGCGGAGAGUACCUGGCGGUCCAUGAACAGAAAGAAGAACUUCUUGUCCAUACAGGUUUCUAAAAAUUGAAGGAGCUGGCAGCUUCAUCGGGUGGUGAGCCACUUGCUUUCUAUCCCAAAAUUAUGUUUAUUUAUAAUAAGGUGGUUAGCCGACUUAAUUGUAACGGUUAGUAGUUUGCUAGAGUUGGCAAUGGGACAUGACUUGAUAAUCUUGAUCAAAGGUGCUUGAGGCAGCUGAUUGAUGUAGGAAGUUAAUUUUGGUUAAUUUAGAAAUUUUAAGAUUCUAGAAUUUUAUUUUGGGACUUUUUAUUUUCAUUAGAAUCAAUUAUCGUAUUUUAUUAUUUUAGGGCUUUCUAUUUUCAUUAGAGUUAAUUAAGGUAUGAGAUUUAGUUAACUUAGGGAAGUAUCUUUUAUUUCAAUUAUAAUUGUGAUUUAGUUUCCCUUUUUAAGUUAACUUGGAGAAGUGGGUUUCCUUAUUAUAAAUAGAGAAGUUUCGCAAUUAUUUUUAUAAUUUAGAUUUAAUUAUUCAAUAAAACACCUAUUUAUAAUUCCCUCUGGGUAUUAUCUAUCAAAAUCUCUCUUGUAGAGUCGUUUGGAUUAGAGCGUCAUCUAAUCUCGCGUUACACGUUAUUAAAAAUCUCAUUUAGUCAUUUGGUUUAGAACGAUAUCAAAUCAUACUUCAAUUAGAGCGUAACCUAAUUGAAAUGCAAGUUAUGCAACCUAAGAGGGGGGGUGAAUUGGGAUUUUAAAAUUAUGCAAUACAAUUCGCACAACAAGUUAAUCUAUUGCCUUAAUCAAAUCAAAAAUAAUAAAUUCAAUCAAGCACAAUAUUAAAAGAGUAAAGGAAGAGAAAACAAACACAAGGAUUUUUACGUGGUUCGGCUAUCCCCGCCUACGUCCACGCCUCCAAGCACACCCGGCUUGAGGAUUUCACUAUCCAAGUCUCCCAAGGCUUCAAAUGUUUACAAUUGACUUCCAAGGUGUCAAUGGACCUUUACAAUAAGAGAUUAUCUCCCCAAUCUCUUCACCCCAAGUGUUUCUCACACUUGUACACUCACAAUUUGGUAGGAAAUGAAAAUUACAACAAAAACUCUCUUUAAGAGUGGAUAUGCAAAUAAUAGCUCAACAAUGAUUCAAUCUAUGAUGCUUUGCGUUUUGGAAGCUCAAUAUAUGUUGUAUGAUGUUAUAUUUGCUUGCAUUAGUUCUUAGAAUGAAGUUUGAGUUGAGGUUUUAUAGUUAAAGCCCGAAAACUAGCCUUUAUAGGCAAAUUCCCGCGCCCAAGUGGUUAGCCGCUUGAUUUAUCCGGCUAGCCGCUCAGGAACAGUGAUAUUACCGUUAUUUUGAAUUGCUACAGUAAUACUGUUCACUAAAAUUAUACUUUGGCCCAAAACUUUUUAUAAUUAUAUUAAGGCCCCAAACUUCAUAAAACUUUACAAAUAGGUCCAAUUUCAAAAUUUUCUAAAAAUAGUUAUCUUUCCCAAACUUUUUAAAAUUAUGAUAUGGCCCCAAAAAUGUUAUUAUUUUGCAACAAGAUCCUUUUAAACAAAAUACUCAUAUUUUUCAAAGUUCUCAAAUCCUUUCACUUUAGUCCAAAAUAGUCAUAAAUUAUAGUAUGGCCCAAAACAUUUCAAAUGUUUGUAAAAACGUCCAACUCCGAAAUUCAAUAAUAAUACUUAUUAAAAUCAAAGAUUUCAAAACUUUGCAUUUAAGUCCAAAUUUCUCAAAACCACAAGGUACUUUAUCUUAUAAAAAUAAAACUUUUUUAGUUUAUAAAAAGUAAUUAAUUAAAUUAAUCUCUUGAACUUCUCAAAUGCUAAAUCAUGCAUCAAUUAAAUCAUACCGGCUUUAUAAGAAUUUAUCGCACUAAUUUAUCCGUUGAGCUCUAAACUUUUUUCUUGAUUUCGCCAUUGUCCGUUGAGUGUCUUGAGCUUGAUUUCACUUGAUUCACAUGUAUAAAUAUUACCCUUAAAAAAUUAGUAAAAAUGUGAAAUACAAUAUCUAUUAAAUUUACUUAAGACACAUGUUUGUUAUCAUCAAAAUUACAAUGUGUAGCCCUUUAGGCUAACAAUCUCUCCCUUUUUUUAUGAUGACAAACAUCUCAUAUAUUUUGGCAUUUAUACUCCCCCUUAAUACAUGGCAUAUAUAAUUCAACAUAUAAAUCAAAAUUUAAAGAUAAACUCCCUUGAAUAUAUAAUCUAUAACAAUUUGUAAGCUCCCCCUUAAUAUUUUAAAACCAUGCACAAAUACUUCAAGAUCAAAAUACACAUUAUAUGUCUCCAUAUUCAAAAUACAUGAUCUCUCCCCCUUCAUCAUCAAAAUUACUAUAAAUUCAUGUUAAGGCCGAUAAUAUGUCAAUGGUUAAUCGAGAAACAUAUAAUAACCAAACAUCCAAUUAACCAUAAAAUCAUAUUAUAUGCUCCCCCUAAAUAUAUGGCCAAUUUAAAAUUUUAACCAAAAUGAUUUUAUCCAAAAACAUAUUAUAUUUAUCUCCCCCUUUAUCAUAAAAAAUAAAAGAUAGAUAGACGCAAUUCAAAACAAGAUCAUCAAAAAUAAUUCGAUGAAGAUAUUACCCAUUUUGUGCGAGAAAAAAUUUCGACAGAGUCUCCCCUUAAAAAUGAACAAAUCCUCAAAUACACAAUGUGAUUAAAAACAUUUCCAUAUAAGCCUAAACAAGUAUAACAAAUCAACAACUCCACCAAGUCAUCAAGCAACACAUAAGAAUUAAGCAUAUAAUUAACCAAAGAGUUAUAAUAUCCCAAGAAUCUGAAAACAUCAUCCAAAUAUAACAUAUCCGAAGAUCAAAUAAUAAGCAUCCUCAAUCCAUAAAUAAAAACAACAAUGCAUAUGAAAAUGUAGGUGCAUAAUUGAAUAGAGAACCAAGGUAAAAUCCAUAAGGUGAGCACACCAUGGAAUUAGUAAUUAAAAAUACUCAAAAUGCACAAAUUCGGUUUUGUAAAAUAAUGAGAGAAGUGGAUGUGUUUGAGCCAAGAAAAUCGAUCCUAGAGAUGAAUGAAGCUAAUAUAUGAUUUAGAUUGGAUCAAAAUUGGGCUAAAGGACGCUUGAAAAUGAAGAGAGAGAAACAGGUAGAGCUAGGUUUUUUAUUUUGGGUUUUAUGUGGAGAGUUGAUGAAAUGUUGCUUUGAGAGUGAAAAUUUAAGGAGUAAUGGAUGAAUAAUGAUUUGGAUGAUUGAUUUUAACAAGAAAAUGAGUGAAAGAUGAAGAGAUUUGAGAGAGAAAUGGAGAAGUACUGUUCACGCGUGAGAGAUGAUGAUGAAGAAAUGAUGCAGAACAAGUGAAGAAAUGAUGAUUGGGAAGUGUUUAAUGAGAGUGAAAUGCAUGGGUAUUGGUUUGAAUGAUUAAUUUUGGCAUAAAAAUGGUUGAGAAAUGAAGAGAAAUUGAUUGGAAAUGGAAGAGAUUGGCUCAUGGUUUUGGAGAGAGAGGAACGAAGAAGAACAUGUGAAGAAGAAACACAAACCCGUGACCAAGUGGCUAACCGCUUGGGGGCAAGUGGCUAGCCGCUUGCUCUUGGGUUUGAGCAUAUUUCAAGCGGCUAGCCGCUUGAUUCAGGCAGCUAGCCGCCUGGUUUCUGCUCCUCUACACCAAUUUGUUGUCCGGCUGGAAUUUGAGCAAUCCCGAGACCAUUUCGUGAUCCCGAAACAUCUCAAGAGCCAAUUUAAUGCAUGAAUCACUAUAAUUAACAUCCAAAAAAUAUAAAACUCAAAUUUAUAACAUAUUCAUCAUGCAUAUACAUCACAAUUAGGAGAUACGAUAACACUUUAUGGUUGGAAUUAUAAACAUUUAAGACAUGAUUAAUUCACACAUAUAAUUCAUCCAUUAUGCAUAUAUUUUACACAAUCAUUAAACAUAUAUGCAUUCAAAGAUUAAUAAGCAUAUCACUCAUUUAUCAUGCUUAGGCAUUACACAAUCAUUAAAAUCAAACAAAUCCAUCAUGAUGAGUUGACAAGCUAUCAUCAUAUAUAUAUAACCAUGCAUCAUGAUAAAGCACUCAAUGUUAAACACAAUGAUAAUUCAAUCAUGUAAACAUACAAGUAUACUUUCACAAAUUCAAGCUACUAUCCAUUUUUCAUUAUUCACUCAACAUGAUACCAAAUGAAUUAUUAAAUACUUACUAAGCUUAAAAGACCAUCACUUAUAACCAAUAAGGCAAUAAUUGUUACCAAAACAAUUAAAUCAUAUUGUCACAUCAUUUUUGCUUACACCAUGAUCAAGUGAUUAUUCUCAUAAGCUUUUAUCAAGGAACUCUCCGCCAUUCCUUGAUUGUGGUGCCUACAAAAAAUAUUCAAGUUGUGUGCUUUGGUACCCAAAUAUUCUUGGGUCCUUGAGUGUUAGCAAUGGUUCCUUUUGAAACCCAAAUACAUGUUACUCCAUAAUAUGCAUUUCUUUUAACCGGACAUCUAAGCUUCAUGUGACCAUUUUGAUUGCAAUAAUGGCAUACAAUUUGAUCAUUAAUGGAGGUAGUUUUAACAAAAUAACUCUUAUAAUAUUUUUGUUUCAAAUUUGGCUUAUAACCAACACCUCCUUUAUCAAACACACAUUUUUGUGAAUUAAGCAAGUUAUCCAACAUCUUUUGCCCAUUUGUGAAUUUUAACACAAUUUGAUUUAGGUCAUUGCUCUUCUUCUUAAGCACUUCAUUUUCUUUCAUUAAUUCAUCAACAUGUGAUUUCUCAUGCUCAUAUGAAGUACUUUGUUUGCAUUUAAAUUAUGCAAUUCUAUCAUGCAACAUUUUAUUAUCUAACUCUAGUCCUUUAAUCUUUUCAUUUAAUGAAUUAUUGCAUUUUUGUAAAGCAUCCUUUUCAUUUUUCAAGUUAUCUACAUAUGAUUUUAGAUGCUCAUGUGAAGUGCUAGGUUUCUCAUUUGAUAAUGCAACUCUAUCAUGCAAUAUUUUAUUAUCUAAUUCUAGGCAUGUAAUCUUUGCACUUAGAGAUUCAUUCUCAUUUGUGAGCUUUACCAUUUUCUUUUUAAGACAUGCAUUCUUUUUACUAAUUUUUAUCCAAUUAUCAUGCAAUUAUUUAAAAGGAUCAGAUAAUUCAUCAUAAGUAGAAAGAUCAUUUACCUCAUCAAGUUCAUCAUUCGAUUAAUCUCCAAUUGCCAUGAGAGCUAGAUUUGUCAUUUCUUGAUGCUCUUCAUCAUCACUUGUUUCCUCGUCGAUAUCAUCCCAUGUGGCUACCAUUGCUUUCUUCUUGAGCUUGUUGAGAAGAGGGCAUUACAUUCUUAUAUGACCAUGCUUCUUGCACUCAUAACAUUUGAUUACUUCCUUCUUCUCCUUUCGGUUCUUGAGGUCUCUAAAUUUUCUUCGCUCACCGGAUUUCUUAAAACGUUUUCUAAACCUCCUAGCCAGCAUAUCCAUCUCCUCCUCAUCCAGCUCGAUUUCCUCAUCACUCUCAUAUUUCGAGGCUUUGAGAGCAAUGCUUUUCUUCUUCUACUCAUUGCCUCUUUCGGCUGCCAAGUCUUCCUCAUAAGAAAUAAGAGAACCAAUUAAAUCAUCAAUAGGUAAAAUAUUUAAAUCUUUGGCUUCCUCAAUGACAGCCCUUUUUUGUCUCCAUUUCUUAGGUAGCGACCUUAUUAUUUUCUUAACUUUCUCGCUAUUUGAAAAGGUCUUUCCUAGGGCUCCUAGAGUGUUCACUAUGUCUGUAAAUCUAGUAUGGAUAGAAUACACACUCUCAUUUUGUUCCAUUUGAAACAAUUCAUAUUGUCGAGUGUACCUACUAAUUUUAGACUCUUUCACUUGAUUCGUGCCUUCAUAAACAACUUCAAGUUUGUGCAAAAUUUCAUUAGCACUUUCACACCUAGAUACUCUAUGAAACUCUUUCUUAUCUAGUGCACAAAACAAGGCAUUCAUAGCUUUGGAGUUUAGAGAAGCUUUUCUCUUUUCCAAUUCAUUCCAUUCCCGUGAAGGUUUUGGAAUAUCUUCCCCAACUUCAUUUUUAGUCAAAGGCAUAAAUGGACCAUCACAAACAAUUUCUCAAAUUUCAUAAUCUAAAGCUUGCAAAUAAAUUCUCAUCCUAGUUUUCCAAUAUGGGUAGUCAUUACCGUCAAAGAAUGGUGGUCUAAUUGUGGAUUGUCCUUUCCUAAAGGUUGAGUCAUUAUGGGUUGCCAUAGAUCUUUAACUGUAGAUGGUUAAGUCUACACAAGAGCACCUUGCUCUGAUGCCAAAUGAAAUGCAAGUUAUGCAACCCAAGAGGGGGGGUGAAUAGGGAUUUUAAAAUUAUGCAAUACAAUUCGCACAACAAGUUAAUCUAUUGCCUUAAUCAAAUCAAAAAUAAUAAAUUCAAUCAAGCACAAUAUUAAAAGAGUAAAGGAAGAGAAAACAAACACAAGGAUUUUUACGUGGUUCGGCUAUCCCCGCCUACGUCCACGCCUCCAAGCACACCCGGCUUGAGGAUUUCACUAUCCAAGUCUCCCAAGGCUUCAAAUGUUUACAAUUGACUUCCAAGGUGUCAAUGGACCUUUACAAUAAGAGAUUAUCUCCCCAAUCUCUUCACCCCAAGUGUUUCUCACACUUGUACACUCACAAUUUGGUAGGAAAUGAAAAUUACAACAAAAACUCUCUUUAAGAGUGGAUAUGCAAAUAAUAGCUCAACAAUGAUUCAAUCUAUGAUGCUUUGCGUUUUGGAAGCUCAAUAUAUGUUGUAUGAUGUUAUAUUUGCUUGCAUUAGUUCUUAGAAUGAAGUUUGAGUUGAGGUUUUAUAGUUAAAGUCCGAAAACUAGCCUUUAUAGGCAAAUUCCCGCGCCCAAGUGGUUAGCCGCUUGAUUUAUCCGGCUAGCCGCUCAGGAACAGUGAUAUUACCGUUAUUUUGAAUUGCUACAGUAAUACUGUUCACUAAAAUUAUACUUUGGCCCAAAACUUUUUAUAAUUAUAUUAAGGCCCCAAACUUCAUAAAACUUUACAAAUAGGUCCAAUUUCAAAAUUUUCUAAAAAUAGUUAUCUUUCCCAAACUUUUUAAAAUUAUGAUAUGGCCCCAAAAAUGUUAUUAUUUUGCAACAAGAUCCUUUUAAACAAAAUACUCAUAUUUUUCAAAGUUCUCAAAUCCUUUCACUUUAGUCCAAAAUAGUCAUAAAUUAUAGUAUGGCCCAAAACAUUUCAAAUGUUUGUAAAAACGUCCAACUCCGAAAUUCAAUAAUAAUACUUAUUAAAAUCAAAGAUUUCAAAACUUUGCAUUUAAGUCCAAAUUUCUCAAAACCACAAGGUACUUUAUCUUAUAAAAAUAAAACUUUUUUAGUUUAUAAAAAGUAAUUAAUUAAAUUAAUCUCUUGAACUUCUCAAAUGCUAAAUCAUGCAUCAAUUAAAUCAUACUGGCUUUACAAGAAUUUAUCGCACUAAUUUAUCUGUUGAGCUCUAAAUUUUAUUCUUGAUUUCGUCGUUAUCCGUUGAGUGUCUUGAGCUUGAUUUCACUUGAUUCACUUGUAUAAAUAUUACCCUUCAAAAACUAGUGAAAAUGUGAAACACAAUAUCUAUUAAAUUUACUUAAGACACAUGUUUGUUAUCAUCAAAAUUACAAUAUGUGUAGCUCUUUAGGCUAACACUAAUCGCAUUGCCUUGAUUCAGUAUUAAAGCGAAAUCUAGUUUUUCUACCCCAUCAAUUUUUGUUUCUGCUACUCCUCACUUCAUCACUGAUAAGUUCAUCAGAACAAAUGAAAAAGGCCCUUAGAAUUAAAGCCAUUGGAUUAAGGAGUCUAUAUCAAAGAGAUUUGGUCUUAUACUUUCAUCUUAUACUUUAUAAAUACAUUUGAAAAAGAAAAACUCUAAUUGCAACUAAUUUUACAUUUUUUUUCAUUUAAAAGUGAUCAAAUUUAUCUUUCUUUAUUGUGAGGUCUGAUAGAUUCGAUUCAAAUUGUAUUCUUUGCACGAUUAGAUUAAUUGCACUUAGCUAGAACAACAUUAACAAAUAAAUGCUCUCAAAUGAUACAAUACUGAAAAAUAUAAAUGGUUACAAAUUAGAUUUAUUAUUAUUUUGGAGGUUUGAGUAAGUUGAAAAAUAUAAACGGUUACAAAAUAUAUUCAUUAUUAUUUUGGAGGUUUGAGUAAGUUGAAGCAUCUCGGCUUAAGUGGUAAUUAACAAACUCAACCUCAAUUGUAGUGUUUUAUCUUCUCCAUCUUCGUUAAGAGAAUUAUAUGGGAUUCAAAGGAAUUUUUUAUGUUCAAGGUAAUUAAGCCUAAUGUCACGGGAUGAGUGUUUUGCGCAACGAACUUGUGUGGUACUUAGACAACCUUUGCCGAAUGUUGCUAAGUAAGCCUUGAGCUUCUCGACUAGCUAAGCUUAAAGGUUUUCGAAGAGCUAGAGAGAAGAGAGCAAUGGAGCCAAAUGAGAGAAAUUGUAUUACUCGCAAAGAGAUUACAAGAGAGCUUACAAGCGUGUUUGAGUUGCUUGCUCAAAGCUUGAUGCUCAAAUGCUAAAUGUCAUGCCCUAUUUAUAGGGGAGGCUUACCAAGCUCAAAAGCUCUAGAGAAUUCUACCACUUGCCUAGAAUUCUAGAUAUUUACAUGUGCUAGAAAUGUGUAGAGAAUUAUAAAUAUGUACAAGCUUGAGUGUGCUAGAGUUACCUAGAAAUUUCCAGAAUCGGGCCAAGCUAGCACUCUUAGCCUUGCCUUGGGCUCUUUAGCCCGAAUUUGUAGACAAUUGGGCUAGCAACUUGGGCGGUCCUGCUUCUCAUGUUAUCUACUACCUAAAUUUAUAGAUCUUCAACAAUAUUUAAUAUUUUGAUUAGUUUAGAGGAAUCAAAUUCUAACAGGCUUUAUUAAGCAAACUUUCAUUUACUAUAUCAAUUAAUGAAUUCAUACCUAUAGUACUUUUUUUUUAAGUUUUAGCCUAAUUGCAACCUACAUUUUAUUAAAUUAAAUAUGUAAGUAGAAACAUAAUAUUGAUAGACUAAAUUUUAUAAUAACUAGAAACAUAAUACUAAAAUAAAUAUAUAAAAUUUAAAUUAUUUUAAAUAUUGUAAAAUAAUUUUUUUAUUAUUAUUAAUACAUGAGAUAAAAUCUAUUUAACCCAAAGAUUUAUCUAAAAUUUGUAUAAUAAAUUUAAAUAUAUUAUUAAAAUAAAUAUAAUAAUUUAAAUGCUAAGACUUAUUUUAUAUAUAAUUUUUUUAAUAUUAUUAGUGUAUUAGAUAAAUUAAACUAUUUAAAUCAUAUUUGUAUUUAUUAAAAACUUUUAAAGUCAAACUUUUUAGUUACUAUUUACCAUGAGUAUUAUAGUUAAAAGAGGUCUUGGUGUCUCCUGACAUGACUUAAAAUGUGUUCGAUUUUCUCCCAAGUAUAAGAGUGCCUAGUUAUAAUUUAUCUCGGUGAGUCCGAGGUCGAUCCACCGAGAAAGGAUUUAAUUUGUUUACUUAAGUUUAUCCAAUAAAAAUAAAAUUUAUAAAUAUGUAAUUUAUUUAAGAAAAAGUAUAAAAUUGAAUUAGUUAGGGUUGACAUGACUUAAAAGUGUAUUACUCUCAAGUAUAAGAGUGUCUAAUUAUAAUAUAACCUGGUGAGUCUAGGGUCGAACCACAUGGAAUUUUAAAAUCUAGUUGUCAAUUUAUUAAACAUAGAAAAUUAAUUGCGGGGUAAAGAAAUUAUUUGAAAUUGAUUUAAAAAUAAGCUAAGGUUUGGGAUCCACUCUCUGUAUUAUCUCAAAAUAUCAUACAGAUCCAAAGAAAUUUAUAAAUUAACAUGACAUAAAAAUAACCAGAAAAGAAUAAAAUAAACUUAAAAACUCAUUUGAGAAAAUAAGAUAUUAAGAAUUUAAUGUGUCAAAACUUAAUUUGUCUACACUAAAUCAAAAUUCCAUUUUUCCAUAUUUUAUACUAAGAUAUUAAGAAUUCAUUGUGCCAAUUUCCUAUUUUUGUCUACAAUAAAUCAAAAUUUCAAAAUAUAAAAUAUGGAUAAAAUUAAAUAGAAAACAAUUUAAUUUAUAAAAUUAAAAAUAGAAUUUGAUUAAACCAUAUUUUUACUAAGAGUUUCACUUUCCCCUAACUACUAAUAUUUAGUUAAACAUAUUUAAAAUAAAAGGAAUUUUCUUUAAAAACAAAAAAGACAUAAUUAAAAAAUGCUUGAAAAUUGAAAAUAAAACUAAUUUUAUUUAUUGAAAAUAUAAUACAAAGAGGGAUGAGAAGAAGAAUUUGGGGGAAAAGAAGAGAAGAGAAGAUGUGGAGAGGUGUGUUCACCCCCCCUUUAUUUAUACUAAUACAUGGUAAAUCCUCACCACACAAAUAAAAAAAAUCUAAUUACAUCUUAACCUUACAUUUGACCCACUAAUAAAACAUAAACCUAACUUAUCCACUCAAGCAUAUCCAACACAUUCCACUAAUAAUUACCAUACCUAACAUUAUAAAAACUUAUAAUUUUACAAUUACCACAUUUACCAUGGUAAAAACAUAAAAAUUUAAAACAAAAGUCUUGGAUCCUCCUGGACAAUGACAUAAUUUCUCGGACUUCCGGAAUCUAAAUUUGACAUCCAUACAUUUGUUCGAAGCCUCAAAUUCCGGAAUCUAAAAACUUUGGUUCUAUAUGAUUAUCUCCCCUAACUUUGGGGGUGUGGCUGUUUUUUUUCCUUCAUUUUAUUAAUAAGUUUAAUUAAUAAAGAGUAAUGAUAGAAAUCCCAAUUUUUUUAAUACCAAAUGAUGGGCAUUCAUUCAUUGGUUGAUAAUUCUUUACAAAUUCAAGUGAAUUAAUUGUAUUAUCUCACCAACCAAUUGAUAAAUGUCAAUAAUUUGAAAUAGUUAUUUAGGAUAAAAAAUUUGAGGUUUAUAACACUACUCAUUAAUAAAAGAAUGAGGGAAGGUUUGUCCAAGUCAUGCAUUAUUUGAUUAUCAUCAAUCAAGAAAGUGAUCAAAUUAAUUUCUCUCCAUGAUUUCCAAAAGCUAGAAAAUUUUGUUACUUGAAAUUGGAAAAUAACAUCAUUAAUAUAGAAUGGAUCAAAAUCGCAUUAUUAUCUUUCAUGAAAUUGAUGUAUAUCAAGAGUCAUAUUCUUUACUUUUGACAAUUUAGUCAACACCAAAUUGAACUUUCUUAUUUUUACUAUUGUUAUGUUAACUUUUUUUGAUCCCCGAUUAUUUAUUCAUGAUUAUUACAUCAUUAAUUAGAGUUUAUCAAACCGCAUUUUUUUCCUUCAUGGAAUUGAUGCAUGUUAGGUCAAUGUUUGGCAUGCCACAUUGCGUAGGACAAUUGGUCGCCCUCGUAUUGAUUGAAAAGAAUCUCAUGUUUGGCAAUUCAAAUGGUGCGCAGCACACCAGACUUAAUGCUGCAUUUGCCUUAUUAUUGAAACCCAUCAACCCCCUCGGAAUUAAGGUGUGCAACAUUCAUUUUUAAGAAUAAAAUCUUAAGGUUUUCAGAAAUGGUUAUAUAAAUCCUCAAUAAGGGACUCUAAAAUCCCUUGCUGACUAAAAUACCAUUUGGUUCUAUCAAUUUAAAAAAUUUGACUCCAAUAUUUUAUAAUAAAUAAAAAUAUAACAUUAAAAAAAAUAAUUUAUAUUUUAAAAAUAUUGUAUAUAUUACAAUGAAUAUAAUAUUAUUAUUCUACUAGACAAAUUAAACUAUCUAGAUUAUAUUUAUAUUCAUUAAAAAAAUUUAAAAUCAAUUUUUUUAAUUUCUAUCUACUAAAGAUAUUAUAGUUAAAAAGGGGUUUCUUAAAAAUUUAGGUGUCUACGUAACCAUUUCCGUUGAUCAAAUCAAAGCUUCCGUCCUCCUAGAUCUAUGGUCAAAAUUUGGAACCCCAAAAACUUGACCAUAUAUUUACAGCUAAUGAAAGCUGCUUUUUUGGUGAUACAUGUAUCGUUGCAUAGAUUUGGUGAUAAUAAUUCCAAUGGUGAAAAAAUGAUACCAAUAGAUGCCAAAAUGUGAUUGGAGCGGGUGGCUUGUGGUGGCCAACGGUGGAUAAUUAUAAAAUCUAAAUAAUAGAUUUAAGAAAAUAAGACCAAAAACAUUUAAGAUAUUAAUAAUUAUUAAAAAUUAAUUUAAUAUAAAUAAUAAUUUAAAAAAUAUUAUUAUAUAUAGUGCUAUACAAUGCAACACCAAACAUUGAAUAUUAUUAAAGUAAUACAACGUUAAUACAAUAUAGCUUACUGCAAUACAUUUUGUAUUAAAAAAUAUAAUAUAGUAUGUCAAACACACCCUUAGUGUCACACUUUUUAAACAACCUCGGGCUGCUCUUUUUUUUUUUUUUUUGAAUUAACGAUUUCGUCAUUAACUUAAUUUGAUCAGUUAAACUAUUAAGUCUGUUUGUUUUUUCAACAUAAUGAAAAUUUUCAGUCAUUAAGUUAUUAUAUUAUUAAUCAAACUCUUUUAGCUUUUUGCUUAAUUUUAAAAAGUUUUAAUGAUAUCAUUAAAGAAUAUUCUCUAGAUACCCUAUCUAAUUAAUUAAUUUUCAUCCUUACCUAAGUAAAAUCUAAUACUUUUCAUUAUUACCAUCUUUAUAACUUGUGACAAUAUGGCGAUAGACUAUUAUUAUUUUUAUUUUUUACUUUCUUCAAAUUAGCAUUAUUUAUCUUCAUAAUUUUUUAUGAAUAUUUGUUGUAAAAAAAAUCAUGAACUACAAUAAAAUUGAUUAACAUAUACAAAUUUAGAAUUUAAAGUAUCUUAUUCAAUUGAACACGAUUUAUGUUAUGAUAAUAUAUAAUCUUACCUAAGUUGUUUGAAUAUUUAUUGUUUGUUUAACAUUCAUAAAUUUUAAGGGGACAAUGUAAAAAUAUUAAUUUUCAGAUUUUUUUUAAAUUUAAAAAAUAUAGCUUAAUAUUUGUAUUCAGUAAUUCAACAAAAAGUAAUAUGAGCAUAUUAUUCAUAUUCAGACAUUCAGUUCAAUUCAAAAUUCUGACUAAUUAAGGUCUAUUCAAAAUUUUUGACAAAAAAAAAAAGGCCACCCUAAUUGACAUGAACUUUUUUAUUUUAAAAAUAAAAAAGAUCUUUGGAUUUCAACCCAUUUGUUUGGCUUAAAGAGCCAGUAUUCUUACUAGGGGUGUUCAGAAUCAAUUCAAUCCGCUCAAUCGUCUGAUCGUGAAAUCGAUCCGUGAUCAUGAUGAUAUGAAUUGAAAAAUAAAAAUCUGCAGUCGAUGAUGGAUAUGGAUUACUUCUUUAAAUCGUAAAAUCCAUAAAUCUGCAAUAUAUAUAUAUAUAUAUAUAUAUAUAUAUAUAUAGUUAAAAAUUUAUUAUAAAUUUAAUUAAAGAAUAUUAUAAAUGUGACAUUACAUAGUUACAUAAGCACUAUAACAUAUCUUAGCCAUUACCCAAUAAUAAUAUUAAAUAAAAAAUAAUUAAAUAAUCAAAUAUACAAAUAUAACUUGUAAAAAUUGUAAAACAAAAUAAAAGCAAAGUCACACGCACUGGCAAAAGUAAAGUAACAUAACGCCAAGUUACCAACAAUUUGCAAAGUCACCCAAAAGCAAAGUAACGUAAUGCCAAGUCACCAAUAAUUUACAAACAAAAAAUCUUAAGCUUCCCCGCUGUCACACGCACUAGCAACACCGAAUACUGGUUCGAUACACUCUCGACACCGUUUUGAAGGACAUCGGCCGCGUGAUUCCAGCGAAAGCAAGCCAUCUUCUUCCCUGAAUCCAUCGAGCCACUUAACAAUCACUAGUUCCAGCCAAAUAAUUGCACUAUCACAACCUUCAAGAUCGCCACCCGUACUUCUCCUGGUUCCCAUCGUUGACGGCUCCAUAAUUACCACUUUUCGACAAGUGCAAUAGCUGUGGUCAAGGAUCAAAUUGUGUUUGGUUUCAUAAACUUCACUAUUUCAAUUAAUUGUGGCUUUAUUUGAACAAUUAAUUUCGGUGUUAUGUUAAUGUAUUAUUGUAACUUUCUUUGAAUAAUUAAUUUUAGUGUGUUAUAUUUUGAAACUUUAAACGUAUUAUUGUAGCUUCAUUUAAACAAUUAAUCUUGAUGUACUAUAUUUUUGAAACUUUGAAUGUAUUAUUUUAGUUUUAUUUAAAUAAUUAAUUUGUUUAAAUUUUAUUCAAUUUUAAAUUUAAUUGGUAGUAAAAUUAUUUCAUAUUAGAUUUUUUUUUAUUUCAUUUGUUCAUGGAUUGGGGAAAACUAAAAAUUUUUAAUUCGGAAACUAAUGCGCAAAAUGGUGGAUUGGAUAUGAAUUAAGUUAAAUCCGCAUUCAAUCCACAGAUGUAUGGAUUGGAUAUAGAUUGAGUCAAAUCCGCAUCCGAUCUGCAGAUGUAUUGAUUGGAUUUGGAUUGAGUUUAAUCAAUCCGUGGAUUAGAUUGGAUUGAAAAAUUAUAAUCUGUAAAAUUAUGGAUCGGAUAUGGAUUGAUGUCUAAUCCAUAAAAUCCGAUCCGCGAACACCCCUGAUUCUUACCAUUUGAAUUAGCCUUCGCCUCAACUUCAACUUUAUUCUUUCCAUGCAACCUUGGUCGAUAUCAACUUGAAUUUUGCUAUGUUAAUUAUUUCAAUCCCCCACAUUAUGCAGUCUUUGUAGUGUAAACUUAAUUUCACACCUAAAUAAGUUGAUGAUCAUUACUCAACCAUUAAUAUUUCAAAAAGUCAUUUCACCAUCCAUGCUAUUAGUUUUUCCCUUAAAUUUAACUAUUGACUAUUUUACCAUCUUAAAGUAUAUAAUUAUGCCUUUAAUUAUGUGAUACAAUUAUGAGAAUAUUCAUUUCAGCUUAAAAUAACUAGAAUACCCAAAAAAAUAACUUAAAUUAAUAAAAUAAAACUAUAAACUCCUUAAAGGAUUCAACAUAUAUAAUACUAUAGCUAUUAAUAAAUUUUUUUAUUCAAUAUAUAUGCUAAAAUAUUUUAUACAUUUAUAAUUGUUACAUAGCUCAAGGAUGAAUGAUUCUUCAGGUCUAUAGAGUUGGUGCAUCUGCAAGACUUAUUUAUUGACCAUAAUGAUCUAAGGAUCUAAGGGGUAAUUUACCUUUGUGCUUGGCAAAAAUAACCUCCCUUGAAGGUUUGGGCGUCACUUUCAAUUAACUUAUAUAGAUAUCUCCUCAUCUCCCCUCAUAUCUAUAAUGAUCCUUGAAGAUCUCACAUUUUCAAACAAUCGCUUCCAAAUUUCAACAUCAUUUGAGCCAUUCUUAAAGUAAAUAGUUAAAUUCAUAAAUUGUUAACUAAUUCCACUCUCCAUGCAUAAAGUCUUCUUAAAAGAUAAUUUUAUUAGUUGUUUGCUUUUAAGUUAAUUCAUAUUUUAAACAAAAACGUUUAAGUUGUAUAUAUCAUAGUGAGAGUUUCUUCAGAACAACUCCCUUGUUCUAACAUACACAAAAAAAUGGUAAUUUUAAAGGUAAAAUAAACAGGUGUUGAUUAUAUAUCUUGAUUUUCAUUGAUUAUGUGAUCAAAGUGACAAUUUUGAUUAAUUUCUUUUUCAACAUUAAUUUUUAGGUUAUCUUCGUUUCAAGGAUUUAGAAUAUUUGGUCAUGAAUUACACGCUUGUUAAUUUUUUCAGCCAUUGACUGUAAUAUUCUAGACUUAACGGUACUUUUCUUGGUUAGGAUAAUCAUUCUCUCUUCACCUCUUAUAAAGAUCAUAUUAAUUAAUUUAUUGCUACAGUUAAUAGUCUUUAAAAAUGGAUAGAUUUAUUGUUUUGAUGACUAAAUAAUGCCUGUUAAGGCUGCGACUAUGAACAAAAUUAGUAUUUAAUGUAAUAUGUUAAUAGAUUACCAAUUGUUAUAAGUUAAAGGAUGAAUUAUUUUUCAGGCCAAUGAGUUAUUGCAUCUGCAAGAAUUUUUUUUAAAAAUUCUUAUAUUGACCAUAAUUAUCUUAAGCGUAUUAUAAUAUGCUUUAGUGCUUAGCAAAAUAUGACAUCUCCCUUUAAGUUUGAUACGUCUCUUUCCAUCAAUUUACUGGUAAUAUCUCCUCAUCUACCCUCUUUUAUCUUACAUCAAUUGAAGAUCUCACAUUUUCAAACUAUCAUUUCCAAGUCUCAAUAUAACUUGAGCCCAUUCAAAACUGAUCAAGUGUGGAAAUAACCAAAUAUACGUAAUAAAAUUCUCUUGCCUCCAAAAUUCUAAUUAUAUAACUUCUACAUAUCUCAUUCUUGGUCACAAGAUGUUCGCAUAUUUUCCAAAUUCCUCUUCCAUCAACAUCACUAGGAGCACGUUAAUCUCUAACACGUUAACUUGAGUGGAGAGUUUCCAACUUGAUUGCGAGAAAGCAAUACAAAGCUAGACACACUUGAUAAUUCUCUUUCGGUAAAAUUUAAUUAAGUUUAGGGGAAUGUUCGGCCAACCUAUAGAAUUUCAUAUUGAGCACUAGCCUAUACAAAUUGAUAAAAGUGAUUAGAUGUUAAUUUGCUGACGAUACAUGUUCAUGACUUGAAAUUAGAUCUCUAUCAAUUCGUAUACAAAUGGACGUACUUGUGGUGAUAAUUGAACCAAAAGAUAUGAAGCUACAAAGAUUUGGCAACCGUAAAUUGAUGAAGUGGGUUUCAAUUAGCUUUAUUUUUUCAAGGGAAAUUAUCAGUCAUAUACCCUUAAAUGACACCAGUAUCAAACGUGCUACAACACUUUUUAAGUAUAUCACUCGUAUAUCCUAAGUUGACAAAACACUUCUGCCGUCCAUCAAUCUGUUAACUGCCAUUUGCAAGCGCUGACAUUAUAAGGAUAAUCUAGUCUUUUUUAAAAAAAGACAUGUCAUCCCAUUUAUCUACUAAAAAAUGACAUGUCAUAUGAUAUAUAUUGAUAAAAAUGACAUGUCAUCCCAUUUAUCGGAUAAUUGUUAAUAAUUGCUAAAAAAAAACUACUUUACAACCGAAUUUACUCCUCCAAAACUUAACCUAAAUUUUUGAAGAUCUACUCCUCCAAGCUCCAACUGAAAUUUUUUAUGGUAUAAUAUGUAUAAUUGUAAAUAAUAUGUUGUUAAUAAUUUUUUAUGGUAUAAUAUGGAUAUUUUUCACUGAUAAUUGUUAAUAAUAUGUACCAUUAAUAAUUCAUAUUUUUUUAAUAAAAAAUGUAUUGUUAAUAAAAAAAUAAAAAAAAAAUUGUGUAUUGAAAAUUUACGUUAAUUUUUUGAGUAAAUUUAUAUUUUUACCUCAUUUUGAGUUUCAAGGGUAAAAUAGUCAAUUUAUCACAAUUCUGUUAAAUUUCUAACAGAAGUUAACGGAUUGGUGGACGGCAGAAGUGUUUUAUCAACUUAGGGUAUAGGAGUAAUAUACUUAAAAAGUAUUGUAGCACGUUUGAUACUGGUAUCAUUUAAGAGUAUAUGGCUGAUAAUUUUUCUUUUUUCAAUUAGCAUCUGAUUGGGCCAUUUUUUGUGUAAUUUCAUGCUGUGUAAGCCACAACAAAAAAUCAAACAGCCCCUUCGCAUGUUUCUUCCAUUUUAUCUGCAACUUUUGUGGAUCUUAUAGGCAUGGGUAGAAUUUAAUGUUUUUAAUAUAGUCUCAAAGAAUAAGAUAUUGGCUCCAAUAGAUUAAAGAAACUUUAUUUACUCUAUCAAUUAAUUAAUGCCAUUUGGUUUUGAAAAACACUAUAAUUGAAUUCUCAAGUUUAAUUUGUUUCAAGUUAAAAUAUUAAUUAAUUAAACUCUCUUUUAGUUCUUGAGGUAUUGGCACAUUGCAUUCAGAAUUGGAUUCCUUUAGCAACUUGUGAUGCCUCAACGUAAUUGUAAUAUUGAAGAAAAACAAAUUUUUUUAUUGAGAGUUUAAAUCUAAACUUAGACAAUGAAUUUGGACGUUCUUCAAUCCUAUCCUAAUUGUUAAACAUAUUACCUUGGUUCUAAUUCUUUUGCAAUGCAAAAUAAAUAGUCAAAUUCAUAAAUUUUUAACUAUUUUUAAAUUCGUAAACUGUUAACUAAUUUCCUGAGAUAUAUAGCUAAGAUUGUUGCUCCUAAUUAAAUAAUUAAAGUUACACAAUUUUAACAACUUGAAAGAAUUGACAGUAAUGGACGGGUCCCCUCUCCAUAUAUAUAGCCUUCUGCCUAAAAAGAUAAUUUUACUAGUUAUUUGCUUUUAAGUUAAUUUUCAUUUUAAACAAAAAUGUUUAAGUUGUAUGUAUUAUAGUGAGAGUUUUUUUAGAGCAAUUCUCUUCUUCAAAUAAUAAAGGAAAAUAAGUAAUUUUAAAGUAAAAUAAACAAAUGUUAAUUAUAUGUCCUGAUUUUCAUCGAUUAUGUGAUCAAAGCCAGAAUUUUGAUUUCUUCUUCUUCAAUGUUAAUUUUUAGAUAAUAUUAAUUUUAAGGACUUAAUAUAUUUGGUCUUAUUCUAAACUUGAUGGUACCUUUUUUUUUAAUCAGAGGUAAUGGGUACUUUUUCUCCUAUUAUAAGAAUUACAUUAAUUGUUUUAUAUAUUGUUACAGUUAGUGAUCUUUAAAAAAUGAUAGAUUUCUUGUUUUCAUGACUAAAUUAUGCCCGGCUAACGUUGCGACUAUCAAUAAACUUAUUAUUUAAUGUAUAUGUUAAAAGAUUUAAGAUUUUAUCUAUUUAUUAAUUAUUUGUUAUAAGCUAAAGGUUGAACUACUUUUUCAGGUCAAUGUGAGUUGGUGCAUCCGCAAGAGUUCUCUCUUUUUUUUUUUUUUUUGGGUUAAUCGACCGUCCCACUGGCUAAUUUGAGGAUGGAGAGGAUGGAGGAGACUAAUAAAGAGACAUUUACCAUGUUUCCAGAUGUUGAUGACUGUGAUUGGAUCGAAUAUUUGUUUGAUAUUGAGGAAUUGAAAAAACAACUCAAGAGAGGAUACCCUUGGUUGCCAAAUGGAGAUGUUAUUUGUGGACGUAUACUAUACCUGCAAGGACUUGUCUACUGUUCUUUAGAUGUUUCUGUGAUCGCAACUUUCAACGUUGCCCUCAAACAAUGGAAAAUUCUUCCAUAUCCUCAUAUCGGUUAUGAACAUUUCAUUUUUUUAACUACCUAAUUGACUCAGGAUCAGGUCGUGACAGCAACAAUGGUUUAUUAAUAGCACAGUCUAGAGUACUACUCCAGGACCCAUAUUCUUCAUAGGUUUGAUCUAUCAGAUAUAAAGUGGUCUAGAGUUGAUAAUAAUAGUGGUUCAUUAAAGGACAAAUCAUUGUUCUUGGGUCACUGUCAUUGUACAUCAUUACUACUUCAAGUGGAAGAUGAAGAUUAUGCAAGUGAUUCUAGGAAUACAAUCCAUUGCUAUGACCGCUGGGAGGAAGAAUGCCCCCAGAUAUCAGAAUUUUAUGGUGGCAGACUCGAGCAAUAUACCUGGAUUCAACCUCCUUUGCCAACGGAUUUCCGUUGACUUCCCCUAUGUAUUUUUGUACCUAUGUUUAAAAUUUUUGGUCUCAUGUUAAAUUCUUCUGCCAAUUCACAAUGCAUAUAAUCACAGACAAAACUUGGAGCAAUUGCCGCAGCAGCUACGCAUUAACUAAGAUUACAAUUGCUGCAGCUACUGGUAAAGAAGAGUUCAUUAAUUGGAGAAAUCAAACUAACCACUUAUGUAAUUGAUUGUUGUGCGAACAGUUCUAUUAACUAAACAGCAACAUAACACAAGAAAAAAGAAGAUACACAUACUUGGCAAGAGUUUAUUAAGAAGUGGAAUCACAUUUCGGUGAUGAGUUAGCUUCUGAUAUCUUGCUAGCUGGUGCCCUCUCCUGUCUUUCUCUGUAAGCUGAGGGAAACCAACCAGCCUUGUCCUUGCAUUGUGAAUUCUGGGAGGAAUGACAUUUGGUGGUAAACUAGAUGUACUGAAGUAGGUUCAGGAAGGAAUAUCACUUGGAAAAAAAAAAGGACCGGAAACUCAAUUCCAAUUCAUUUUUGUUUCGGAAUUUUAAUUCCUCUUUCUCCAGAAAUAUUACUUGGCAAGUGUAACAUUACUUUCAAAAACGAUAUAUAAAAUUUCUGUUAUUACUUUAAAGAACGGUCUAUAAAAUUUCUGUUAAACAUUACCGUGACUUUUAACUUCCUUUGUAUUAGCAUUUUUAAAUGCAAGAAUAAUGAUAAUACUGAAAAAAUCGAUAAAUAAAUAAAUACGAUUUUUCAUAAUUGGGCUAAACCAAAUAACAAAAAGACAGAUUAGGACAUCUCAUCUCUUCAAAGUUAGCUUAACUAGAACAACUCCAUCUCUUCCUUGAGAUUCUUAACAGCUUCACUAACUCCAUCCUGAAAGAAGCAUAAGUUUGUGAAAUUUCUUUUCAGUAAUGGAGCUCCCAGAACAAAUAGUAAACCCAAAAAUUUACAAGAUACAGGCUACAGUAAUUCCGACAGCAAUGGCUUCAACAAAUUCAUAAAAUAAAUAAAAACAAGAACUUGAACAAAAGAGAUACGGAAACUACUAUAAUUCAACUCAAACUCAGUAACUGACAUACUUUAUAAGUGAAUAAGAUUCGAAUUCCUAGCAGCUAGUCGACAAUUAAAUCGUAUAAAAAGAUAAUUUAAUGGAAAGAAGAUCCAAUUUAAUGCAGAUAUGAGAUACGAAAAGGAAUGAUACUUAAUGCGGCAACCAGCCAUAGCAUUGAUAAAGCUGGGAACAAGAAAGUACUUUAAUAUGCAUUUACCUCGACAGAGAUUCUUUCAGCAAUCUCUUUUGCACAUUCUUUGACUCUGGGAGAUAGUGCAUACUGAAUGGCUUGUGAUAGUGCUUCUGCAGCUUCUUUGAUGCUAGUGUCGUCUGCAUUAUCUGGAACCAAGUGAUUUCUUUUUAGUGGUUCUGGAGCAACUCCAAGCCAAAACAUCCUCUCGGCCCAGUAGAACUGGUCCAGCAUGAAUGGACACAGUAUCUGACAUCCAAUAUCCAUAAAGGAGACAAAUAAAUGAGUCAAAAUUAUAGCAUACAAGUACUAUCACAAAAAUAAAACUAAAGAAAUAAAGGUAACACAAAUGAACUAAUAUUCUGGCAAAGACCAUUUAUACCAUGUUUUGACUCAACAAGCUCAAUGAAGUCCAGAAAGUUACAAUGAAUAUUCAUUUACCACCCUGCCUGUUCUAGAUGUAAUCACUGUUGGUGGGAUUGUCAUGGAAAGAAAUUAUAUAUACAUGCCCUUAAUUGACAGCAAAAGUGAUGAAAGGAGAAAUUUAUCCCUAAAUUCUUACUACAAAUUCAUAGUAAAGCAAACAAGGCGUCAGCAAAAGGUAACAUUAGGGAAAAGGAAUCUCUGUUGAAUACAAUAUUCAACAAACCACUCUUGAAAUUCAAUCAAAAAACUGAUAUCAAACAGAAAGAGUGUCACCAGCAUUAGGGCAACAAAGAUGAUCGCACUUUAGCAUUUCAACCAAUACAGUAAAAUUAUGUAUGGAUACAACACAGUAUGUAUCUUAUUUCCAAAGUAAAUAAAUCAACAAUUAACAAGCUCAUUUCCUUCUCCCACAUAUCCGGAAAAAGUGAUAUUUUCAGAACUUUCUGGAGUAUAUUCAUUUAAAGUUACUCCUUCUGGAAAUUAGAUUUAAAAGGGGAAAAAAGGAGAAAAAUGGGUUUGCAGCUAAUUAUAUUGGCAGAAGAAUUCCUAUCAUCAUCAAAAAUGCAUGAGCUUGUUGAGUUAUAUAUGUGUUUCAAUUACAAAGGUUAGGUAUGGAUGGCUGCCUUUGCACCCAAAGAUUUUUCAACAGUACUAAAAAUAUAUUAGAAGAAAAUUGUACAUAAAGCAACAAAGUGUUUAGAAAUCAACCUGAGGGAUUCCUGCAUGUAGUGCUGCUGCAGUAGAUCCACUGGUUUGAAAUUGAAGAAAGUAAUGCAAACAUGUAAAUUAGCUUUGUCGUAUUUUGCACUUCUAAUUUAUAAAAAAGAAUCACAAAAUAGAAAGCUCUCACCUUCCUCCAUGAUGAAUUGCAGCCACACAUCUUGGAAACAAAUACUUGUACGGUACCAUUCUGGUUUACAUGAUAACAAUUCAAAAGAAAACAUCAAAUUCCACGGACAAAACGAUCAGAAGGAAACUAAUUGACUAAAAUAAUCAUUUAGUAGUCAACCAAAAAGAAGCAGUUGUCUAACUCUCAGGACAUUAGUUAUUCUAGUUAUGCAGUCAGAUUGCCCUUUUUUCAUUUCCAUUACCAAGAAGCCAACUGUUUUAUAUUUUGUAUUAGUUGGUUUAUUUGAAGACACUAGUUCAUUUAAGAUUGCAUGCCUUACAGAGCUCCAUUUGGAGAAGUCAUAAUGGAAGCUUAAAAAAAAAUACUAAGGGCACAUUGCUAUCGUAAUUUCACAAAGAGGGCACCAAGGUCCCAAGUUUCCACGAGUCUCAUACAUAGACACCCACGUUUCCAAAACCAGUUCUAUAACAACAGAGUAGAAAAUGGGUUAAAUCAAAAGUAAUUGUUAAUUCACUUUUUGUGAGCUAAUCGGAAGAAAUGUUGCUUAAAUCAGCAAGGAAUGUCAUUGACACCAGAAAAGAUUUCUCUAUAAGUGAUAGCUUGCGAUCAUGUUUCAGAUAGCUAAAUCUUCACUGAUCUGAUUAUCUGACCAACACUAGGGCCUGCACAUCUAUGUCAUGAAAAGAAAAACUCACAAUGUAUAUCGUACAGCUCUAUUUUUGUUGCUUCAUAAGUGAAUACGUUUUCAUCUUUAUUCUUCGGUUAUCUUAGCCCAAAUUCAAUAAGAAUUUAAGAUAUACUGACCCAGAAAAGCAGAAGAGCUUGCCAUUAAAGAUAGAGAUCCCAUAUUGAGUGAUUACUCUUUGAGUUAAAACUGAAGAUGUUCCAGGAGCCAUCACUCGGAUAGCUGUGUCUAAAGGUUCGUAUCCAGCUGUGAAAAGGACAAAUCUAUAAGUUGUGGUGUGUAGAACAGUUUGUAAAACCCGAAGAAAUGCUUCAGGAUUCUUUAAAAAACCCAUGCUGCAAGAAGAAAAGAGAAAUGUGGCUUAGUACAGGAUAAGUGAUUAAAGUUCCAAGUCCAAGUGCACCAAUUAAGGAGAAAUCAUCCCACCACACAAAAGCAUGACACUUUUUAAUAGGCUAUACUUAGAGGAAUUACACUUUUAAUCCCAUAAUAAUAUCAAAUUGUCAGCUGAUAUAACAUGGUUUUCUAGUAAAAGAAUGAAGUAAAAGUAUCUUAAGGAACCAGAAGAAUAAAAAUUGAAAGGACUACAAAGGUACAGGGAAAGUAUACAAAGAUUUGUAAACAAUUAACUACAUACAAUCAGGAGAUCUAGGUGAGGAACCUGCCUUGCAACAGAGCUCAGUCCGACAAAAAUAGGUGGCGUUGAAUUAGCAGCAUCCAUAAAAGCUUGCAGCCCAAUGUGAGAUGCACACAAUCUAUUAUUUGCAUCCAACAAAAAUGCUGAAAGCUCUCCACACUGCUUACACGAGUACUGCCACGAAUUAGGGAGAAACCAAAAGCCACAAACCCGAACACUUGAUGGCCAGUAAUCUGUUGUUGUGCUAAUAUUAGCAAUGUGGUUAAAACAGGACAAAGGAAUCUUUACUAAAAUAGGAAUUGGUCAAUAUUAAGAAGAAUAUCUUUUGCAACAAAGGGAAAGGCAAUUUUUAGCUUUGAUAAGCAUGAACUAUUCAUUCAACAUUUUUUAUUUUUUUGGGAGGGGAUCACAGUUGUUUGAAUAUUAAAUCUUUUUGAGUGCUAAGGUUUGUUUACAAAACUUAUUUUGGUCGUGCUCCUACUAGGGUUAUAGCUAGAAAAUCUUUUAGAGAGGACAAAAAUUUUGAAACAUAUAAGGAAAAAAAAUUAUUAUCAAUAAUAAAUAAACAUAUCACAAUAUUAAGAAAAUUAACUUUAAUUAGCCCAAUAAUGUAUUUACUUUUUCAUACAUAACUAACUAUCAUAAAAUCAUGUCGAUGUUUUAAAUUUCAACAAAAUAACAAAAUAUACUUCAAAAAUACUAAUAGCAUCUAAAAUAUGAUUAUUAUUUUAAGUUAGUACUAAAUAAACAAAAAUAAAGUAAUGAUAAGAAAAUUCGUGAUUAAACAAAAUGUAUUAUGUAUAUUCAGAAUCAAGAGAAAUUAGCUAACUCACAAAAAUUAGUUUAUACAAUUUUGAAUAUAAUGGAGAAGUUCAAAAGAGUGAUCAUAGAUCAUACUGAAAAUAAAGGGAAAAAAAAAGAGAAUAAAAGAACUGUAAUAAAUUUAAAAAUAAAAAACAAUGGAUCCGUGGUUCAUUUGGAUUAAUCACAAAACAGAGGAUAUGACAAUAAUAAGGGCAAGAGUGUGUAGUAAAAUGAGUUGUGAGAGAGUGGGGAAUGUUACUGAACUCAAUACAGAAUUUAGGGGGGGGAAAAAUCAUGGGAUAUGGAACCUGGCCUAUCUCACUUUACUCUGGAUCCCACACCUGCCAACUCAGGAGUUUUGCCAUUGCAGCAAAAAUUAGCACCUAAGCUUAUAUAUGCAUAUUUGUUUUGAGUGUCUCAGGCAUUUACUGCUUAUUUAGGAAUUUUGAGUAGGAUUCUUGAAAUUUUGCAGCUCACUCCUCCCUCUUGCAUAUUCACAAGAACUUAUAGUAGAGAUAAUCUAUAGAUACAAACAAGCUUGAAAACCCUUCAAAAUUCUUAACUAUAUUUCCAAUUAACACCUAGUUCAAAGAUCCCAAAUGACAUACCAGGGCAUUCAACAAUUUCUUUGCUAAAUCCAUACCUGUACACAGAUGUAACGAAUGAUAUAAAUAGAUUAGUGCAUAUUUUUCUUAUUUUUACAGGAGGAUAACAUAAUUAAGUGUCAAGGAUGCACUUCAAACUAAAUUAUUAAUGAAGGAUUACAUGCAAUCAUUCUGGCACACUUAGGCAGACAUGGACACAGCACCUACUUAUGAUAUGGUUCAUAUUUAUGCAAACAGGUCAUCUUAAAUAAAAGUUUUAAAGAUCUUAGAAUAAUCCAAAAGGCUCCAACUAAAUAGUUGUGUAUGGAUGAACAUGCCUGCUCUUGAUAAAGAUUUAAUUGAUUGGAUGUAUUUUAUAUUUAUAGCAUUUUUGUUUUACAUUUUCAACAGACAAAAGCAACCAAAAAGCAAAAGGUCAUAUGCUUUGAAAAGAACAAGAAACAACACAGAGGUACAUAUUAAUAUACAAUUGUGCCAGAGUAAACAGCUCAUAUGGCGACAAAAAAUUAUAAGGCUCAAGGUACACUUUUCCACUCUAGUUCUAUCUGCCAAUCCUCUCAGCAAUCUUCACCCAUAGCUCUUAUCUCUCUAAAAGCCACAUAAAGCAACUGAAGAAAACAUGUUUCUCUAUCCAAAACCAAACCUUAACUCUUCUCACUCUGAAGCUAUAAUAACCUCUUUCUACCCUCCAACAUUUACAAAACUGCCAUGUCCAGAGUGUCCCCCUAUGUUUCACAAUUAUAGCCAUGCUUUGGCUCUUCAACAAGGUUGCUCCAAGAUAUAAUUAUAAAUCCUUGUAACAGCAGCGUAUAUACCAGAAAUACUCUAUUAAGAACCUAGACCAUAGAGCAUAUGUAGAUAUGAUAUCUUACGAUACGAAUAUGCCAAUACACUAACUACAUAAUAUAGGUAUUUACAAAUACAGCACACUUUAGAUUAAGCAAAAUCAUUAUAUAUGUAAUAUUUUUUGAUAUUACACUUUCAUUAUAUUUUUACGUAUCCUCUAAUUUCAACUUGAUAUAGUUCAAUCAGAAAAGCUCUCCUAAUAAUUGUUCACCGGUUACACACUAAAAUCACAAGUUAAUCUACAUUUAACGUUUACACUUGAACAACAUCCACAAUCAAUCAUAUGCCAGCUUUCAAUAAACAUGGUGACGAUUUAUCAGAACUUUUAGAACCUAAAACAUAUAUUUAUAAGAUUAAGAAACAUUUAUGAAGUAUCAGAUGCAUAUUGGAAAAUAUUCCAAAAAAUAUUUGUAUCUGACAUAAACAUGGCACCCCUGUAGAAGAAUCUGAGUAAAAAAUAGCACAUUCAACCUUCAAUAUGAGACUAGAUGCACCAACAAUAAAGUAAAAUGGAAUGAUUAAAAAGCUCAACUUAAAAGAAGAUGCAAAGGCAUAAACUCAGUUUACACUAUCUUUUAGUUAGAAAAUGCAUAACUUACAAAAGUUUGGGUGAUGAUGCCCGGUCAUACCAAGUGGGAAGACCAGUUACGGGGUCCUGCAUUUAGUAAAGAGGUUUCAAGUGUCCAUGAGGUCCUUGCAAUAUCAAAACCCUAAUCAAUUCCACUAGUUCUAUAUAAAUAAGAUGCAUAUUAAAAAAAAAUGCAUCAAAGAACUUUUACAUCAAAAGAACUAACCAUAAAAGGGCAAGCACUUAGAUUCAGUUCCUCACUUCUCCAUGAUCCCCAAUUUUCAGUAAAAAGUGGCCACAUCCAGUGAAUCACAUCUCCCCAACAAACCUACUUCCAUAAACUGACAAGAAGUUAAUACCGAAGUAGAAUGACUCAAUCCUAUGUAUAUAUCCAAGGGAAAAAAAAAAUACAUUUAAACUUAUGUUACAGGGCAAGAAUUUUUCAGAAAGUUAUAAUGGCACAUCAUAUUAUUCCUAGAAAACUAAUACAGGACCAUCAUUCAUUAGAUUACACUAAAAAAAUCAUGAAAUACCUUGUUGAUGGGAGCUUCUUUGAGAUAUUUAUACAAAAGCGGGUGUUCUUUAGUGAAGCGGUGCUCAAAUGAUGCAGGUGCACUGCCCAUUCAGUUGGAAAGUUAAUUGCAACUCAAUCCCCAAAAUGCAAAUGGCAACUACUGCAUAUCCAAUGCCUUUACAAGGAAAUAUAAGUGAAAUGAUACCAGAAUUCAGUGGAUUAUGAGGAAGAAUUUAGCAACACCACAAGAGUUCAAUAAAUCUUCAGAAGUUAUUACAAGUAAUACAGGAGAAUAAAACUUGUAAGUUUUAAUGUUUCCGCAUGACAUUUUCAUUCCUUAAGGAAUCACCAAAACACAAAAGGGGAAAAAAUAAAUCUCACAUUACCUAUAGGGAACAACAUAAGGAGCAGCAACUAUGCAACGGACACGAAAGAGUUCUGCAAGGCUCCACCCUUCCUGGAUCAUCAAGCAACUCAGCCAUUUUAGGACAUUGGAUCAUUGCAUUGCAUCUACAAUAUGAAUUUCAUUGGAUCCUAGAAAAUGUAUCUACCUAAUUUGGAUUGUUAUGAAACUAGGAGGCUAUUCUUUUAGCUUUUCGUCAAUAAAACCAAAUUAUCAUAAUCUCCGAGUUAUUUCCACAACUCUAUGUGGAACUUAAUUGUGUACCACAAUUAAAAUUAACCUUAAGAGACACAUAAUUGCGUACUUUUGAAAUAUUUAUAAUACUAAGUGCUAGUGUAUCCUUUAACACCUCUUACACCUUUGGAAAAUUUUUCAUCUUCAAAGUCAUUAUGACCUUUCAUUGAAAUGAAACUUCUAUAAAUCAUCUGUUCUUCUACCAAGACCACAAUGUAAACCUUGACCACGUUAUAAGCAUAAUGAGAAAGUAUACAUUGAGAUAUAUCUUCCGUAUGAAAUACCAAUGCGAAGAAAUUUAUCACAAUAAAAUUGCCCUCCAAGCUUGGACCAUCUCCAAAGAUCUUUAUGGCUGCAGAAUAGCAUUCUUUUCUAUGUUCUCUUGUACUUUCCCUUUUCUUUUGCUCAAAUGUUAACUCCAAUGAGCCUGAUAAUAUGAAAGAAUUUAUAAGGACUUUGAAAAAGCAUAAAGAUCAUAGUUUGCACCAAUGAUACAUGUGUGUGUGUGUGUGUGUGUAAGCGAUUCAAAGUACUAACCAAACCUGACUCUGUUCUAUUGUGAUUAUCAGAAGCACAAAGCACAGGCGAUGAUGAAAUUGGAUAAAAAGUAACAUACUUUGCAGCCAAGCGAAAACUCAAGUUCUGAUACAGGAAAACAAAAUGUAUGAAAAAAUCUUCAAUGCUUACACAACAUAUAAAAAAGCAGUAAUGAUAUGCUUACUUAGUUGAAAUACUGAGUUUGUUCCCAACUGAUGGGCAUCUUAUCAGUCAUCCGUUGAUGGGAUUAGAAAAAUAGUAAAUAAUAAAUCAAUUGAUGUCAUACCGAGGGUAAUGAAUGAUUGGUAACACAUCAGUUAGGAUAAAAACUAAGUAUACCAACUGAGUAAGCUAGCAUUAAUGAAAAAAAUAAAAAAAUAAAAGUAAAAAUAUAUUGCUAAACAUGGAAUAAUAAUGAGUUUAUUGAAAAGAAUUAAUGUGCUUUCUCGAAAAGCAUUUUAUUAACUACUUCCAAAAACAAAUCCACUUCUCUAAAUGCUUAAUUCCUCUCCUGCUUAAUUCAAUCAAUCAAUCAAUCAAUCAAUCAAUCAAUUAAUCAACUGCUUAAGUCAUUCUGAUUAAAGCUUAAAGGAGCGUAGAGAGAAGUUAACCUCGUGAGCCGAAUGAGUUAUUAGAAACACAUCGUAUUGCCUUUGAUCAGAAGCAAAAGCUGCGGCGAUGGCCUGCACUUGACAAUUAAUUUCAAAUUAAUGCUAACAAAAUAAAAAAAUUAAAAGUUAAAAUUUAAAUCAAAUAAAUCAAAUAAUUUUAUAAAAAUAAGAAAAUCAAGAGAUUCAAUUACAGCGAUAGGGUAAACAUCACCCUUGGUGCCGAAGGCCAUGAAUGCAGCUAUCGGUUUCUUUCUCUCUGCCUGCAUGUGUGAUGAAUUUUUCUCACAACGCAAAGUGCAUUAACUAAUUUGAAUUAUAUUUUAUAUUUAUUUGUCUUGGUUGAAAUGACAACGUUGUCCCUGUUUACAAAUUCUAAAAUCUUGUCGGAUUUUCGGGCGAAAAAUUAUCGAAAAUCUUGUGAAUAGGGCUGAGAUUAAAAAUAUGAAAAAUGCCUUUUUCUAAAAAUUAAAUAAAGUGCUAAUAUCGUUUGACCACCUCAGUAAUUGUAAAAUAUUAAAUAAUUAUUAUAAAUACACACACAUAUAUAUAUAAUUGUCAAACAUUUUACUGGUAUUAUAUUCUUACAAAAUUUUUCAAUAUAUUAUAUUUUUAGUAGCAUUAGUUGAUCUAAAAUACCAAUUUACUUCCUUUAAUAAAAGUUUUUGUCAAUAACAAAAGAGUAAUAUAGAAAAAAAUACAAUACUAAACAUUUUAGAUACAAUCUAGCUAAAAAUAAUAUAUAAAAGCAUCUGGAUUUAGUAUUUGACACUCUAUUUGUGUAAUAAUUAGUCAACUAAUGAUACUAAUGAAAAUGUAGUUAAAUGAAACACCAUGUAAAGAUAUAAUAGGAAAAUUAAAGGCUUCAACACUUCUCAUAGUUAUUUUAUAUUUUGCAAUUCCUGAAAUGGUCAAAAGAUAAUAAUCUAAAAAUAAAAAGUUUUUAUGUACUUGUAUGUGUUAAAUAAUUUAAAGAUUAUUUGUAAUAUUUGAGGAUUAGAUGGAAGGGUGAUUAAAAGAAUUAUCACCACUUUAACUUAAAAGUCUAUGUUAGUAUUUUUUUUUUUUGUUUAAAAUCUGAAUAGGUAUAAAUUUGAUUGAAAUCUAAAUGAGUUUAAAUGCAGAUUUUUGAAUAAAAUUUUUUUUCUAAUAUUUGAAUAUAUAUGUCAUCUUGUUUAUUUUUAUAAGUAAAAAAAAUCUUAAACAUAAUUAUUUAACAUUUAUGUCCUUAUAAGUCAAGACGAAUGAAGGAAUUAGGUUUUAUAAUUUGGAAAAUAAGCGUAUUUAGUCAUAGAUAUUUUUGGGGUGCAGUAUUUAGUUUCAAUCCAGAUUUUUUCUUGUUUGGACAAAAGUUAUAAAAAAUUAUUUUUUCUAUUUAGAUGUAAAUGUUUGAAAAUUUAAUCAGACAUAAGUUGCAGAGAAUAAAUAAAAAAUUUUUAAAAGUAUAAAAUUAAUAAAAUUUUAUACUCUAAAAAUUUGACAAACAAAUCCUAACUUAAAAUAUCAUAAUAAAUUUUGUGUUAUUACUUUAAUUGUUAUUGUUGUUGUUGUUGUUAUUAGUGUCACCGUCACUUUAAAGUUAAAAUGACAUUAUGGUACUUGCAUAAAAACAGAACACUUGCAUAAAAACACAACAAUGAAGUAACAAAUAAUGCAUAAAAACACUACAAUGAAGUAAUAAAUAAAAGUGUGAUGCAAUAAAUAAAAGUGUGAUGCAUGUACAAAUUAUAUAGAACAAAAAUAAAAACGACAAAUGCAAAUCAAAACUAGCUUGUGUGUGUGUGUAUACACACCUUGAUAGGGGUGUUCAGAAUCUAAUUUGAUCCGCUCAAUUCAUCUGAUCCGUAGAAAUCUUAUCCGUACAAAUUCGAUCUGCGAAUUAGUGGAUUGGAUUGGAUUGAAAAUUUGAUAAUCCGCAAUCGGUGGAUUAGAUAUGGAUCUACUUCCAUAAAUCUGUAAAAUCCGCGAAUCCGUAAAAAAAUAAAAAGUAUUUAUUUAAUUAAAAAAUAAAACUUAUAAAUAUCGCAUUAGUACUUACUAGUAAAUAAAUUAAUUAAAAUAAAGUUACAUUAACAUUAUAUUAUAUCUUAUCUGAUAAUAAUAUAAAAUAAACAAAUAAUUAAAUAAACAAAUAUAACUUCUUAAAUAGUUAAUUUCCAUAUACUGAUCUAAACAAAUGAGAUUUUUUUCUUUUUGAUGUGUUAUGUUUUAAAACUUUAAAUAUAUUUUCUAUCUUUAUUUAAACAAUUAAUUUAUUUAAAUCUUAUUUAAUUUUAAAUUUGAUCGGUAGUAAAAUUAUUUUUAUAUUAAUUUUUUUAUUUAGUUAGUUCAUGCAUUAGACAGAAUUAAAAAUUUUCAGUCCGUAAACUAAUUUGCAAAAUGAUGGAUUGGGUAUGAAUUGGUCAAAUCCACAUCCGAUCCGCAGACGUAUGGAUUAGAUUUGGAAUGAAUUUGGAUUGAAUUUCACCAAUCCGUAUAUUGGAUUGGAUUGAAAAUUUAUAAUCCGCAAAAUUGUGGAUCGGAUAUGGACUGAUAUCCAAUCCGUUAAAUCCGAUCCGCGAACAUCCCUAGAUAUGAUGAUAUCAAAUGCUUUAAGUAAUUAUUCAAAAAAAAAAGAAAAAGAAAAACAUUAAGUGUGUGUUGCACAAAAUUAAGAAAAUUAGGACGUAACAAUUCUCAUUUGCCCAACUUAAAAAACAAAUUAUGAUUAAUUUUUCUUCGUAUGCUUCUGGAUCGUAGAAGAAUUCAAAGAGGGCGGAUAACAUUCAGGGCAAUCUUCUUUUGAAAUAUUUCUUAAUAAAUCAUUUUUUUACAUUAUGACAUUAUUAUUUUUUAAAUAAGGACUUAAUUAAUAGGCAAUGGGGCUCACAUUACAGCGAGAAACGGUCGUCGUUUGAAAUCUUUAACUAAUUCAUUAUAUUAACUCAAUUUACGAGAUACGUUUUAUAUCCUUAAAUGUCUGCUUCAACUAUUUGCCUGCCUCCUCUGAAUUAUUAUUUCCAGCUGUGCCUUUUUUUGAUGUUGUGUUAGUAGUGUUUGUUGUUUUCAAUUGUCCUUUUGAUGUUGCUGUUGCUGUUUUAUUUUUAUUGUCUUUUUGUAGUUGUUGGUGUAGUGUGAUGGCCGUGUCGAUGGCAGAAGUGAUUAACCAUCAGGUUCUCUUCCGAAAUAUUUUUACAAGAGUAUAGUUUCCUAGUGUGUGUUUGAUCCUCUUGUAUUGAGGGACUUGUAGUGAGUUUUUUUGGUGGUAUUUUUCCUCUUUUUUUCUUUUGUUUUAUUAUCAUGAUAAUUUGUGUUGCAUUAUCGAGUACUAUAGAGGAUACUUUUCUAAUUUAAAUAAGGUUUUGAGAGGGAUGGCAAUGGGGUAGGGUGGGGGUGGCGAGGCUUACCCCAUUCCCCACCCCAUUAAAAUUUUUUGCUUCCAUUCCCCACCCCAUUCCCCAAUAAAUUUAGUGGGUUGGGGAUGGUGAAUCUUCACAUGGGGAAUGAUUUUCCCAUUCCCACCCCAUUCCCCAUUUACCUAUUUUAUAGUAAAUAUAAAUAUAUGAUUUCAGUAAAUUAAAAAUUAGAAACUUAAAAUAAAAUCAUCACCAUAUUAUGAAGUUUUUAAAAUUUUUUUUAAAUCUCUAAAAGUUUGAAACAAUAUCUUAAAAUGAUAUUAAAAGUGAAAAAUAUUUAAAGAGAGCAACACUUUAAAAGAGAAAAGA
rnacentral:lncRNA from 1 species